rnacentral:lncRNA from 1 species
UUUUUUUUUUUUUUAAGGAAAACUCAUCCAAACAUAAUCGAUAGAACGUAAAAAAGAUGUCAUACCAUCUCUACCUUUCUUAAAAUAUCAAUAAUUGAAAAAAAUUAAAGUUAUUUAAGAGUUUUCAAUCUAGUUGUUUAGAUUCUUAAUGACAAAUGCAAAUAUCUUACACUUUCCUUAUACUCUAGAGUUCUAUAAUAACCACUUAUUAUACUAAAAUGAUUAUCAAAGUAAAAUAAACAAAUAAUAUCUUGCUAUUCAUACUUUAUAAAAUAUAUAUGUUUGAAGAUUUGGGCAUCAUGCAUAAUUGUGCCUAAUUUUCUUUAAGAAGAUUCUUAAUUGAAGUCAUUGUCUAAAAUUAUAGGUGCCCACUUCCAAAUGGGUAUUUAGUAGAAAUGAGUAAUCUAAGUAAGAAGAUGAUUUCCAUUUUAAUCUAUAAUCCCCCCUUGACUUGAUUGUGACGAGGGCUUUUAAAGGAAGAUAUGUAUUAAACACUUUUUAUUCUCUUCCUGGUAUCAAUAUCCAAUUGGAAUAUAUUAUUUGUUUAUACUGUUGAGAUAUAAAACCGUGCAGAAAUAGCUAAGCAAAACCAAAACUAAAGAUCCACCGAAAAGUUUUGAAAAUGAAAGUAGAUCUAACACAGAAUACAUAAGUCAAGUACAUCGUUUCUCCAUGCAAAAUUGGAAAGAAACUUAAUAUCAAACAAUAAUAUAUAUUAGACAUAGAAACAUACAAAGAUUGGUAAAACCAAUUUGGUACAAUAUUAUCUACUAUGGAGAUUGUUCCACGUGGAAAGAACCUUUACUGUACUAUAAGAAGUUUAACAAUCAAAACAAAAUGCUUAUGUGAUAGAUCCCUUUUCAAUUACUCACGUACAACAUAUUUUUUAGUUUCAUAUUAGGUUCUCCCUAAGUUUAAGCAACUCAAACCUCUAGAAUAAAGUUUCUCCCAAAUUUUGUAUUGAAUCCUCCUAUACAAUACAUUCAAUAUAUAGCGAGGUAUACAAGCUGGAUAACAAACAAUAAGGUACAUGAUUAUAGAAGAUGUAUUUAGGUAUGCUUUAUUUUACUUCGAACAAACUCUAAAAUCCUUCAUUAAUAUCUACCAACUCUUUCAACAAUGGCCUAACCCUAAAAAAUAUUUUAGACCACCAUGUAUCUGAUUCAACGUUGAGAAGAUCUUCAAGGUAUGAGAAUAUAUUUUAAGCAAAGUAGGAAAACAAACCACUAAAUCUGCACUACAUGUCGACAAAUAAGAAAAUAAUUUAGAUACAUAACUUGCACACAUGAAAACAUGUUUGACAAAAGCCGAGACAUAUUUGUUUAAUUUUUAUUAUAUGAAUUAAAAUGAGCUAAAUUUAUUACACUAAGGAGUUUGUUUUCAAUUACUUUGUUUAUCAACCCUAGCCUGCCCAGCAAGAUUGUUGGGUUGGUUGAUCACCUCAAGCAAAGAAGAUCUGCAUGCAAUUUGUUCCAUAUUAAGAUAAAAAGAAAAAUAAUAGACGAAGAUGAGACCGAGGUCGGCCUUCUCUCCAUUUGGCACACCUCGGGCCAUUCUACUUGAGAGAUAAUUUAUUUAAUCAAGGAUUAGAAAAAUCAUAUCCUAAUCCUACUUGAACAAAGAUAAAUCUUAUGUCAAAUCCUCUAUAAAUACACUCUUGAAAAUAUCGACUUCUUACUUUUUUUCUAUUAUACAAUUCUCUUACUGAUUUAGGUAUCAUAACCUUUUUUCUUUGUGUUGCAGGUUCUUUCUUCUCCAAAUAACAAAUAAUUUAACUAUUAGUAUUACGUGAGAGAGUCAUGUAUGUUUUCCUUAGUUAAAAUUUGGCAUGAGUAGUUUGGUGCUAUCUAUAGGAACGAGAGUGAUCUCUAUGCAAAAUCUUUAAGGCAAAGUCAUGUGAUGAAGACAAGUGAAAAGUGAAAAGUCAUUGGUUACCGUAAUCUGGAGGAAAAGUCAAAUUGAUUUCUAUUGGAACUUGUAUUGGAGAAUAUGGUGAAGACCGAUAAUCUUAAUACCAUUGUAAGAGGCCUUAUAGUGAAAGAGAAGUCUCUUAAUUAGCUUAUUAUAUAUAUAUAUAAAGAGAUGAAAAAACGCCUCGAACUUGGUCGGCUACAUGGUGGACACCUUAACGCGUGUACGUCUGGAUGGUGGUUGCCUAAUUACAUUGCCUUUAGUUCUUUUUAAAAGUACUAUGUAUUGUAUUGAAAGUUCUUGUAUUUAGAACAGUUAUAUUUGCUGCCUUGGUUUAAUAUCAAACUCAUACAAACACUUUGAACUAGGCUGAGAAGCAAAGAAACAAGGUUAACUUUAUGAUGUGAAUUACCUUUAAACAUCUUUUUUCUAGUGUAUCAUUAUGAUAAAUCUAUCAAUUUUUUUUUUUUGUGGAGAUUUAGAAUGAUUUUGACCACAUGGUUAUAUUGGUACGAUAUGUAGUUUAUUGAAAAUGGACUUGAAGGAGAUGUCAAUUCUGACGUUGAAGAAGAUAAAAUGGAGGACACUGAUGGUGUAGAAGUGGAACAUCUAUACAUUUCAGAUUACCAAAGUUUUGCACUAAUAUCCGAUUGAUUUACUAUAGUGAUGAAGCUACCAAGCAAGUGAUUGAUGUUUGAUUCAUGACAAGACUUGAUGUAAUUUAGUUAUCUACAAAAAUACAUUGUAUUUAAUUUCUUUGUAAAAGUAUAUUACCAAGGUUUAGUUUCUAUUUUACUUGUAUUUAUCCCUUUGAGAAAAUUCGAUAGAUUUCGUGUACUUAGUUUCUUUGUAAAAAAUUUUAUAUAUGAAAGUUCUUAUUUAUAUGUGUACUAGUUUUGUGUUAAAAUAGAAUCAUUGAAUUACAGGAACAAAAAUAUAAUUGAAUUACAAUUUUUUUUUAAAAAAAAUUCAUAACAUACUUGACGGUUUUAAAAUGUCAUAAAUGAGUGCAUCAUUGACAGUUUUUCAAUGUCAUAAACAAUCAAUUUCUUGACGGUUAUUAAAUGUCAUGAGCACUUAUACUCUUGACGGUUUUAAGAUGUCAUAAAUAUUCAUACUCUUGACGGUUUUUAACUGUCAUGAACAUUUGUAUACUUGACGUUUAUAAAACGUCAACGUUCAAUAUUCUUGACAGUUUUAUCAACCGUCAAGAACUUUAGCUUUCUUGACACUGGCUUCAAGGACGGUUUUAAAACCGUCAAUAAUAAUGAUUCUUGAUAGUUUAAAAACGUCAAGAGAGCCUAUUUUUAUAGUAGUGUAACUGUAAAACAGAAAACAAUUAGAUGAAGGAUGAGUCGCGGAUCAUGUUUUCCUUACGACGUUUUGUGAUUCUGCUUGGAGUGCAAAUAGUUUGGUAUUGCCACGUUGUCCCAAGAUAAAACAAUAAAAAAAAAAACUUGAUCGAAACUACUUCGAAACUGCAUAAAAACUUGUUUUAAGAAUUGAAUUUAGGUCACAUUUACCACACAACACGUAAUUACACUACUACAAAUUUGGUCUUUCUGAUGCACGCAAAUUUUGAUUUUUUUAUGGUCAUAACAAAGGACCAUCAAGAAAAAUAUUUUUCUUGAUGUGUUACUUAUUUUGACGGUCAUGUAUAUCAAGAAAAGUUUUCUUAUUUUGUUGAAAAAAUACGAAAAAACGUAAAAAAAUGUGGAUUCUUGAUUUCCUUGAUGAACGAAGUUCUCUUAUAUUUUUGUUAAGAAAACUAUUUCUCGAUAGACAAUAAGCAUCAAGGAUAAUAUAUUAGUUGACUGACAAUGGCUAUCAAGUUAGUUAGGUUUUCUUGAUGGACGAGGCCAAUUGAAGAGAUGAAUUUUCUUUAUUUGCAAUGACUAUCAUCGAAAAAAAUUAAUAUAUUUGUUUUAAAUUUAAUUUCUUGAAAGUUUAGAAUUUUCUUGGUGGUUUAGAAUUUUCUUGAUAUGUGUAGGGUUGCUUGAUAGACAAAGACCAUAAAAGAUCAUGGAUAAGGUCCAUCAAGAAAAAUGAUAUCUUGAUGGGCAACUAUUUCCCACCAAGCACGAAAUUUAAACCAUCGUUAAUGGGCUCAAAAAACACGAUAUUCAUCAAUAAUAUUUUUAAAUCUUUGCUAUAUUUUUUCCAAUUAUUAUUUUAUAUUCAUCAAUAAUACAAUAUUACUUUUUUAAAUUAGUUAUUGUGAGUUGAAUUAAGUUUGUAAUUUAGGGUUUUUAAAAUUUGUUAAAGUUGGCUAACAUGAGUUUAGCUCUAUUGACACAUGUACGUACUUGUGGACAAGAGAUCCCGAGUUCAAAUCAUCAUCAUUGCAUUAAAACUUGGAUUUAUGAUUAUUUACAUAAUCCAUCAUAUAUUUAAUUUAACUUUUUAAAAUAGAAUUUAAGUUAUUUAUAAAUAGUGUGAGUAAUAAUUUGAUUUUUUUUAAAUUUUUUUGGGCACUUUUCUCUUAAAAUUUUCGACUACCAAUUUAAAAAUAUUUGAGAAUUCGUUAUUUCUAGAUUAUCGAGGUGAGAUAUCAAUAUCUUUAGAGUUCGAAAUUUGAUAAAAAAAAGAAAAAUUUAUCAAAGACUAUCGUAUAAUAGAUUUUGAGAAAUGAUAAUAAUCUCGUUCUUUUAAAGAUUGAAGAAUUUUUUCUCAAUAUAGUCUGAUUGACGAAAUGUAUUUCACUUAUUUUGUGAGAUCAUUGCUUCAAAUAUGACAUUUUUUUUAAAUCUUACUUUUUCAAAUGAAUUUUAUUUAAAUAGCAAUUUCAAUUCAAGACAUAAAGUUUGACCAUCCUUUUUCUAAACGGGUGUCGUGGGAGCUAACAUCUUUUUCAUACACAAAUGAUACUUGAACUCAACUCUAAUUUUUGGUAGAUAAUUUUUUUUAUCGAUUUUAUUUAAAAAUUAAUUAUAUUAAUUCGGUGUUCAAUCACACUACAAACAAAUCGGUGACAACUCUGUUUUGUUUUAUUUUAAAAUUAAUCAUUUUAACUUAAAGCAUGAUUUAAUUAACUAACAUAUUCCAUAAAGUUUAAAGGCUGGUGGUUAAUUAGUUUGAAUCUUGAUCCAUAUAAAUUUAAUUAACUAAACUAAUUAUUAAACUUACGGCUAAAUCAUUGGGCUUUUUGUUAGAGAGAGUUAAAUAGUUAGGUUUAUGAAUGAUGUGAGUUUAUGGUCAAGAAAGGGUUAGAAAACAAUUCAGUAUAAAAUAACUGAAGGUAAGUCAUGACAUAGUUGAAUUGUGUUGAUGUGUAAUAAUUUUUUUUUUCUCAUAUAUCACAAUUUUCUGUGUCUUAUUGGAAAAGGACUAAUGUUUUUUAAGUUAAGUUAUUUAAAUUUAUCAAUCUUUUGUUAAAUUAUUUGGGUUAUUUUUGGAUUUAAACACCAUGUACUAUACAUCUAUUUGUGUAAUGUUUUCAGUUCUUAUAUAUCAUAUUUUUCACCAAUAAAAUAUUCUCCUACUACACAUCAAAAUAGAUCCCAACUGAAAGUGUCCAAGGGACUAAAUGAUUUUACACGUGAUUUUGUGAUCGGCUAAUUUGCCAAAAUUGUAAGACGUCCACGUCUUAACUAACUUCAACAUUCUUAUCUACACAACGGGCCUAACAACAAUCAACUUCACCUCCUUUGCUUUCAACAAAUGCACAACAAUCAAAGUAUCCAAUUUCACAACUAUGGAAGCUCUCAAAAUCCCCAUACGCAAUAACCUUCUUCUCUUUUAUCCAAACUUCCAAUAACUAUCCAUCCUACUUCACUGAUAUGCUAGAAUUGUCACAUACCUAACAAACUUUCUUAAAAGGUGUUUGGAGUUAGGAGUUAAAUAAUAAAAAGUAAAUAAUUAUAAAAUAUAGGGAGUUGUGGACUCUUAAAACCUUUGAUCACAUAAGAAGUUGAUAAGAUAUAAAAUUGAGUGGGACCUACGAUCUUUUUGGUUUAAACAAAAAGUGGAGUUUCGUACUCCUAUACUUUCAUACUCCCAUUUUCUAACUCCAUGAGUCAAACAUCAUCUUCAUGAUUUUGUAAAACUAAAUCCAAAGUCCCCACCUUAUUGCUCUAUUGCCAUUCGAUCCAUUACCCAUAAUAUAUAUAUUUUUCAUUUCAUCAAUUUAAACAUUAAAACGUGAAAAACAUAUCAACUUAUAGGUUUUUGUAUUCGAAAUCGUUGUUAGAAAGAUUUUUCACUUACACAAUCAAAUCCAUUUUUUCUAUAAUAUGCAACUUCGUUGUUAUUUUCUUUAAAAAAAUAAUAAAAGAAAUGAAAGAAAUUUAUAUUAGACGAGCUAGAGUAAUUUUCAUUUACAAGAUGGAGCUUUCUCUUGCCUUCUACUUUCUACGAUUGUGUUGUUUUCGUUCUUUUUCAUUAAGGGAGAGUCUUUCAUUAAAAAUAUAAACCAAUAUACAUAGCAACCUUUCACGAAUGUACUGAGCAACCCAUUCACAACAAUGAGAGUCUCAUUAUCGAAUGGGUUGCAAAGGAUAUUGAUUUACUUUAAUUUUCUUUUAAAUUUCUUGUAACCCCUCGAGUUCAAUUUUUCCUCGAUCCACAACAUUGGUCGUACAAGAAUUUCAAAAGUUACCCUAGCUGAAACUCAAAUAACUUCUCAUCAUUGUAGCUUGAGAAACUACCAUGGCCAUUGUUAUCUUCGGUAAUAAUGUUGUGGAUUAAAACUUCCUGAGACCUUGCCACCACCAAGAACAACACCAAAGAUGAAGGAGAAUCUUUGGUGUUCCCAUCAUGAAGUAAAAAAGUACUAUACAUCAAUUACCACUAAACUAUACCCACAUUUUUAGGAUUUUAAUUUAUUACUUUAAAUUUAAAAAGAAUAUACAUUAAUUAUCACUAAUCUAUACUUACGUUUCAACCAAAUACACAAACUUAUUAAAAGAAUUGGAAAAAUGAUUGAAGUAGUACUCUUAAUUGGUUUGUGAGGGGAGAGGAAAAUUUUGUUUAUUAUUAUUUGUUUAUGUUUGUACUGAUGUUGCAUCAUUAGAUAUAAUCAAUUUUAAUUUCAGAUUAAAUAGGAAAUUAUUCAUGAACCAACCAACCAAAUAUAAAGUUAAUUGGAGAAAUACUCUCUCCACCAUAAGAAUGCUAAAUCCCUAAGUUAACUCCAACCAUAAACCCAGGAGGCAAAAAGAGCACCCAAACUCAACCAAAAAAGAACAACAAUACAAUAUCACAUACACAUACACAACAAUGGAAAGCAAUACAACCUACCACAAUUAUCUCAUCCCAUCCCAAAACAAUUCUCACAACUUCCUUACCAAAUCAACAAUUUAGGACGGAAUUUGAAUUUAGAAUGAAUUCAGAAUACUCCACGUCAACAAAAAAAAAGAAUUGUUAAGAAAAAGUAUCUUUAUAGUUAUUCCGUUGAAGAUAAGAAACACGUUUUCAAACUUGAGUUUAGUGAAAGAAACUAACAUACUACGAUGACAACCUAUUUAAGUUCUCUACACGACUCGUAAAAAUGUUACAAUUACACACCAAUCAAAUCUAUAUUACAAACCUUUUUUCUUAAAAAAAUCUCAAAGUCCUGCUUUAGAUGCCAAAUCCACACCGCAAAGUGGGAAAAACAUAUUAAUUUUUCCUAUUAUUCUAAUCCUUAAGUUAUUGAUUUUGAUCAAACUCAAGUAAGAAAAGAGAAUUGCUUUCUUAAUUUUAUAUACUGCGAAUACCAACCCACAAACUUUUGAAUUAAUGGGGCCUGCAUAAAGAACUCUAUGGCCUACAAAACCAAAAUAAAAUAAAAUCAUCAUAAAAUAUGAUUUUUGGUUCUGUGGUUUGGAAUUUAUUCAAUUUUAAUUCAAAUGGUUUUGAUACAACUGAAAAGUAUUUUCAAAACAAUAAUUAUUUUUGUUCAUCACACCAUAAAUUCUUUUCUGAAAAUUUUAAUUCGUUAAUUUUCAUGUAGUGAAAGUGAGAUGUAUAAAAAAUAUAUAUUGUUUUUAAAUAAAUCUUAAAUUUAAUUCAUUCAAUUUAAUUUUUGUUGAAAUUUGUUAUAUAAUAUGAUAUACUAAAUACAGUAGUGAAUAUCAUGUUUUCAAAAUUUAUAAUAAAUAGUAAUGAAUAACAAUUUGUUUUUAAAAAAUCUGCAAUAAACUAGUACGGACUACAUUUAAGUUCUUUUUUUCUUUCUUUAAGUAUAGUGAUUACGGUAUUAAAAAAGAGGCAAACAUAAAUUAAAAUUUAUGUCGAAGUGUGUAUAAAUUUUGCAAACAUAUUGGAUUAAAACUAAGCUUGGAGAAGAGAAAUCAAAUCUUUGAUUUCGUUGUAUAGUAGUUUGAAUUUUGUUUUAUUUUUUUAAUAUUAAUUUAAGAAUCGUUUUAAUAAAAAUUAGUUAAAUAAUAAUAAUAAUAGUUAUCAUCAAAGAAAAUUGGCCAAAAACGUGUUUUCAAAAAACAAUAAAAUAACUUUGUGUAAUUAAUAAUAAAUUAGUUGUAGAAAAUAAAUUUAAAAAUUUAAUAAAAAUAUAAUUUCUAAAAUUAAUAAACACAAUAGAAAUUGUAAAAAAAAUAGGAUAAUUGAUCAAUUUAUGAUGAUAAUAAGUUUUUGGUUGUUUUGGUGUAAAUAGUUUUGAAAAACCCUGUUUAAAAGUAUAUUUCUAUUUAUCUAUUUUUCUAUUAUUUAAGAAAUUAUAUAAAUGAUAAAAAUAUUUAAAAAAACCGCUCAUAACAUAUUGCGAAUAUGAUCAAAAUUAGUGAGAAUAUAUGACUAUCAAAAGGCUAUAGGACGUUAAUUAUAAUUUUUUUUUACUAUUUUUACAUAUUUGUUAAUGGUUUUCGAUAUUAUUGGUUAUUGAAAGUAAAAUAGUUUACAUCCUAACAAAACUAUUAUAAUCUACGAAUUGUAUUUUAACCAUCACUUUUCAAGUACAAACCAUUCUCUCAUCGAACCUCGAAUCCCUCUCCUCUGUUUUCCUCUGCUUAUUGCAAUCCAACAAAUUCAAAUAACUGAGAUUCCUCUUCUUCAACCUCUAUUUUCCUUUUUAGAGUUCUUUUUUGUUGUUCUGUUUCAUUCAUUUUUGCACUUUCUUGAAACUCCCAAAAUUGUGUUUUCAUUUCAUUUUUAGAGAGAGAGAGAGAGAAACAUGAAAGUAGCUUAACGACAGUUUAAGCUUUAAAGCACUGCCAAAGCUCCGGUUUUUCAUGGUUUCUUUUACUGAAAAAAAAAAAAACACAAGUUUUUUAUUUUAUAAUUCCCAACUCUCCUCUAAAACCUACCUUCUCAAGCAAAGCUGUAAAUCGUAACUGACCUCCUCUUUUCUCAAGAACUCUCUCUUGCUAUUUCCUUUUCGAAUUACGAGCCAAACAAACUCAAUUGUCCUGAAUCACAAGUUUUAAACACACCCAUCUCAUUUUGAAUCUCUGUUUUUCAGUUUCCGGGUUUUAUUUAAUUCGAGGGAAUAAUGACGCCUGCAAAGCGGAGUACAGAGGAAGCCAUGGUUUCCAGCUUCAAUCAAACGAUCCAACAAGAAGAUUACAGAGAAGAAGAACAGAGAGGAGAGAAAGAUGAAUCAAUGGGUGGAUUCAAGAGCUUUCUCUGGCAUGGUGGCUCUGUUUAUGAUGCUUGGUUCAGUUGUGCUUCGAAUCAGGUAAUUGUAAUAAUCCAUCCGCUCAAAAUUUUGAGUAAAAGGAUUUGAAAAAUUGGAAAGUUGUGUUUGUGUUUUUGUUUCUUGGCAGGUAGCUCAAGUUCUAUUGACUCUGCCAUACUCUUUCUCUCAAUUGGGGAUGGUUUCAGGGAUUAUUUUUCAGAUUUUCUACGGAAUUGUUGGGAGUUGGACGGCGUAUUUGAUUAGUGUUUUGUAUAUUGAAUAUAGAGGGAGGAAGGAGAAGGAGAAUGUUAGCUUCAAAAACCAUGUGAUCCAGGUUUGAAAAAACAGAGUAGUUUGUAAAUCUUUGUUUUUCGUUUUCUUUAAAAAAAAAAAAAAAGAAAAGAAAGAAAAUAUUUUGAUUGGUUUUGUGGUACUCUGUUUUUCGACAGUGGUUUGAAGUGCUUGAUGGUCUUCUUGGGCCUUACUGGAAAGCAGUUGGAUUGGCUUUUAAUUGUACUUUUCUUCUCUUUGGCACUGUCAUUCAACUUAUUGCUUGUGCAAGGUUCGUUCUUCUUCAUCUUCAUCUUAAUUCGGUCCUAGAAACUAUGUUUAUUUUAUUUUAUAUACUUUAUUGAACUUUGAAAUGUUUCAAAUAAUCUGUCUUCUUUUAUGGGUCUAUUCUGCACAUUGUUGUAUUGAUGAAUGUUUCAAUCUGAUAGUGUUUUCGUUUCAAAUGGUCUACUACUGUAGAUUUUUUGUUUGCUCUGCUUUGAAAAACGGGAAACGAAAUAGUGAAGAAGAAACAAAUAGAACUAUGUUUGGUGAUCUCCCUCUAAACGUUGUGUGGAAGAAAUUUUAUAUUAUGUUUUAUUUUGGUAGAUAUUUGUUUCUGCAUUAUAAGAGUAAAGAAAGAUAAAUAAUAAUUUUGUUCAUGUUUUGUGUUUUGAUUUCUUCAUUUUUAAUUUUGUUUAUGUUUUGUGUUUUGAUUUCUUCAUUUUUAUCGUCUGCGUUCUAGGAAGAUUUUGAAAAUAUAAACUAAAUUUUGAAAGCUAAAAAAAAAGAGUAGUUUUCACCGUAGUAUUUAAAAUGGUCGAGUUGUUAUUGUUUUGAUUUCUUCAUUUUUAAUUUUGUUUAUGUUUUGUGUUUUGAUUUCUUCAUUUUUAUUGUCCGCGUUCUAGGAAGAUUUUGAAAAUAUAAACUAAAUUUUGAAAGCUAAAAAAAAAGAGUAGUUUUCACCGUAGUAUUUAAAAUGGUCGAGUUGUUAUUGUUUUGAUUUCUUCAUUUUUAAUUUUGUUUAUGUUUUGUGUUUUGAUUUCUUCAUUUUUAUUGUCUGCGUUCUAGGAAGAUUUUGAAAAUAUAAACUAAAUUUUGAAAGCUAAAAAAAAAGAGUAGUUUUCACCGUAGUAUUUAAAAUGGUCGAGUUGUUAUUAUAGUUGGUAUUAUUAUAGUGUGUGAGUUAUAAUAGUUUGUAAAUUAAAUAGUUUGGGUUUGAAAUGUAUACUAUUUUAUUCUCUUUGAUAUGCAUGUUAUUUUUGUACGAGUAAGAAACAGUAAACAAUAUAUUAGGAAAGGAAAGAAAUGAUGAGUAGAAACCGUGAACACUAACAAAAAAAAGGAUUUGGAACAGUAAUAGUGUAGUUAACUUUAAGUUGUAAAUAGUUAGAAACACGUACUAUUAUAGUUGAAGCCUAAAACGUGGAGUGUGUUAUAAUGACUUACUCCACCAACUUCAAGUUGUGAUCCAAAAACAACAUCCUUAGGUAAGAUGAAAACUAUAAGGUAAGAAAUUGUGAAAAAAAAUAAAAUGUUUAUACAAGAAAAAAGACUUGUUCGUUUUGUUUUUCACAAAACAAGUGGAUAGAAGACUUGAGUAUAUAAUUUUAAGAGAAGAAUUACAUGUCAAUUACUGCUAAACAACACUCACUUUUAUAAUAAAUAAAAAAAAAAAAAACUUUGUUUUGUUAUCUUUGAACUGGACACAGUUUUGAAAAGAAGAAUGUUGUAAUCUAGCAAACUCUAACUAAACUUAACAAGGUUCUUUCACAUGUGUGAUCAAUAACCUGUACUUCUAUGUGUUAAAUAAAUUGUAUUAUGUGUUUGUGUUUGCAGUAAUAUAUAUUACAUAAAUGACAAAUUAGACAAGAGGACAUGGACUUACAUAUUUGGGGCUUGUUGUGCCACUACUGUCUUCAUACCCUCUUUUCACAACUACAGAAUUUGGUCAUUUCUAGGCCUGGGAAUGACCACUUACACUGCCUGGUAUUUGACUGUUGCUGCUCUCGCUCACGGUCAGGUAAUUUUAAUAACUCGAAUUUCCAUUUGAAACGACUACUACAAUGUGACCCCUAUAAACCACACAAGAAGUUAGAACUUGAAUCUAAUGAUUUAUUAGAACAUGUUAAUUUAAUUUCGAGUUCAAACAUUUAUUUGGGUAUUAAGAUAAAAUCACAUCCCGCUAAAGAAACAAAUGUCUUAUUUAGGUUUUUUUUUUUAGUUUAACUUUGUGUGUUUCUGUGUAAUAAGUCCUUUCAAAUUCAUUUUUAGGACUAUAGCUAAUAUGUAUUUGACAUUUUGUAGUUGUUUUUUUAACAAAAAAAAAAACUUAUACACAUUACAAAAUUAAAAGUUUAUGGUCUCUUGAAAGAAAAAGAUCUAUAGUAUACCCUAAAAUUAAAAGUUUAUAUAUGAAUAUAUCAUAUAUAUUUUUAAAGUUGACGAAAGUUGUUAUUAAAUAUUUCUUAAAAUUCAUGAAUCUUAUAAAUACAAUCUUGAAAGUUCAUCAACUAAAUCUCUAAUCUAAGAUUGAUGGAUAAUUAUUUUAUUCAUAUUUGUAGACCUAAGUUUGAAUGACUUUCUUCUAGGUCGAGGGUGUGAAGCAUUCAGCCCCAACCGAGUUGGUUCUAUAUUUCACCGGUGCCACGAAUAUUCUUUACACAUUCGGUGGUCAUGCCGUCACCGUGUAAGUCUCAUUAGUGGUCAUCGUCACUGUCAUCUUUUAAUUUCAGUUGAGUAAUUUGAUUUUAUAAUUGUGUUUGUAGGGAAAUUAUGCAUGCAAUGUGGAAGCCUCAAAAGUUUAAGUACAUAUAUCUUGUGGCAACUCUAUAUGUAUUUACACUGACCCUCCCGUCGGCGGCCGCAGUGUAUUGGGCUUUUGGCGACCAACUUCUCACCCAUUCCAACGCCUUCUCUCUCCUCCCCCGCUCCCGGUGGCGCGACGCCGGCGUCAUUCUCAUGCUUAUUCACCAGGUAAUAUUAUUUUAUUUCCGUAAUCAACUUCAAUUUUUAUUCUUUCAUUUAUGUUCUAUUUUUAAUCUAAUUAUUUCAUUAAAUUCAAAUAUAGACAAAAUAUUACCAAAAAAAAUGAAAUGAUUCAAUUCUUAAAAAUUUUCAUUUCAUCUACUUAAAGAAAUUUAGUUUUAGAGAAGUUUAAGUACAAUCUCUAUAAUUUAGGGCAGGUUUUAAUUACAUUCUUAAUUACCCUUGAAUUUGUUUAUUUUAUUAUUAUUUUCUAAUCUUUGAACUUGGACAUUUGUUCCAAGAAAAUACCUUUAUUUGGAGAAUUUUUUUCCUUUAAAAUAAGAUGCAAUUUAAUGUGACGGUUAUAAUAUGUAAAAUUGGAAGGUAUUCUGUAAUCAAUUGCACGACAUUCAUAACGUAAAUUAUCAUGUAAACUGACAUGAUAAUUAAUGUGUAAAAAAGUUAGGUAAAUAAUUAUAUUUUAAUGAUAUCAUUUGGUAACUUGAUGUCAAUUUCUUUCUUUGGUAACAACACUAAUAAUCGUUUUUAACAGUAGAUAAUCCGUUAGAUUGUUAUCUUGGUUAUCGUCAAAGUUUAUUCAAUUUUGGUUUUUUUUCUUUUAAUAAAUCUUAAAUUUAAAUUUAUAAUUUGAAGAUAUGUAUAACAAAAUUGAUUAAAUAAUAAUAAUAAUAAUAAACAAAUAAAUACAGAUAAUUUGUAUCAAAAUUUAGCGUGAAAAUACUAAUACAAGUUCAAAACAAAUAAACCAAAAUAAUAUUUCAACCUCAAAAUAUCACGUUCACUUUUUUAAUUUUCACACAUUAAUUGUUACAUCAAUCUUCAACUUUUAUUUUAAGAGAAAAAAUACAACUGGGACGAAUUGUAAAAUUCAAAUAAAGAAUAAAGAAAAUGAAUAUUUUCAGAAAUUUAAGGACAACCAAUUAGAGUACUUUGUAUUAUCAUAACUCAAUGAUUUAGAUAAAAUUAAGAAAGUAUAUCUCAAAAUUCAUAUACAAUUAUAAGAAACGACCUUAAUAAUCUUUGUUUUUCCUUCUCAUAAAUCUCAUCUAAACCUAAAUUUAUCAUGUUUUUGCAUGGGCAGUUCAUAACGUUUGGUUUUGCUUGUACACCACUCUACUUUGUGUGGGAGAAAGUAAUAGGAAUGCACGAGACUAAGAGCUUGUUUUUAAGGGCAAUAGUGAGGCUUCCGGUUGUUAUUCCCAUUUGGUUUUUAGCCAUUAUUUUCCCUUUCUUUGGCCCUAUCAACUCAGCUGUUGGUGCCCUUCUUGUUAGCUUCACUGUUUAUAUCAUCCCUUCCCUAGCUCAUAUGCUCACUUAUCGAUCUUCCUCCGCCCGACACAACGCGUCUGAAAAACCUCCUGUCAUCGUUGCCCGUAGCUGGACCGUCAUGUACGUCAUCAACACAUUCAUAGUCGUUUGGGUUUUGGUAGUUGGUUUCGGCUUUGGUGGUUGGGCUAGCAUGACUAAUUUCAUCAAACAAGUUGACACAUUCGGACUAUUUGCCAAGUGCUACCAAUGCCCUUCUAAGACGCCACCAGUGCCCACCGCGGCAGCUCAUCGUUGAUGAUGAGAUGUUUGAUGCUUUUUCUUUGUUAGAAUCCUUUGUUAUAUGUUAUAUUAUGUUGGUUUCAUCAAUAUAAACAAGGUCUAUAUUGUAGGGUUAUGUAUUCAUAUAUAACAUACACAUAUAUAUACAUAUUUGUAACAUAUGGUUGAAAUUUUCUAUCUUUCGGUUUAUGUUGUGAUCAUUGUGUGUAUUGUUAGAAGAAUAAUGAAUCUAACAAUUUACCAUAGUUAUUCAAGAAAAAAAAAACGUACUUUUAUCAUGUUUAGGUUUGCCUGUAGUCAACGUUAUUAACCCUAACUACCAAUAAAAAUUAAGUUCUACACCAAGUUUAGGAUUCAAAAUAGGGCCCAACCGGGUUCGAACCGGUGACCUCUUGAUCUGCAGUCAAAUGCUCUACCACUGAGCUAUAGACCCAAUUUUGAGAAAAGAGUUCAAUAUUUCAAAUUUAAACAUAUAAUAUUUAAACUUACGCUAAAUUUUUAGAAUCUAUGGAAACAAGUCUUCUAAAAUGAUUUUAUAGACUUAUUUUAUAUAUUGUGUUAGAUAUGUAAAUAUAAUCUACAACUUUAUUUGUAAUUUGUAAUUUUUCGUUUUGAGAAUUAAGGGUGUUGUAUAAUUUAUAAUGACAAUAUUAAUUUUGUAUUGUAAUUUUUAAGAUCUGUUUUGAAAUAAUUAGAAACAAAACAAACUAAUUUUAGUAUACCAAAUUGCUCAAAGCCAUUUUAAUUCGAAUGAUUUGAAACCAUAAUUAUAAAUGGUUGCACUUGUUUGAAGUCUAUUACUUUUUAGAUGUAAGGUUUCAACUAUUUUAACAUUAUUUUUUUAAAUAAACCCUACUUGAUUAGAUUAGAAUACUAUAAAAAUGGAAAUUCUUCUAAAGAAGGUCUAUGACGAUAUAUGAUAAAUAUACAAAGCUGAUAAACACUUCAUAAAGUUGAAGGCUUGAUACAAGAGUAAUUUGUGUUAUCCAUAUCUUUCAACAAUAAUGAAGCUAAUUCACCUCAACACAACAGGAACUCUGGUGUUGUUAUCCUUGUGCAAUAAAUACGUCAAUUUAGCGAGUUCAGAUCUAAGUUCACUUAUCUCUUGUAAUGAUGUAUGGAGGACAUGGAGACUCGGUCUCUAAUCUCGAAUUGUUGGCCAUUAGCACCCAUUGGUGGAAAUCAACUAUAACGACCCGAAUUUUUCAAAACCAAGUUGGGGUUAUUACUGAUCUAAUUAUCUUAACUUUGUAAAAACAAUAGCGGAAGCAUAAACCAAGUAGUUCCCUAUAGCUAGUCACAAGUCCUUCUUGUUGCUUGCCAGCUUGCCUUUUCUCUUACCUUGGCCUGCAAAAUUAAACAUGGAAAGGGAAGUACCCUCAAUCGUAACAAUCUUCUGAUCUCAAAGGAAUACACAUGGUCUACUGAUCCCGUAGGAAAACUCUUUAGUCUGAUGAUUCCAUGGGAGCGUACGUCAACCUAGUCAGUCUAAUGAUCCUGUCAGACCAUACAUGAAUUAUGACAAACUAGAGGUUCCAGCCUCGAACGCACACAAUCAUAAUAGUGAAUGGUGGUGAUCCCGAGGGACACCGUACAUGUAGGUACACAUUAUAAUAGCCAAAGCUAACAGACACCAAUAGUCUAAAAGCAUGUAACAAUCAAAAUAAGCAUGAAAUGAAACAUCAGUCAUAACAAUCCAUAAGCAUAUAAUUCAAACAUGCAUAAACGUCACAUAAGAUCAGACACUCGUACGUACUAAACUAUGCAAUUUAGUUACCGUUAGUGCAUAAUCAAUCAACACAUGCAAACUCUUAAUUACAUUUUCAUUUGAAGGUCGAGUAGUCUCUUACCUUAAAAUAGAAUUGGACUCCUUUGCAAAAUUCCUUGAUGCAAAUUAAAGCACAAAUUAACCUAAACAUAAGGAAAACAAUUAAUAAUUUUACUAAAUAAAAUUGUAAAUUAUGCCCGGACAAUAAUCUAUGAUAGACAUGCAAACAUCAUCGUACUUUUCACAAUAAUCAUUUCAAAUCAUUGCCUUUUACACAUUCCACAAUAGCCUUCAACCAAACCAAUGACUAACCCUUCAUAAAUUAUCAGUAAAACUAAGCUAAUAGUUAUCCGCCACAAUUAUUACAAUAACCCAUAGACUAUGCAAAUAACUCCCCCAUAACGGUUAUCACAGUAACCCAUAAGCUAAGCAAAUAAUUAAUUAGUAAUAGACUUGCAGUAAACCGUCACAAUCUAAUUCAUAACAUAAAUCCAUAAUAUAGGCAUGUAAACAAUCGUCACUUCACAACAAUUAAAGGCAAUUCCCAUAGUAAGCAUAUACAAAUAAUUAUCCUUUACACCUUAGCCUAAUCCAAUGGCUACUCUUCACAAGUUAAAAGUAACCUUAGGCUAUACAAAUAAUUCACCAUCACAAACAAAUCACUAAGCUAUGCAUAUAGUCAUAUAACCAUUAUCACACACAGUAAUCCAACCCUCAAUCAGGGAUCCAAAAAUAUAGUAGAACCAUACCUUAGGUUAUCCUAAAGUUUCUUGCUGCAAACGAAACCACAAUUCCACCCAUGCAUAACAAAAAUUAAUUUAACAAUUUUUGUCAAUAAAUUACUAAUUUAAUUAUAAAAGCUUACCAAAGUUACCCAAAUAAAAAUUGAAAAUUAAUUUUCAAACUUGGAGGAAAAAUUUACCACUUAAAUCCUCAAUCUUUGUUAAACAUACUUCCAAAGGUAACCAAAAUCAAUUUCAAUAAUAAACUUUGAGAAAACAAACACUUAGUUAUAACUGAAUAUAAUGUUGUAACUUGAGUUAAUAACUAGAGAUACAACUAGGAGAACAUGUAAAGCAGUAAAUCAUAAACACAUAUAACUUUGGUAACCCAGUUCGAUGAUAAUGCACCUACAUCUGAGGAGUUUUAGACCUAGAUAAGAGAAUAUAUUGCUCAUCAUAUAAUUGAUCAUUAUAACGUUACGACUCAAAGAACAACACGUUACUCAUACCUACUGUGCUGAUUAUUGACUAACUUAAUAAUCUGAACCAUGUAAAACAUAAGAAGCAUGUAUCAUAACAUUAUGGAAAUGACAGCUCCUUAAUCAAUACACAUGAGCAUUCUUAGCAUCAACAUCUUUGAUAGCUAUAUCAGAACUCUUGUGCUUCAGGUACAAUAUUAGUUACUUCGAGAAGUUCUCCAAAAACCUCUUACCGUAUUCACCAAUAUAUUCAUCUAAGGCCCAAAAGCAGAACGAUCACCUCUCUUCUACUUUUUUGUUCCACCCAAUACAAAUUAAGAUUUUCAACAAUAUUUUAUUAAAAGAUAUCCAAACAACCCAACAAUAUAGAAGUAUCAUAAGAACCACAAAUAACUGUAAAUAAUUAAUCUCCUCAAUAAAGGUAUAAUGGGACCAUUUUUGUAACAAAACUUAAUUUAGGGUCUCAAUUAACCUUUAAUGGGUAUUAAAAUCUCACAAUAAAAAAAUCUAAAACACUCACCUAAACUUACCAAACCAAGAUUUGUGAGCCGCAACGACGGCAACAGAUGAUAGUGACAAACCAAAGCGUGGACGGCUGUGGCCAUACGGGGUUGCACAGUAAAAGGGUGGUGGCUAGGAUUUCAUAGGGAAGAAGAGUGAAUAUCUUUUUUUUCUUAAAUGGGCAAAACCUUAGACAUUUAUAAUCAUUAAUGAUAAUAACAAUAAUAAUAUAUUCUUUGUUAUUAAUGUAAUUAUAAUUGGUGACAAUUUUAUGAAUAAUAAUUAAGUAUAUAGCAACAUUUAAAAAAAUUACAAAUCUUCUAUCGCUGAUAAACUCUUAUGAUCUAUGAGUAUAAACCAAUAUUUGCAACAUAGUCUAUAAGUGAUAGACUUUGACAGAUUUUGCUAUAUCUAUAAAAAAAUUUAAACGUUGAUAUAUACUUAAUUAUUUUGAAUCUAAUUGUUAUACUUGUAACUAUCUAUUAUUAUUAUUAUUCUUUUGCCAACUAUACAGUAAACAUAUAUAUUUAUUUAAACUCUUCUUCACUCUUCUAAUUAAAUUAAUUUUUUCCAUCCAAUCAAAUCAACCAUCUCUCUCCUCAUUAACUCAUCGUUAUUUUUCCAACAAUUAUAAUUAUAUUCCAUCAUAUAAUUAACUUCACUUUUUCAUAUUAGUUAUUUAUACAAAACCAAAUAAAUCAAUGUCAUAUUUCACGACAAAAUCUAAAUUCUUAAUCAUAUAUUCAUACACAUAUAUAUACUUAAUUAAUUCUAAUUCCACAAAAACUAACUUUUCUUUUCGGAUCUCAAAUCAACUCAAAUCUUCAAUUCUUUUAAUUAACCAAAUCUUUUCAACUGCUUCCUUUGAAUGUUCUUCCUAUUAUGUACCUUGUACACAUAUCUCUUCCUGACAAGUUUUUCACUCUCUAGAUUCCGUCGUUUGUCUCCAGUUUUCCCAUUCAAGCUCUGCAACAUACAACAAAAAAAUUUGAUCCUAAGAGGAUCGGGCUAUGCAAAGAAAGAAAAAGAAAAUAAAGAAUGAUAAUAGACGACUGAAGACUCUUUAAAAGAGAAAUUACAACCCAUCCCAACAACAACGAAAAUACGAUUGAAUGGAUUUCGUCACCCAAAUUCGGACCCAAUAAUUUACCAAAUUACACGUGAAGAACUAGUUUUAGUGGUAAAGUCCGAGUCAAACACAAGAAGCACAUAUAAUUUCUCAAGUAAAUAGUUUCCAACCCAAGGGUAACAUAUGAGGGGUUUUGAAAUUAGUUUCGAUUACGAAGGAGAUGAAUUAAGGGUGUCAGUCGAUGUGAGAAAGCUUAGCUUGAGUUAUGUAGGUCACCCUAAUCGAUCUGAUCAUUGAAUUCUCAUUAUCAAAUCUAACAAUUGGUACUCCUAACUAGUUUUAUUAGAAAAGAUAAACAAAUUGUCCUAGGCAACAAAUUAGUUCGAGUUAAAUAAAUGAAAAGCAUACAAAAUUCAAUAUAUUCACACUAAUUGCAUUAGGUUGAAAACCUAAUUUUCAUGUGUCUAAUUAGACCAUCCUCAAGUAUAAUCGUAAGUCAAUUAAAAAAUAAUACAAGAUUGAAUGGAUUUCAUGAGCUAACCUAACUUAUCACAUUUUAAAUUAAAUUACGUUCAAUUCAAUUUAACGAAGCAAAUUGCACACAAUAAAAAACACUCAUCACAAAGUCCACAUGCAUUUGACAAUAUGAAAAUAAUCGUUGAAAUAGAAUUGGAAUGAUGAAUACAUCAAAUUCAAUUCAAAUCUCACAUAUCCAAUGAAUUCGAGGGAGAUUACUAAAAAUUGAUCAUGCUAAGAGAAAGUACCCUAGCCCAUUCUCAACAUUCCCAGCAAUGGAAAAAUGUUCAAGUACAUAAUAUAUAGACCAAAAUAGAGAGAAAUCGAGGUUAGAGCUGAGAUAAUCUAACCUAAGUGGUGGACGAAUUAUUUAUAAAAUCGUAACGACGCUGAAACACUGUCUAACGGACAGCACACAUUUCUACUUCUUAACAUCGCGGUUCUACAUUGCUUUUCAUGAAUAGUACGGCUAUUGCCUUACAGUGCCACACAUAACAUAGUAGGGUAUUGCGACGCUGCAAGACAGAGGCUAAUCUUAGCCUUUUCUUUGCAGUUUGAUUCGGUUAAUGCCUAUUUACUUCGAUUUUGUCAAAUUUAGCUCUUUAUCAACAUCAACAACGAAUUUUACCCUUACUUAGCUAUUAAAACCUACAAAAUAGUCAAAUAGAAACAUAAAAUCAUAUAACGAUUUCAAAUUAAGCAGGACUAGUUAAUACAUUUUCAAUGCUAUCAACUAUAGAUUUGAAAGGCUUGAAAGAUUCCCUCAUAUGUUUAUAUGGACUCUAUUGUAGAGAAAAUUCUAACAUAUCAUGUCACUCAAUUAUAUUAAUAACUACGAAUUAUAUUAAUAACUACGAGGUAUGCCGUUCAAAUCCCUUUACUAAAUAAACCUUUACAAUAUUGUUUUCUUCGACAACAUCAUUUAUUUUAAGAGAUACAAUAAUUAUUGUUCAAUUCUCAUCCCAACAUGAAACAUCAAGAAUUUUUAGGUGGGAGAAACAAAGUACAAGUAUCAACAUCGUUAGAGUUCAAGUUCAAACUAGAAAAUUUUUAGGGUUUUACAGAAUUUACAGUUGAGUGAAUACAGAAAUCAAACAUCAUCUCCUUCACUUCCACCAGUAUCUGCUUCAUGACUGACCCAGUGACUGCUUUCAUCAGGUCCCAAAACCUUGAACCUGUUCAAACAAUGUAACUUUUUUCAACUUACCUUUUAAGAAUGAUUUGUUUGGUGAGAAUCUAUAAUUUUCAUUUCAUGGGCAUUUUGGAUUUCCACGUUUGUUCUGCAGUAAUUCAAGAUGUCGUAUAAUCUAGGGAUAUCCUUUUCAAGGCAUCUCAAGGGUUUUAAAUGCUGAGAUUUUUCAUAUGUUGAGGGUAUCUGCAUUUUACUUUUAUUUUUCCGUUUGUCGAUUGAGUACUUACCUUUCAAGUACAGAUUUUCCUUCCUUGUAUUUUUGGUUCUUUUCAUGGGCAGUCUCCUGAAAGAAACCAUAAGAAUAGUUGAGAAGUAAGAAAGAAAAUAAAUAGUUGAUAUUUCAAAUCUUUGCUUCUAAUCUUACAUAUUUCCAUCCCACCAUUGAUCCACAGCCCACACAGAAGAUAUCAGCAACUGUAUGCAUCCCUGUCAUCAUCAAUCUUUCUUCUAUCUUACCUAAGCAAACAUUUACCCUGGAGAAAGUUUUGACAAUGAGAACCCAGUCUAUGAGAUGAGGCACUUUUAGAAUUAGUUUUAGAGAAACUCUAGCUUAUUCUACCGUUAUCAGAAAGUAACAACGAUUUAGAAUGAGAAACACUUCGAAAGUGAAAAUACAAACAGGUAUGCGUGUAAAUCACUAUUUGAAUGAAUAAAGAGAUUCAUUUGUUGACAUAGUUUUUGUAACUAGAUUGUGGAGCAUUGGAUUAUUUGAGAAUGAAUUUUCAGUAAAAUCACUCUCCUAUGUAUUCUCACAAAUCCCACGAGUUCUGUUAUGAAACAUUAACAUCAAAUUACUGAUCAUUAUAUGCCAAGUUUUUGUAUCUAUUAAAGAAGACCCUUGCUAACUUGAAGCUACAAAGAUGAGAACACAAAGUUAUGAGUUUGUUAACCCCUUACAAAAUUCUGAUCAAUCCAAUCCACACAUAAGAAGCCUAUAACUUUUUUAAAAAAAUCAUACAUCGACUUUAACAUAAUAUGAAACCGACAACCAUAACAUGGGUUACACAAGUCUUUAAUAACCUACUUAUUCAUACAAUCCAAACACAAAUUGCACAAACGACCCAGGCUUAUAAAAACCAUUUGUCAAACAUGCACCUAGGGGAGGAGACAAGAGUGUGUUAAUCAAUGUCCAAACUCUAAAAUCAAGAAGAACUUACACCUUAUUGAAGAGGUAAGCUUUCCCAUGUCUGCUGUGGAAGGACUGAAUGGAACAACACAAACAGUACAAGGAGUUACAAUGUGGGUUUAAGCAACUUUUGAGGAUAUUGGGACAGGACAGCAACAUAAAAUUUUCCCAGUCAAAAAACUUAUCAUACCUCCUUUUGUUCCCAAGUUCCUAAAUUACAAAGUUCAGCAGUAAACACAAUUUAAGAUAGAAUGCCAGCAAAAUUGGAGCCAACAAUAUAGAAAUUUGGAAACAUGCAACAUAAAAAAAACAACUCUUCAAUCGCAAAUGUUCUCAACGAAGAGAUCAAAGUUCAAAUAGAAUUUUAUAUAAAUGAAUCAAUUCGAGCGGUGUUAAUACAAAAUGAUAUAAUCGUAAAAGAGAGAAUGAAAACUAACCUUCUAAUUACACCAUAGUGCACUCUAGCACCGCCUAAAAUGCAUUAUUGCGUCCCUAACGAGAUUUUGAUUAUUAGAUUUUCAUUUUUAAUCACUAGUUGACUGGCUCUCAAUUUAAAUUUUUUUAAAAAGGUGAUUAAAAUGAAUAUCUGGUCUGGAACUUCAUAAUUUUAUGAUGAAAGGGGUAUCCCAAUACGAUAGUGGUUUGUGACAUCACCGACAUGCUGUGUUUUAUUUAUUUUUUAGGAUUGGAUCGUUCCUAAUUAAUACCGGUACGCAACCCCAAGUUCAAAUUAUUAACAAGUAACAGAAACUUGAAUUUAAAUAAACCUACUAAUACUAUCUACGAACAUGGGAGAACUAGAGGGAAAAAUCGACAAGAAACCAGAGAAGAAAACAGGUAAAAGGAAGAGAAACCUUAGAAAUGAUAUCGUCGUAAAGAGCAAGAUGGGUCCGGCAGAACUUGCAGCUAUAGAUCUGCCCUUCCAAAUUCACCACGAAUAAUCUUCCCAUAGCUUUGAAUCUUAAGCUUCCCACAAAUAAUCUGCAAAAAAAUAAAAACAAAACCCAUAAUGAGGAAUCGACAAAAUAUUAGACAGAAGGGUCAAGCAGAGAACCGAGAAUUAUCAUCAUCAGAGCCCUGAAGAAGAAGAAGAAGAAGGAGAAGAAAGAAUCUGGGGGUGUUCUAAAAUGGGAAAUGGAAAUCACGUUUUGCAAAGAAGCCCACUUCUCAAGUUGAUUCGAAUGUAAAGCCCCUUUGUUGUGAAUUGAGAAAGGUUGCGAAAUCAAAUUAGAAAGAAAAGAAAAAAGGUUUGGGGAUGAAGAUGAUGAAGGAGUUAUGUCAAAAUCAGAAUGGUUCGCUAUAUUAUUCAUGAAACUUCGUUGUCCUGUCUAUGAACAUUGGAUGAUCUUUUUAAGUGAGAUGCGCGUGUGCCAACAAAAUGGUGUUCUACAUACACGGAGAAUUUCAUCAGCCUUCAAGGGAGGGGACACGAGAUAAGAAUUUUUGUAGGAAUGACCUAUAAUUUUUUUUUAAUUUGAAAUGUGUCACCUUUUAUAAAAACAAUAUUUAAUAUUGUCACCUUUUUAGGAUUAUUUUUCUACCUUACUCUUCUCAUUUUCUUUGGCUUCUAGCUCUUGUGUUUUUGUUUUUACUCACUUUCUUGCUUCUGUCUUCUCCACUCGACAUUUGAAAAAACCUUGUUUGUUGUUAAUUGCUAUUGCAUGUUAUGGAGGAUAAAGGAAAAAUUCCACUUAAGUUGUCACUUAACGUGAAAUACAUGAAAGUGAGUGUCAUCGUUGCUAGAGAAGAAACUGAGAGGAGAGGAGAGGAAAAUGAAGGAAGAGAUGAGGGAAGAGAUAUUUUUAUUGAGAGAAAUAGAAGGAGGGUUUAAAUUUGAUUUUUUUUUUAUAAAAAAAUUGACUUUGAUUUUGGACAGUUUUACACAUUUUGUAUUUAUUUAUAUCCAAUUUUAAUAAAUACUUUUUUUUAUUAUUAUUUACAAAGCUCUUUUAGUGAUGGAGAGAAAAUUGAUUUAUUUGUGGUUGAGAAUAAGCAUUUGUGAUUAGUGUAAAAACUAGACAAAGUAGACUUUUGUUUGUUUGUUUUGUAAAAAAGAGAUUUUUCAAGAAAUGAAUGUAAUUAGGCCUCCCUUUUUUUCUUAACAUCCAAACAAUAAAGUAACUUUUUUUUUCUUAGAAUUCAAACAGGAUUAUAAAUUUAAAAUAUUUUAAGUUUUUCAAACAUGUUGAAAUUUAAAAUAAUUGAUUUGAAAAUCUAAAUGUCGAAGAAAGCAUAAAAGAAUAACACUGUAUUUAAGAAAAAUGAUCCAAUCCGAUCACUACAAAUUAAAUAUCAUAUUUUGGAAUAUAUAUAUUCUUUUUAACUCUAUAGAUGACUGAUUUUGGAAUAAUAUAAUGUCAAUGAGAACAUAUAUUCUUUAAAUAAAGGUGAAAGCAAAAGAAAGGACCAUAUAAAAGGCAAAACACCAAAGAAAAAAAACACAAUACACAAACUUCACAAAUAUAAAUGUAAAUAAUGUGAUGAUACAGUGCUAAUUCUUUGUGAUUGGGUUAAGUGUAUGGGUUGCAAAAAUAACACAAUACCAAGUUUUGCUCUCAUAGAAAAGGCAAUUCAAAUGUUCAACGUAUCAGUUGAGUUUAAAUAUACCAAUUAUUAUACUUUUAUCCCAAAAAAAAUAUAAAAAUGAAAUGUUCAACCAUAUCUUAAUUUGCUCAAAGUUUAAAUAUAUAAAUUACUUUUUAGAGUGCAUGUUAAAUUAUUAUAGUUUAUGGAUAAUAAUAAAUUAUUAUAGUUUGUAUCUCGGAUCCAUAUUAUUAUAGUUCAAAUUAUAGUCGUUUCUAAAAUAAAUAUUAGUUAUCUUGGACAUGCUUUUUAUUUUUUUGCUCUAUUAUUUUUUGUAAUACAUAUAUUUAGGUACAUGGAAUACUAUUUUCAGAAAACAAGGUUCAAACUAUUCCUUCCACCUAUUUAUACAAUCUAGCAUAAACCAAGAUUCAAGCUAGGGCUCUCCUCCAAUCUCACGUAUCCUCCCCACCUACUGAUUUAGAACAUAUUCAUGUUGCUGCCUUACUUAGACCAUGUCAAAUAGCCAAUUCCUUUGUUCCACCUUGCUUCAUGGAGUUUUAACUGCCCAUAUUUGCCUAUACCCUGCAAACAUUGGUUACAUCCCUAUCUAGUCCUAGCUCCAACAUGUACACCACUGAACGACCAACCUUGAUUUAUCUCACCCUAAACCUUGAUUUUUCGUUCGCUGUCUACUGUGGAUGCCAGCAGAUUUGUGUCCAAAUCUCAACAACAUUUCAAUCCCACAUUGUGUAUACUCAGAUUGAAUUCAUUGUAGGUAUCUUCUUAGUGCAUCCACCACUUACAUGUCGCAUUGUUUGUGGUUUAACCUUUCAAAUCUACCUUUAAAUAACUAUUUAUUUUUUCAUAUAUGUCAUUUGUGAGACUUUGUUCUGCUUUCAAAUGUCAGUCAUAAGCCUUUGUUUUGUUUUAAAACCACAUUUGUGGGUCUCAAUUUCGAGCGUAGAAGUUCUUCAUGUUCUUGGUUUUUUGUAAUUAGUUGUUCCAAGCCUAGACUUGUCAUGAUUUGAUUCAAAAGUGUUAUUCAGUUUUUGUAAUCUACCAACUUGAGUUUCACCUAGUCAUUUUACUCGGCCACUUCACAAACUUAAGUAGGUGGUUACUUUACCACCUUAAAUUUGAGGGAGGGAGUGUUAAGAUAUGAUUUAUAUGUCUUGUCGCGACGGAUCGCCACGCGGAGCGGCCGAUCUUCUCGUUUAUUUAAUUUCAAUAAAUAAAUAAUUUUAAAGUCGUCACCAACCAUAUUAUGUUGUGAUUGGUCACCUAAAGAAAAAAAAAAAGAUUUAAAUUUGAGAGUAAGUUGUGUAUAGGGAAAGUGUUAACACCCUACCACACUCAUAAAAUGGUUAUCCAAUUUUAUCUUUUAAACUAAAUAAAAGGUUUACAAAACAAUACUUUUCUCCUAUUUAAAUUGGAAAAUAAAUAAUAAUUAUAGGAACAAAACAUUGUGAAAUUUGAGAAAUACUUUAAAAUAAAUAAGGUAAUACGAUUAGAUAAAAUAAAUAGAGAGAUAAUAUAAGCAAACAAAUAAAUAAAGGCAAAAUAGAGCGGGAUGCAAAAAUAUGCAAAAUACCAAGAUGAAAAAUAAUUAAUUAAUCCAGUCCAGGUAAUUAACGCAGGAUGUCAGGCUAAUUAAUUAAUGCAGAAUGCAAAUGCAGUAUGCCAAAUGAAUAAUUAUUAAGACAUGAUGUCAAAUGUGUGCUAAAUAAUUAAUGAUGUCAAAUGGGUGCUAAAUAAUUAAUGAUGUCAUGAUGCUAAUUAAUUAAUCCAGAAUGCAAAUAAUUCGAAUGAAUAAUUAACACAGGUCAAAUGAGUGCUAAAUAAUUACAUUAUGCUAAUUAAUUAAUGCAAAGUAUUAGCACAUGAGGCCAAAUAGAUACAAAUAAUUAACGAUGCCAUGAUGCUAAUGAAAUAAUGCAAUAUGCAAAUAAUUGGAAUUAAUAAUUAACACUGGAGAACAAAUGGGCGCCAAAUAAUUACACGAUGCUAAUUAAGUAAUAGGUCAAAUAAGUGUCAAAUAAUUAACGCAAAAUGCAUAUGCUAAUUAAUUAAUGCAUAUAUAAAUAAUUCAAUUAACACAGACAAAUUAAUAAUUAACACAGGAAAAUUAAUAAUUAUUAACCCACUAGUUCAAAUGAGUGUCAAAUAAUUAAGGCACAAUGUCAUGCUAAUUAAUUAAUGCAAGAUGUAAAUAAUUCAAUUAACACACGCAAAUGAAUAAUUAUUAACACAGGCAAAUGAGAGCAAAUAGGUGUCAAAUACUUAAUGCAUGAGGUUAAUUAAUUAAUGUUGUAUGCAAAUAAUUCAAAUAGACAAUUAACACAAAUGUCAAAUGAGUGCCAAAUAAUUUAUGAACCAUGAAUUAAAAAAAAACACAAUAAAUUUCACGUCUCCGUAAUUAAAUUGACCUAAAUUUAAAAGAAAAUCUUACAUAUCAAAUAGACUUGACUUAAAUUCAAUAAAAUUGAAAUCACCAUUGAUUCGGAGAAAAGGCUUCUUUCUCGAUCCUCUUAAAUUUUUCCAAACCACAAGCAGAUGAGAAGAUUUUUUUUUACAGUAAAAGUGUACUUUUUCUCUAAAAAUCUCCACGCUCAUAUUCAAUUCUCCCUUCUCCAAGCAAAUGCAUGUUAACUAAUCAUUAUGUUUUAACUAAUCAAAAUUUUAUUCAAAUGAUCUGUAUCCCCUACCUCAAAAGAAAGUUAACUAAUAAAACUAUAACCAUUAAAAUAAAUUUUAGUUCACCAGAGUUUUGCUAUAACAACAUUCUAAAAUGAUUUCCUCAUAUGUACAUUCAAUAAUCAAGUUUUACUCAAAAGUGCAAUGAAUCAAAUAAAUUCAUAGGACACCAAUUAAUUAAAACUUCGAUCAUUUAACACCAUGUGAAAUUAAAGCAUGUUUGCAUGGUUGACAAUAAAGCAAUGCCAAACACAUAUGCAUUGGAAAAAAAAAAAGUAAUACCUGAAAAAAUAGUAAACAUAGAUCAAUUCAAUGCAUUAACUUUCAUAAUUUAAUUUGAUGACAUAUUAUAUUGUUCAAAGCUUGCAUACCUUUAAAUAUUGAGAGCAAAUUUAUUUUGAACAUAGAAAAAGAGUUCAUACAUUUCUAGAAGCAAAUAUUUUACUCAAUCAAAAAAAUGAUGUGAAUGACAUAUUUUGAAUCUGAAAACUUAUGACAUAUUUUGAAUCUGAAAACUUCAUUAACCAAAUUAUGGACAUUUCAUCAAACAAUUGGUGGGCAACACAAAACAAUAUUCAUUUACUUGGUGGCAGCUAGAAAACUAGAAAAAUUAAGUAAUAAAGAAAAAAAUUUGUGAAGAAUAUAUCUUAAAUGCAAUGUUGAGAAUUGAAUUUCAAGUUUAAUUGAAAAAAUCAGCAGGAGCAAGAACUCAAUUUUCUUAAAUUUCGACCAUGGGAUUUUGUGUCCAGAAACUACUUUGCAAUUUUAGCAAAUAGCCUAAAGCUUUACUCCAAAGAUAUAUAGAGCUUUACUCAAAUACCAUAAAACUAUCUUUUAUGGGAUGAAUUGCUCAAAGAAAAGUACAGAGAGUAAAGAUUAGAUUCAUAAAUACCUGAGAGACCGCCACUGACGAUGAAGGUAGGAGAUGAUCGGCGGUCUGGAGAGUGAGAGGGCAGUGAUUGAGAGAGGGCACGAUGAUGACAAACGAAGGAGGGUUUUGCUAUGAGUGAGAUGGUUGUGAAGAAAAUUAUAGAACGUUGCGAAGAAGCAUCAGACGAAGAAGCCUUCACUGUGGACAAAACUCUGCAAUAACCUUGAGCUAUCACCGAGCGGAGAAGCUUGGUGGAGGAGGGGAAUCAAUGACCCGUGUGAGACCACUGUAGGGACUUGACGACAUGCAGUGGAGAAGGGAAAUCAUGCGAUUGGAAGAGGAAGAAAAAGAAAGAAGGAUUUACUUCGUGAAAUUGGGGGAACUUGAAAACAAAUUUGAAGUUCCCCUCUUUUCUUUCGUUGUUUUCUUUUAAUUUAAAAUAAAUAUUUUAUUAUUAUUAUUUAUAUUUCAUGACACUUAAAAGUUGUCAAAGAUUUAUGACACAAAAAAAUUGUCAUAAAUUUUUCAAAUUCGAAAAUGUUCCGUCUUUUUCCACCAAAAACGCGGAUUUUGGCAUUUAUGACAAUUUUUUCUUUCUUCAUUCCAAUUUGAGAUGUAUUCAAAUGUCAUAAUAUGCGACUUUUGUUGUAGUGAUGUCCUCUCUUGAAAAAAAUCUCCUCCUUCUCUUUUUAUAGGGCAAGGUUGAUCAUUUUAUUUUUAGAUCUGUAAGUGAAGUAGAGUGAAAACUAGCGGAGAGAAAAUGUGAGAAAGUGGGAGAGUAGGAGCGUGGUGACGAGGAAAACAAAAAAGUGAGGAUUGUUGAAAAAAAUAGGGAGAAAAAAAACUUUUUUAUUUUUAUUUUUUAAAAAAUGUUUUUUUCUUUUGUUUUUUUAGGACCUAAAUUUAAAAUAGGAAAUUUAAAUUUAAAUUUAAAUUCAAAUUCUUUUGUACAAAUAAAAAUAAACAUAAAUAAAUAAAUGAAAAUGAAAAUGCAAGAUAAAAUACGGUAUCUAUAACUUGCUCCCCUUUGUCUAUCCUGAAAAUAUUUAAUGGUGGACAAAGAAAAUAGAUGAGGUAUUUGGGCCAAUUUUUUUAUUUUUUAGAGAGAGAUAGAAAGAAAAAGAACUAUCAAAUGAAGGAUAUCAAUCUUAUCUCUAGAGCUAGAUAUGAUAAAUGAUGGAUCUGAUAGACAUGCUUGUGAACCUUUAAAGCGUGGAUUUAAAGAUGUAAUCCAAUGUCAAAGCAACCUACAUGAGACGCAGUUGCAAAGUCAGAAACAACUAUGCGAUUUGGAACUAAAAUUUGACAAUACAAAUAUCCAUUAUUUAGGUCAAGUUGACAAACUCCAAGUUGCGGUGCAAGAGUUUAUAACACAGAAUCAAACACUUAAAUCGCAAAAUAUGGGGUUCAAGGCACAAAAUCAAGUGAUCAUGGGGAUGAUAGAACAGUCUGAUAGGCGGAAUGAUGUGCAAUUCAGAUCAACAUUAAAAGGCCUUCAUGCAACAAUCUGUAGCAUCAUUCCAGUACCUAAAGUUCCUCCAGAAAUUGCAACACCCCUUACACAAAAUUACACUGCAGUACGCAGCGAGGCAGAAUCUUCUCGACCACCAUCGCAAGCCUAAAGGGGGAUUGCUUUAAAAUUUUGUAAAACUUCUUGUAUUAAUCGAGUAUUUAUGUAAAUUCCAUUUAUGAAACUUAUGUUUGUUUCAAAAUAUAGUACAAUUCUUUAUACAACUCUUUAACAUUUGGUCUUUCUCAUCGCAAGAGCUUUGCUCCCCGCAUUGAUAACACUUUAAUUUUAUCUUGCAUCUCAAUGAUAACUUCAGUCAAAUAAACUAUGCGAACUAAAGUUUCAUUUAUUAUUCAGGCGUUUAACUUGUUAAGGAACCUCACUUAUCAAAUAUUUCUAUAGUUUAUUAAGUGAGCAAGUUUUACCUCAAACCUCUCUGUAAUAAGUUUUUGUAAAUAAUCUUAUCAUUCAUUUUUAACAAUGCAGACAUAGCUAACCUCUAAAUUUGGGGGUGUGCGAGGUCCACGCUAAAGCUUUUGAAAUAUGUUUGAAAAUCCUGUGGCAUCGUUUGAAAAACAAGGCAUUUUAACAAAAGUUAAAACUCUGCCAAAAAUAUGAAAAAUUAGAAAAAAAUUGUAUUUAAUUGAAAUAACAACUUUUAUGUUGUCUCCUCUCGAUAAAAUAAGAAGCAUAGCUUCAAAAGUAAAAACCAGAGAGUUAAGUAAUAAGAGGCGAUGAGAGAUACAAUUGAGGAGAGAAACAUAUCCAUAGAGUACCUAUGAUUUUCCAUUGAAUGUCAAACCACAAAUAAAUAGUCGACUAAAAAGCAUUCUUUCGCGAAAUAAAAGGAGUCAAAAUUCUUCGAAAAUUUUAGCAACUUAUAAUUCUGAAGAUAAGAUUUACCUAUGGGGAAUGAACAAGAGUAUUUUGAGUAUUAAGCUUGUCGCAUUUUUUAACUUAGAAAUGAAGUACGCGAUGAAAGUAAACCCUAAAUAACGAAUAAAACUUGAUCGCGUAUUGAGAAGUUUAGAAGUGCAAGGAGGAGGGUGAAUCUACGAGUAGGAAUUGUGCUUCAAGACAAGUAUGAUAUGGAGCAAUGCUUAACAAGCAUUAUUCUAAAUUUUAGGGUGUGAUAACAUGUAGAAAUAAAAGUUAUUACAACCUCUUUUAUUAGAAUAAUGAGACCAAAAUAGAGAAGUACAUCAAAACGCGUAGUUUAUAUUUUUUUUUGCAAAGGUAUUGUAAUAAAUGUUGGGGUGGGGAUUUGAACCCGAGACCUCUUGUCCACAGGAACAUACAGGUGCCAGUUGUGCUAAGCUCAUGUUGGUCGCGUAGUUUAUAUUGAAAAUACAUAACCAAGCGAUAGAUUUUACAUAAGCUUUCACAUCUGUUUAACCAUGAUUACAAUGGCUUAUGGAGGAUUAAUAGGAGGAAGUGAAUUAGUGAAUUGCAAGGAAACUCACGUCGGUGCUAUGUGAUAAAGAUUAACAUUUUUAGGCAAGAAAACCAAAUCACAACAAGAAAAGUGAUUCACUAAGAGACAAGAAUAGUAGUUGGAGAUGAUGUGACUCGCGACAGAUACCAUGGGCGUGCGGCGCUGGUGUUUGUCGUUGACAUGAUUAGAAGAAUAGAAAUUUCUCAUUGAAAGUGCCUAUAAAAGAACUUCUUCUUCAUCAAAUAAAAUUGAUAUUGUAAAAGGCCUGAAUGAGCCAAAACCUAGGGAGAAAGGCGGAAAGGAAUAGUCUUUCCGCCAUCUGAAAGAGUAGUUUUCUUCUUCUUCUCUCGUCAUACUAUAAGUGAGAGCUUAGAGUCUAGGUGAUGAAGGUUCCAUUUCCUAUUCCCCUAACUUGUAUUCAUUCUCAUUCUUCUGAUUUCCCCUUUUGUAUUCUUCGUGUAAUAUUUAUAUUUUUCAUAUUGUACAAUGAUCAAAGGCCUACAUUCUUUAUAUAUAUUACAUGUUUAUACAUUUUCAAUCCAUCAUGUCUCUACUUUCCAUCAAUCAAUGUGUUAUUGAUAGUUUCGGUCGGUGAUAAGUUCUUGAAAGGAAGUUUUACUUAUCAGUCUUAUCGCAUUAAUUGAGUUAUUCUCAUAGCUUGACCAGCGUAAGUCGCCAACUACCUAAGAGGGUAAGUAGCAAGGACAUAGUUAGCGAGUGCAAAGAAGAGUUUUCUCUUCCUUUGCAAGAUAACUUUCAUCAUUUGUAUUCUGAAAGGUGAAGUGUGGGCACUAGGCGCCAAGAGGUCGUUGUCCUUAAUCACGAAGUUCUAUACAUCUCGUAAGUGAACUCUUCUAGAUAUAUCUCGUCAAAUCACACUUAGUCAUAUGGAUCCUGAAAGGUGACCAUGUGUGACGUUUAAUGACUCUGAGAGAAGCAUGCCUUAAUCAUAAGCUAGUUGAGUAAGUUACAUCACAUCAAGGUUAUCACACUACUUAAUUAUGUUAUAAUACAUAGACAUUCCUUCAUUUUUUCUCGCAUACAAGUUAGUUCACAUUUCCAUUUGCAUCCACCCCCAUUCCUUAACAGAAUCUCUAUGCAUAUGUAAGUAGUAUUAUUUCUAGCAUUAUUCUUUUAGAUGUUAAUUGUUUAUUCUUUUAUACCGUCUGAUUGAUAAAUAGACUCUAGAACGAAGUUUGAUAUUAAUUUUCCGUGUUUGACUUUGAAUCACCCAGAUAAAUCUAUUGUUUCGCUUAUACUUGGACACGCAGUAGAAAUACUUGUACUAAAAAAGGACUUAGUAGUUACGCGAUAAAGAGGUAUAUAGUGAGUACUUCGCAUACAGUUAUCAUGAUCAAUGACUUAUCACAUAGAAUUAAUUAUGCAUUUAGAUAACCUUGAGUUCGAAGGGAACUGAACACAUUUACACAUCACAUCACACUUCCCCAAACAACCAGUUACAAUACAAAAUUCAAUAGGAUGAAUGUUAUUAUAACACAAAAUUGAAUGAGAGUUAUCUAACAAUUGGUAACCUACGUAGGUUAUGGAUAUAUACAUUCAUAAUUUUCAUAAAUAUAACAAAACACCAAAAUAUUUUCGGCUCGUAUAACAAAAUCAAAAAGCCAUUGAAGUCGAUUAACUUUGUAAAAAUACUUUAGGUUUGCCAUUCAUUUCCAUCUUUUUUCUUCUGCAAUUUUUUUUACCUUUUCAUCGUUUUUUUCUUCUUCUUCUGCAAUUUUUUUUAAUUAUUAUUUAGUUCAAGAUCAUGUACCAAAUAUGAAAUAUCUUUUUUUUUUUUCAAACGGUUACUUAGUUGUUCAAGAUUGUGUGUCAAAUACAAAAAAUCAUUGGGAUAUUGAGUAGCCAAAUCUAAACAAUCGUGUACAAAAAUAGUCAAAUCUAAACAAUUGUGUAUCAAAGAAUCUUGAAAAAAAUCAUUUAGAUUUAGCUACAUAAAUUUGAACGAUAAAAAAUCUAAACGAUUGUGUACCAAAUAAUCUUGAAAAAAAAAUCGUUUAUAUUUGAAUAGUCAAAUAUAAACAAUUAUGUAGCAAAGAAUAACGAAAUCUAAAGGAUCAUUUGCCAAAAAUAUUAUGCGCGUUGAGUGCUAAUUAAUCAUAUGGAAUUUUUGGUAUUUUUCAUUGUGGGUCUGUGAGUUUUUUCCGUUUUUGAAAUUGUUCUAUACCGUAUAAAUAUUUUAUCGGUUUGUAAUAUUUUUUAAAAGCCAAUACAAUAAUCUCUAUUCCUAAAAUUGUGUUGUAUGGCAACAUUUUAAAGAAAAUCAAAGAUAAGAAAGUAUAUUAUUGAUAAACUCACUUAAUUGAAUCAAAAUUUCGCAAUAUGUACAACAUCUUCAGUAUUGUGUAUUACCUACUUAAAUUAUUUAAGGUUUGAUCGUCGUAAAUAUAGGCAACCAACUCAAAUUUCAUUUUUUUAAAGUUUUAAAUGGGCUGAAAUUUGAUUGGGCUUCCAUGGCCCAAUAAACAUUUUUUAGUAGUUUAGUAGAAUAAAUCUUGGGGUUGGCCCAUACUUGACAGGAUUCAACACCAACUACUACUUGUCGAACCCAAUGGCCAUGCCUUUAUUAUCAAAUCAAAUGUUGGUGAAACAGAUCAAACAUCUUUCUUUUUCCUUUUCUUUUUCUUUUAUUCAGAAAAAAUAUUUGUUUUUCAUUACUUUUUACAAUUAAGAUUAAGUUCACACAAUUAACACAAAAAAGUAAGAAUGAAAAAACAAAUGUAAAACUAUCAUAGAGUCUGAGUUACGGGAUUGAGAUUCUAUUUAUACCUAUCAACCUUAAAAAGUUCAAUUAUUUAACCCUCUGAUCUAAUUUUGUCUUGAGACUUUUCUUUUCAUUAAAUUCAUAGUUAGAAAUGUCUGCACCUUCAAUUCAUAUGUCGUUUUAUAUGAGUAAAUUUGAGUGUUGGAGUUUCAAAAAUCAUAAACAAAAGAAAUUAGAACAUAAACGUGGGAAUGAGAAAGACAACAUGUAUGGUUCACUAAUGUAAUGUGUCUUUGUAGAUUUCAUUACAUAAGUAAAUUUAAACACAACUCCACGUUAAUGUCGUGACGUUUUUUCGAAACAAACUUGUAUUGAACCUUUAAAACCAUAUACCUCCAUUUUCCCAAUAUCACUGCAUGUUUUCACCACAGAUAAGAGCUAAUUCAUUUUUCCAAAUCUUAACCAAACUUCAUGACUUUUCUUGAUUAGAAUUGAGGACAGGUUUUCCUUUUCAAACAUUAGAUGAUUAGACCCCACAUACCUAACAAUGUUAGAAAAUAAAAAGUAACAUAUCCAUCUCAUUAGGCUCCACACAUGUUAGAAGAGACCAAUGUUUCAUAUCUUAACCAAAUUGGAUAUUUCUCAUUUUUUCUUUCGAACAUAGAUCAUAAGCCAACUGCCAUAUAUGCAUAGAGUUUAUAUGGUUUAGUUUUCUCACACUCUGAUCCCUAUAGCUCCCUCAUCUUUGUUUCUUUUUCUUUUUUGAAUAUGAUAACAUAUAGUAAGAGAGGGGAAAAAUAAAAGAGUUGUUGGGUUUGAGAAAUGGGUUGUAAAGAAAAAGAAUAAUGAUGGGGAAAGAGAUUAUUAGAGUGUGUGUGUGUAAGAGAUGGGUGAUUGGGAAAACUGAUAAAAGACCCCAUCAUGUCCACAUGUUUCCAUCUCAAUCCCUUUGUCCUCUUAAACAUAGAAAGUGAUGCUCAUGUGCCUUCCAACCAACAUAUAUAUAUAUAUAUAAUACAUAUCUCGUUUUAUACAUAUAUCUUCCAUUUCUCCUCGUAGUUUCCCUUAAUCCCAGCAUAAUCCCCUUUCUAAUUCCCCUUUAAUCAUUCACUUUUUUUCUAUAUAUUUUAUUAACCAUUUCAUUAAAAGAUAUAUAUAAAUUAAAUUUCUUUGAUGUAAUAUAUAAUAAAUUAUAUGAUAACAAUAGUUCAGAUAUUAUACCUAAUAGUUAGUUCAUAACUACAACUUUAUUUUUAAAGGUUUUAAAAUAUAUUAUCAAACACACUUGAACAAUAGUUUAAAUUAAAAUUUUAUUUUUAAAUUGGCCACAAAAAUAUUUUGAAAAAUACAAUUUUAUUUUCACUAAAUCUAGUGUUAUACUUAAAUUUGGAUGAUUAAUUAACCAAACAUACUUUUAAUUUCUUAAUUUUUUUUUUCAUCUCUAUUGAAAGGGAAAACAGGAUGUCCUAAAGAAAGAAGCUUUCUAAAUUAGAACUGUGUUAAAAGGGGGGAAAAAGAAUGGAAUAACAUAAUCUGUUUUGUAUAAUUUGACACAAAAGUUUGAAAAAAAAAAAAAAAGAAAUUGUAAACAUAAAAAAUAUAUAAAAAAUAUAGCUGAUUUUCUUAAAAUAUAAAUAAUAUAUUUACUUUUUAGAAGAAAAAAAAAUUGUGGCUUUUUUCUUCUUGUCCAGUUAAGAAUGAGUGGCCAUGUCUGUCUCCCAUUUCCUUCACAAUAAGCAAUAAAGUUAACAUGUAUAAUUCAAAAGAAAUAACUGUGUUGUGUUGCUGUUUAUCACUUUUUGUUUUGUAAUUUGCAAAGGAGGGCUUUGAUGACUUUUUUUCUUUUUUGUUGCAAAGAUAAAGAAAUUGUAUAUAUAUAACUAAUGACACUUUGAUUGUGUAACUAAUUGUGCUUUUGGGGACUCCUAUUUGGUGGAAUGGAAAAUGAUUGGUGGAAAUGCAUAAGUUAGAGAGAAGAAAGAAUCAUAUAGACACAAUUAAAGUGGGCUUCUCUUUAUGAAUUCCUCAAUUGAUUAUAGACAAAGCAAUGGACCAAAAUCCAAAGAGAUCCAACACAUGGAAUAUAUUACACAUUAUUAUAGGUUAAUUAGUGUGUGGUUUAAGAGUUUUUUUUCUGUUCUUUUUUUUAAUUAGGGAAGUACUAUAUUAGAUUUGUAUAUAAUAUAUUGGUCUUGUUUAAUUGUCUGGUCAAACCUUCCAUUCAAAAAAUAUAUGUUCCGAGAGUUUUGAGCUUAGGAAUUGUCUAUAAAACCUUAGCAUUUAUAUAUUGUGAUUAAAAAUUUUGUUCUCUCGAUUAUGGGUUUACGUCGUUCCAACCGUCAAUGAGGCUUCGUUAGGUUGUUGGUGAGAUAAGAAAAUUCACUUGAAUAGUAAUUGGGAACUCGAGGUGAUUUUUUUGGUGCUUUGAGAGGAGCUCACUCAAAGUUUGGAAAAACCUUGUUUCGAGAUGAGGGGAUCUUAUUGAUCUUAUAUUUAAGGAGAGCAUAUAAGUACGUAUAUUAUUGUAGUGAGGGAAUCUUACCCACAGAAUGAGCCUAAAUACGUCUCAUUGAGGAGAUAUACGAAUCUCAUCCAAAGUUUGGAGAAGUUUUCAUCAUGGAUUUGGAAAAAUCUAAAACUUAAAAAAAGUCUAGGUUGAAAUUAUUUUAUAAUUGCUAAACCCUUUCUAUAUUUAUAGGGAGCCUAAAAUGCAUUAUUUUAUAAUUGUUAAAGUCUUCCUUUAUUGAAAUUUUUUCCACUAGAAAAUAACCCUAAAAACAAUUGACUUACCAAUCUCUAUAUCUCAUUAUAUAUAUAUAUGUUGGUAUUGUUUUUAUAUUAAUUAAGUUGUUCUAUUCCCAUCCAUUUUUUCAGUGUGCAAUAUCCUAUUUGACAUUUGUAUUUUGUGUUAGAUUCAUUUUAUUUUUUUAUUAAUAAUUCUUUGAUAAUAGUAAAUGAUAAUAAUUAGAGUAGUUAUCUGCCAAAAUUAAGAUAAUAUGAUUAAAAAAGUUCAAAGAUUCAAAGAAACAUGAAGUGCUGUCGAGACUACAAAUAUAUAUAUAAAGUUCAACACUAUAAAUAUAUAUAUAAAGUUUAACACCGUAUCAUCUAAAAAUAUUUGAAUUUAUAAUGUUGGGAAUCCUAACCUUAAAAAUCUUAUGGAUCCCAAAUAAUAGUUGAUAAGAUAUAUUUUAAUAGUUGAGAUUUGGUUUUUUUUUUUUUUUAAAUUUUGAGAAAGUCAUAUCAUCCUAAAUAUAUACUCCAUAUUCUGGAUGAACUAAAUUUAUCAAGUAAAUUAGUAGUUUUAGUAUUUUUUUUUUUUUUUUUUAUGAUGAGAUUUAAAUGACAUUCUUGUUAUAAUUAUACACGGAUUCUAAUUACAUUAAUUAUUUUUAGUUUUUUUUUUUAAUAAUUGAAUGCAAGAAAGAGGGUUUUUUUUUUUCCUUUUUUUUAAUCAUGCAUUCAAUUAAUAGUUAUAAGCAUGGACCACCAUACUUCCAAUAAUUUCUGCUUUAACCACUGUCAUAUUAAUGAUCAUUCAUAAAUAAUUUACUUUGCGAUAUACGAGAUAAUUACAUAAAAGUUAAAUCUUCAUUUAUCAGUCUCUAAUCUUUUAUACACACUCCCCUUUUUUUUUCUUUUCUUAUAAAUCUAUUUAUAUGUAAAAGUCGAAUAAAGUCGAGAUUUAAACUAUUAUUUAGUUGUUGUAAUAUAAUUAUUGUAGAGAUUUGGAAAACUAAACCUCUUGUUUUUAAGUGAAUUAGAGAUUUAUCAAUUACAGUAAGUUAAGCUCUAUCUCUUUUAUAAAGUAUUAUUUGAUUGGUAUGCAUAUACACACAUACGCCUUGGAAUAAAAAAAUAGUUUGUUGUUAAGUUUGAUAUUAUAUAUGUCCUGUCCUUAAUUAUUAAAUUUAUAUGGAGCUGAAAGGGAGGAAGCUUCUUGAUGAUAUGGUGGAAGAUCUUUCCUACUUGGGUUCAUGAAAUCUAAAUCUUGACCAAUCAAAAUUCCUCUCAAAUAAUUUGUUUAUAUUAUCGUACAAAACAUAUGAAAAAUAAAUUAAAUUAGAAAAAAGAAUGGGAUCGAAUUUUCUUUUCAACACUUUUUUUUUAUUUGUCGACCAACUUUUUAAAAUCUCAUAAAUAAUAUUUUUCUUUCAUUUAAACAUGUUACACAUAAAGUUUUCAUGCAUGCUUCAAAUAAGUCUUUUAUUUUAUUUAUUUAUAUUUGCUAUAAGAAUUGAAUUCAUUGUUUAAUUUUAAAAGAUCAAUAAUCUUCCACGUCGAUCCUCUUCUCCUUGUAGAUUAUGUUUGUAUAUUCAACCUUGGACUACAACGGACGCAUGCUCUGAUUUUAUCAGUUUCAUACAUGUGACAUAUCAAUAGGAAAGUAUCUAUUAUUACUUUACACAUUUGGAAUUGUACAAGGAUAUGAUCAUCAAUAAUUUUGUCAAUAAUGUUGGGAAGAAGGAAGUCAUCAACUAGAAAAACAUGUCAUUAGUGUCAUACUAAUUUGAAUUAUCGACCACAUUUAAUUUUCUUUGACUUUGCCUCACCAAAUAUUAACAUACGUCUAUGUAACUUUAUAAGAUUAUGAGAGAAUAGGAAUGAAUUGAGAUCACAUUCUCGAAUGAGAAAAAUAUUGAGAAUAUGAAAAAAUGGUUAAGAAAUCUUUGAUAAGAAUUGAAAGUUACUAUUAUUUAUAUCAAGAAUGUACAUAUAUUUUAAUUGAGGAAGCAAUCCUAAAUGAUUAAAACGGUUUUUGAUUGUAACUAUGUAUGGAAACACAAAUGGAGUGUUUUCUCCCCAAAUUUAAAUAAAGGCACUGCUCGUUUCUGUGUUUGGACACGUGAUUAUAUUGAAAUUUUUUUUAAAACACUGUUUAGUUUUCAUCAAUAGUUUUGUUUAAAAAAACAAUAAUUUAAUGUACUAUAUUAAAAGUAAUGAUCGGAAAAGAUAUAUAUUAUUGGAAAGUAAAAUAAGGCUUAAAAGGUUGAUCAUAAUUAAUAUUGAGGUUCUGCCUAAAAAAUAAUGAAAAGUAAUCAAAAUUGUUAUAAUUAAUUUGAUUGUUACUUAACUAAACUAUACUUAACCAUUUUAGAUCUAUAUUGCAAAGGUGAAUGUGAGAGCAAAUUUUUAAAGAAGAGAUAGAAAAAUAAUUAUAAGAUUGUGUUUGAUCAAGGUUGCUAUUGAAAAACUAUGUUUCUUUAUUGAAAAUUAAAGUACCACCAUAUAUAUGUUAAAUAAAGAUUUUACUUCAAAUGAAUUGAAGUGAAAUGGUUGAAGAGGAUCUCAAAUUUGUGUGAAAAUAGAGCAUUGAUAGAGGUGAGGGAGAUUUUUAGGAGCAACCUAAGUAAAAGUUAGGAGUUGGCUAUUCACAAUCGACCCAAUGUUAGAUGUGUCAAACUUAAAAGAACUAAGUUAUAAAUGUUGAACUAUUUUCUUUAGUGAAGUUUAAACUUCUUUCCACGAGACACAUCUAGAAAUUUAGGUAACGUUGCACGAAACUGAAGUUACCAAUUCUUGUGCAUUUUCGUAUUGUUUAUUUGUUGUGCUAAAUUUUAGUGUUUCUUGUUGAAACAUUACAUUUGGCAGGUAUUCAGUUGUUUGAUAUUCACAUGCAUUUUUUAAAAUAAUAAAAAGAUUAGGAACAUUUAAGUUUAUGAAAUGAUGUGAAUGAUAAAAUUUAGAUGAAAAUUUCAUAGAUAAAGUUUUAAAGAGGUUAAAUAAGGAUUCAUCUCAUCUUAGUACUAAUUAGAGAAAAAUAUACAAGAACUAGAUCAUUCUCCAUUUAAAUACAUCAUUAGAAUUUCAUAAAUGAUAAAUAUAUAGAAUUUGGAUUUUUUUUUAAUAAUCUUUCUCUAUUCUAUAGUUGUUUCAUCUCUAACUUCUAAUUUGAGAGUCAUUUUUUAAAAAUAAGUGAAACUUUCUGAAUGAGAUUGUGACGUUAUUGAUAAAUAGAAAAUGAUCGAAACUUACAGAAUCUCAAAAAAGUAAAUCAUAGAUAAGGAUCCAAGUAAACUAUUUGGGUAAAAGCAAAAAUUGUGUAAUUGUGUAAUUGUGUGUUGAAAAUUUCCCACAACAUGCAUGUACAAAUUUUAUUUGCUUAAAAAAGGCUUCAAUAACUUUAAAGGAAAGAUGAAAUUUGCAAGUGCUUUUGGGUGGUUUGAUAAAGUUAAGUUGUGAUCGUGUCAAAAUAGUCAUAUAUCAAAAUGCAGAGGAAGAAAAAGAUGGUGGAAGGGACUGGAAUAUGAUGUAGAUAUAUAUAAUAGAGUGAAUCUAUGAUAAAAUAUUGCAUUAAUUUAAUGGAUUCUUUUUUUCUUUUGAAUAAGUCCAAUUGAGUUUUUAAAUUGAAUUAGACUGAUUGAAAAUGAUAGAGCAUUUAGAAAAUGACAAUUCAUAUAAAAUAAUUAUUUUAAUAUUAUAUUAUAUACUUUAUUGUUCACAUUCAAUUAUCAAAACAUGCAUUGGGAUUAUAGGGAAUAUUUAUUUUUCGAAAAAAUAUAUAAUAAAAUAAUGCUAAAUCUUUUUUAUAUAUUUAAUUUAUAAAUAUUUUUAACAACUUUUACGAUUUAAAGAAUUGCAAACAAUUAUUCAAACAGGUAGAAAGAAUUCUAGAUAUUAAAAGUUUAGGUCACGUUACAAAAUUCAACAUUAAAUUACAUAUUCAUUUUUUAAAUUUUUAAAUAAUCGUAUAUCUAAUAUUUAAAAGAUUUCUUUUUUAAAUAGUAGAUUUUACAAAAUAUUUACGAUCUAUAACAAAUUUUAUCAUCGAUCGUCGUUGAUAUGUUAUAAUUAUAUAAAACUAUCAAAAUUUUGUUGAUAGAUAUUUUAAUUUAUUUUUAUUUAAAAAAUGUGAACCUUUGACAAUAAGUUUAUCAUUUCAUUGUUAUGUUAAUUGUUGACACAACAUUUUAAAUUUAAAAUAAUAAUUAAAAGAGAAAAGAAGAAAUGAAGAUGGAGGAUAGAUAAGAGAGAUAAAAUACAAUAUUUUAAUUAUUAUUUUUUAAUACAAAAAUGCAAUAUCAAUAGUUAAAAUAGAAUUAAUUUCAAAAUCUAAUAAUUGAAACUAAAAGACUAAAGAAAAGAUUACGUGGGUGUUUAUCAUUUGGACUAGAAAGUUGAUGGAUUCCAAAACUAAAAACUUUAAUUUCAUACAUUGUUGAAUAUACGAUAUAACUCUAGUUGUUUAUAAUCAAAGUUGGUCAUUUUGUAAAAUAACAUUUCUUAUGAGAGGUAAAUGGUGUAAAGUAUGAUUAAAACAAAAUUUUAGAAUUGCAACUUUAUUGUUCAUUUUCGUAAUGUGUGUGUAUAUAUAAAAGAGGAGUAAAUUAAGUUGGUUGGUUUGUAUUAUAUGAUGUGGGAUGAUGUAAGAAUAUAGAAAAGAAGAAAUGAUAAAAGGUAAAGAAAAUAGAAAAAAGAGGAAGCACACGUGCAGUGCAGGGUGUGACAGGAGUGAAGAAAGAGAGAGAAAGAGAGAGAGAGCAUUGGAAAGUGUUAAAUACAAAAGAAAAUUUAGAAUAAAACCAUAAGCAUAUAUAAUAUAUAUAUAUAUGAAUAAUGAAUUUGAUGUUGAUGUUGAUGUUGAUGUUGAUGUACACAUAUCGAAUAUUGCUGAAGAUUUUUCAGAUACACACGUGUGCUUCAGACCUCGUGUCUCUUACCUCACCACCUUUGACUACUACACACAAAUAUAUAUAUUUCUUAUAAUACCAUGUAUUUGAGAACUACAUAUCGUUUUACAAUAAAGUGUACACUUCUUAUUUUACGUCCAAAAAUCUUCGUUUAAGGUAUGUAUAUAUUAUUAUAAUCUCAAUUUUGGAUUUCUGUAUGAUUUAUUGAUUUGGUUUAAGGUUGCUUUAUUAUUAUACAUUUACUCCUAUCUUAAAUAUAUCAUAUUUUGUAAAUUUAUACAUAAAAGAUGUACUGUUUCACCAAGCAUAAGAAAUGUGUGUUUGAUUUUAAAUUAUGUUAUCCUUAAUUACUUUAUCUUAGUCCAUUUGGGAUGUUCUAGUACUGUUGAACAAAAUAUGUGAGAUUAGACUAUAAAUCAAUAUCUUGUUGAUUAGCAAGGUAAGAAAGUUUCAUUUUAUAAUAUUACACAAAAGCAUAUCUCUAGGACUAGGGAGUAAUAGUUGUCGACAAUAGGAGGUUGCAUGUACAUGUGUGAAGCUAUAGGAAGGGUUCGUUAAAGGAUGAAUAUCGUUUUUCAGGAGAUUAAAUGUCCAAAUAUAUAGGUUACUUUAUCUAUCUCGUAAUUGACUUUGAUUUUAUUUGAAGGUUGCAAAUAAGAUGAAUCAUGAAUUUAAACUAAUGAAAACUAAGAAACAAAGAUUAAGAAAAAAAAAAAUCAAUUUCAAUAUUAAAAAAAUAUAUAUUCCAGAGUGUUGAUUCCAAUGUCCAAUUCAUUUUGUCAUAUCUAUGCUUUACAUACCCUUGUGUUCAAAUGUUGUUUUUCAAUCUAGAAACUAAAUUUCAAUUUUUCUCAUGUAAUUUUAAUUGAUCCCUACCCUCUUAAAACUAAGUUUAUAAACUUAACAGUAAUUCAAGACCUUUGUCUUUAGAGGUUGAGGUUGAAGUUGAAGGUUUAAUGCCACCAAUAAUAAACUAAAAUAUAACUAUUUAAAUUAGUAAUUUAUUAUAUAGUAGUUGAUAAUGAGUGUAGUAAUUCAUCUCUUAUAUUGAUGGUGAGGUUGUUUGACUUUUAUUUAAUAUAUAAGGGUUCUCAACAUGUUCAUUUCAGGAUAGUUUGGGUUCACUAUUAUUGAUUGGAUCACAAUUCUAUUUUAUUUGAUCACAUUCCUGUUUGAUCUUUGUGGAAUUUUAUACUAUGUUUGAUAAUAUGACGUUCCAUGGAUCUCAACAUGAAAAAAUUUCUACAUUGAAAAAAUAAAAGGACCUCACAAUUUUUAUAAGAUAUUACGAGGCUACGAGCUACUUCCGUUGUUGCCAAUUGAUUUUGAGAUGAAAUUACCUCAUAUUAUCUAAUUUGGUAUCAAUUUCAAAAUAUGUCAAACAAGAAUGCGUUUUAAAAAAAAAAUCCAAUUAAGGAGGGUAAACCCAAAAGAAGCAACAUCUUAAGGAGAUAUGCUCAUAAUCCACAAUUUGAAAAAAUCAAACGACAUCCCACUUGUUAUAAGAUAAAUGAGUACUCAUGUCACCAAUUUAUUUUGAUGAGAUAAAGACCUUGUACUGUGAUCUAAUAAAAUUAUCAAUCAAUGGUUCGUUGAAGAUCAUCAGUAACCCUUUGAUUUGCACCUCGAAAUGGAUGAUCGAUCUCCACCACUCCUUUUGCUAUCUGCCCUCUAUUUUACAACCAAAACCCUUUCCAAAGGUGUCCAAAGUUUGAUAUUCAAAACCCUAUAUUUUUAUAAUUGGAAAUCAUGAUGCAUGGCAUCACGAGGUUAUCCAUGGUCGUGGGUCUUCAACAAUUAAACUUUAUACUACCACGGUGUUAUCUAAAAAUGAGCUUUCAGUUUACACAACAUUGUGCAAUGCUGAGAGGAGCAAUGCAAAACGCCCCCUUCUUCAAUAAAUCUACCUUAUUUUCUCCUCUUAUUUGUAGAAAUAUCCCAUAAAUGCUUCUAUUGAGCACAACCGAUCAUUAUAUUUUUACUAUGUGCAACUCUAAAACUCCCUAUUUUGCUUAAUUAUUGAAAAUCACUUGCAUACAACAUCAAAUCUAAAUUGAAGGCAGAUAAAGCACUUUUUAAAUGCUUUCCGAAUUGUCAUAACAACACACAAUAAAUGAUGUCAAAAGACUGAUGAUAGAUUACUAUUCAAAAGUUAUUUAGAAAAUGUUAAUCAAUCAUGUUUUUCAAGGAGGAACUCGUGAUACAAAAAUAAGUUAUUAUGCCAUAUAAAUGUCACGUCCCGACUCAAAAGUUAUUUUAUGCAACCUAGUGGAGGUGUGUUGCCUAAAUACUCAACAAGUAUCUCCCUGCAAGAUAGCACGUGGAACGCCUAUUAAGCAUAACAAUUUAAAAGUUCAAAUAAAAAAAAAUUGACUUUGAUAAGUACAAUGCAAUAUAAUAACUUAAACAACCAACUUAACUCACUUAACUUAGUUUUACUCAAGCUCUUUAACUACUAAGCAAUAAGCACCAAACAAUGUAGCGAACUAAACACAACUUUUUCUCUUUGUUAACUUAGCAAUUUACACCAAAUACAAAGAAAAACUCAUGCUUUCUUUCUAGCAAGACUUAAAUAAGAAAUCAUAAACACCUUCACAGUCUUCAGCCUUGAACAAUCGUUUAGCUCUUCAGACCGAUCACUUGCCUUUUAACCCAAUCGCUUCGCUACCUACACGAUCACUUAGCUCUGAUUGCUUACCUUUCAACCCGAUUGCUUAGCUCUCUAAAUUAAAUGAUUGCUCUUUCAACUUGAUCGCUUAACCUCCUUAAAUGAUCGCUUAGCUUCUUACAACCUGGAGAACGGAAACUUAAAAUGUAAGUCAAAGACUUAGUGAGUGAGAGUUUAGAAAUACCUUUUGGGGAAUGCAAUUCAAUCAAAUAAAUCACUUUUCGUUUUCAUAAACACAGGCUCACAACACCUUAUUUUAUAAAAUCAUAGAAAUCACGCAUUAGCUUCCUCUUAUUCCUUUCCACCAAGAACAUGAAUAAUGUCAAGACUUAGGAUUGACUCUCAUCAAUAUUUUGCGUUUAAACAACUGUGAUGUUCACUCCAUCCAUAGCAUCCGAGAAUUUCCUUGAUUCAUUUAUUGUUGCACAAGGUAUCCACACGACACCUUUACACAUUAUGUGUACACCACAUAGCAGUUGCUCACUUAAUAGGAAUUGGACUAAUGGCUUAUUCGUACACAAACGUCACAAUCAUCACAUAGAAAGCAAUCGUUUUCUCUAUUCAAAUAAAACAACAACAACAUCAUCAAUAACAACAAUGCAUAGAUAUACAAAACGCAUUAUGCAUAAGUACAAGACGCGUUAUGCAUAAGUACAAAACUCAGAAAGAAUGCUAGCAUUUCCUCAGCAAGCAAAAGUACAAAACUCAGAAAGAAUGCUAGCAUUUCCUCAGCAAGCAACUAAACUCUUAGUAAAAAUUCUCAAAAUAACACCUUCUUUAAUCCUUCUCAAUUUCAUUUAUACUAAAAUUUUUAGUCUGCUUAGUCAUCACUUAAAGUCUCUGUUAGCUUGUCAUGUCCUACUUACACUUUACACAUAUUGGCUUACAACUUAUCAGACCAUGCAAAUAACUUAAGCUCAACAUGUAGCCAACUGUCAACUAAACAUUUCUAAACAUUUUCCUUGAAAUGUUAAACUUUUCUUCUCAAAAUGCUCAACUCUUUAUCAUCGGACUUUUCCCUAGCAAAACAACAUCAAAACGUCUGCUUCCUCCUACACGAUGAUUCAGCCUCUUAAACGAUCGUCUAACUUUUCACACAAUUGUUUAUCUUUCUUACGCGGUCAUUUUAAAAAAAUACAUUUUCAAAACCUUCUAUUCAAGCUUGGGUCUUACAAUAAAUUGAAUUAAAGUGUGUAACUUGUGGUAUAAGAUUCCUUGAUAGAUUUUUUUAUCUAAAUUUUGUAAAUGUUUUUUUUUCAUUUGUAUUCAUUUUCUUGCUUUAAACUUUGGCAUGUUCAUGUAACAAGUUAAAUUUUAAAGCAAAUAUUUGGAUUAACUAGAAAAAUAAAACUUUUCAUAAGAAUAUAAUCUCUUUUAAAAACCCCCUCUACAUGCUUUUUAUUACAAGGUUUUUUGAUACACAAAUUUGUAUAGUUUUCUUCGUCAUAUUAAAAGUAUUUAUAGUAAUUAACGGACAUUUUUAAAUAUAGCCAAAAGAACCAAAAUAUUUAUAAAAUAUAAAAAACUUCAAAUUCUAUCGACGAUAAACAAUGAUUAUUGAAAAUAAUAGAUUUCAAUCAAUGUCUAUCAAUUACAUUGAUAGAAACUUAUCGAAGUCUAAUAUUAGAGACUAUCUGUGUUUAUCAUGGAUAAAAUAUAAAAUUUUACUAUAUUUUGUAAAUAUUUUCAACAAAAUUUUGUACAAUAGGACAAUUAUAGAAAAUAGCACAAUUUAAGAAAUAAACUAAAAAUAUAACACAAUAUUUGCAAAAAUAGCAAAUGUUGACCAAUUAUCUGGUAAUUUUUUUUAAAACGUUAAAUAUGCCUUCAGUGUGUCUAUCAUUGGUAGUCGAAAUCAAUGAUAGCAACUAGUAGCACAUUUUUCAUAUUGAAAUAUUUUUCAGUGAUAGCAACCUAUGAAACCUAUUAAUUGCUAUCACCGAUAUAAUAGCUUUCAAUUUGAGAAACUCAAGAAGAAGCACUCAUAAUAGUAGAAAAUAAAAUGUUAUCUUGAUAAUAGGCUACCGAUCUAUAUUUAAUGGUAGCUUUCAAUUCGAGUAAAUCAUAAAUAAACACUUGUAAUUACGUAAAAAGCACUAGUAAUGGUAAAAAAAACUAGAAAGUCUUCCAACUUAUCGAUUCUUUAAGCCCCGGUGCAUCUUGGUAUUUUUUUCAAAUCUUCGCAAAUCUUAUAUAUUUUUUAUUUUUUUAAAAAAAAUUGACAAAUAUUAUAUCCAAUUCUUACAUUUCAUCCAAAGUCAUUUCAUGAUUAAAAAAUUUUAAAAUUCAUCUAAUGAUUUUGCUUAAAAAGUAUAAAUAUUUUGAUAUAAUAUUUGGUAAAGAUGACCGACUUUGAAAAGAAAAUUGAAAAUAUAUUAGAUUUGUGAACAUUUGAAAAAAAAAUACUAAAAUCUCACUGCAAUCUCUAUUGAAAAAAUUACAUGAAUGACAAUCAAAGUGACUUGUUGCACUGUGACGAAUCGUGGUGCUAAUCGUAAUAUCGGUUGCUCCCCAAGGUUAACACAACACCCUACUUCUGACGGUCCCUACUUCAAAUGGACACUCGUCAGAAAUAAGAAUAUAAACAAUAACAGAACUUUAGUGGAGAUGGAGAGGUUUUUAGUGAAGUGAAUAAAGAAUGGAAUGAGUGAAUAAUUCGGUUAAAGGGAUGUAUUUAUAGAAGAGUCCCACCAACUGCCAUCUGAAAAUGCGAGUGAAGGUAAGGUGCAGAGGAAAAGUCGACUUACAUCCUUAGUCACACAAGCGUGAUUAUCCAAGCUCACUCGCCUGUUCGUCCAAUCGGCGUGUGUGGUGACAAGGUCAUACUAUCACCACCAACACAGUUUAUAAUUCCUUAUAGUACUUAGUUGUCUAUGUCCACUUACUUAUUCCAAUUUUAUCAAUGUGGAACAAGGAAGCUAACUUUGCAUUAGGCCAAAGGCCCACAGUCAAUUUUCAACUAUCCCCUACAAAUUACUGUAGCAGCAAAGUUAUAAGGUAGACAAGAGAAAAUUUGUUUUGAGAAAGGAUGAGACAUUAAGCUUAGACAUCAAUAUCCAAAUAUUUGAAUUGAUGUGUAGUGAAGUAAGGCAACAACCUUGCUAAGGAGAGUGAAUUAGAUCUUGAACUUUCUAUAACACUAGUUGAGACCCUUACGACACGCUCUAUGCUUAGUUUUUGCCAUUGUGUUUAUGCAAUGUGGGUUUAUGCCUUUAUGGACAUGCAAAUAGAAUGAACCUCGAGUCAUCGUAAAAGCUAUAAAAAGAGAUCCUUUUAACUCUUUCAAAGAAGGCAGUCUCACCUUCACAAUCACGUUACAUGCUCCAUCAAGUUUGUCAAAACAAACCACUCAAAAAGAGCUAUGAAGACUUCAUCAUUAUCAACAGAAUUAUGGAUCACUCAAAGGUUUUAGUAACAUCCAUCUAGUCCAUUAAAUAUUGUUUGCACAAUGGGCUAUGGACCAUGAAGUCUAUAUAUCGCAACAUACCACCCAAUAAGAGGUUAUGGACCAUCAAGUCUAUUGCAAUAGACCAUCCAAAAUCAAGUGUUAUGGAUCUUCGAAGGGCUUUAGGCCUAUGUUCACUGAGGAAUCUAGAACCACUUUCCAUGCUAGUCCUUUGGUUAAAGGGUCAUCCAAGUUCAUCUCAAAUCAAACGAACUCUAAGAAAAUGGUUCAUUCCUUUAGCAAAUGUUUCACAACUCCAUGUCUAAGACGUAUAUGUCUUCUUUUGCCAUUAUAAACAUUGUUCUAGGAAAUAUUUAUGGCAACAUGUGAAUCACAGUGUUUGGACACAGGUACAGAUGCCCCCCACAAUGGUACAUCUCCUAGUAGACAUUUUAAUCCACUUAGCCUCUUGUCCUGCCAGCUCUAAUGCUAUAAACUCAUAUUCCAUAGUGAAUCUGGCUAUGCAAAUCUGUUUUGCAAACUUUCAAGAUAUUAGAUCCUCCCCCGAGUAGAAAUACAUACCCACUAGUAGAGUUUACUUCAUUUUUAUCUAUAACACACAAUCUGCAUCACAGUAUCCUUCCAAGAAUAAUUUUUUGUUCCUUUAAGAUAUUUCAACAUAUGACAUAAAGCAUCCCAGUGGUAUUUGUUAGGAUUAUGUGUGUAUCUACUUAAUCUACUGACACCGUUAGCAAUGUCGAGUCUAGUGAAGUUCAUUAAAUACAUAACACUACCUAUGAUCUUUGUAUAUUCAGAUUGAGACACACUCCCUCUUUUAUUUUUCUUAAGAUGUUUACGAGUUUUUACUUAAUAGACAUCGAAGGAAUCAAGUUUCUUUAGUAUUUUCUCAAUGUAGUAUGAUUGAGACAAGGACAAACCGUUUUCAUUUUUUAUAAUUUUAACACCAAGAAUUAUGUGUGCUUCUCCUAAGUCUUUCAUUUCAAAGUGUGACGACAGGAACAACUUGGUAUCUUUUACUAACUCCAUGUUCGUCCCAAAGAUGUCAUCAACAUAUAAACAUGUUAAUAUGCACUCAGCUCCAGGCAUCUUUGAAUAAACACAUGUAUUUGAGGAAUUUACCUUAAAUUCAUUAUUUAUCAAAGUAUCAUUAAAUUUUUUAUAUCAUUGUUUAGCAGCAUGCCAAAGACCCUAGAGAGAUUUUUUAAGUUUUCAUACUAUGUUUUCUUGGCCAGAAAAUUUGAAUCCUUCUGGUUGAGUCAUAUAAAUUUCUUCUCCUAAAUCACCAUCUAAUAGUGGUUAUCUUAGUUAUAGGGAAAUAUGUGUCAAAGUAAUCAAUACCUUGCUUUUGAGUAUAUCCUACCACCACUAAUCUUGCCUUGUAUCUUUCUACUGACCCAUCUAGUCUUGUUUUCCUUUUGAAGAUCCAUUUACACUUACUUGGUUUACUUCCUUUGGGAAGAUCUACUAAUUCUCAUGUUUGAUUCAUGGUUAGUGAAUCCAAUUCGCUCUUAAUAGUCUUCUUCCACAUAUUGGACUCUACAGAGCUUAAGGCCUCUUAGUAAGUUUUAGGAUCUUCAUUUAUUAAAAACAAGCUAUUGAAAUUCUAGUCAAUUUCAUCGCGCCUUUCUACUAUAAAGGUGCUUGGGAAAUCUAGUCUAAAACUUUUCUUACUUCUUUGUCUUUUAGUUCUUCUAGGUUUUAAUUCAUACCUUACAUUAGAAGCAUCAAACUCAGGUGUUUCAAUAACAACUGUGGAGUUUUCUAGAUCAUGCAUAUUUCUAAAAGGCAGGGAACAGAGAGAUCUCUUUAAUGGAAAUUAAUGCUCAACGAAUUCUGCAUCCCUAGAUUCAUUUAUGCUCUUAUCAUUUAAACAUAUAAACCUAUGUGCAGCACUAUUUGGAGCAUAACGGAUAAAUAUACAGUCAAAGAUUUAAGACCCUAUCGUGGAUUUCUUCAGUACAGGAAAUGGUACCUUAGCCAAGCAUCCUCACAUCGUCAAGUAGUUGAGAUUUGGUGCGUAUCUCUACCAAAGUUCGUAGGGAGUUUUGUCUAGUUUUUUGUAGGAUACACAGUUAAGAACAAAACAUGCAGACAACACGACUUCUCUCCACAUUCCUUUCUCCCAACGUUCAUUCGGCCAACGUCGUUAAUGCGUCGAGUAACUUAUAGGACUCUAUCGAUGUUCUCGCCACGUCGGGAGAAGGUGUUUCCCGACGAUGCUUCGUGGAACUUGUCCCCGAUGCCAUCUUAUAUGCGUAGGGAUAAGACCUUUUUUCCGACGCAUUGAAUAUGUUGGGAAUAGUAUAUAAGAUUUUUAAUAUGUUUUUUACAUUAUUAUUUAUUUUGUUUAAUUUUUAAUUUUUAAUUUUUUUGUUUCGAUUGUAGUUUAUAUUUGAUUCCAUUUCGAUUUUGAUUUAGUUUAAAUGCAACUGACCAACCAAAAUAAUUUUUAUUUUUAACUUGAAUUCAAUUUUUUACACCUCACAUGCUGAUUUUAACCCAAAAAUAAUAUAAAAUCUUCAUUUAUAGUUAAACUCAUUAAUUUUGUAAAAGUAAAGUUUUACAAUAAAUAAAUAAAAUAUAUAUAUAUAUAUAUAUAUAUAUAUAUAUAUAUAUAUAUAUAUAUAUAUAUAUAUAUAUAUAUAUAUAUAUAAACUAAUUCAUAUAUUUAACACUGAAAUAACUUGGUCAAAAAUUCAUAAAUUUCCAAAAGGAAAAAAAAGGUUUAUGAUAUUAUUUUCUUUAAAAUAUUAUCAAUUUCAUAUCAUGGGUAGGUAUUAUUGAUGUCAAAUUUUGGCCAAGGAUAUUAUUGAUGUCAAAUUUUGGCCAAGGAUUAAGAAUGCACUUGACCUUCACGAAAUGUCAUGGGUAAAUUUGUAAUUCAGAAAAGAAAUGACUUGCAAAUCAAAGAAAAAUGAUUUCGAUGUAGCGGGGGAUCCAUAAAUUUUGUUGAUAUUUAUAAUUCAACAAAAAUAAUCUAAAACAAAAAGGUAAACAAUAAGGCUUGAACUUAGGUCUAGAAAGACUAGAAGGCUAAUUUACCAUUGAAAUACAACUUGAGGGUGGGAGAAUAUGAACCCUGUUUUUGUUAUGUCUUUUUACCUUGAUUCUAGAAUCCACCCGUAAGAAGUAUGUUUUAUAAUUCAAUUAACAUAUAAGUAAAAAAAAUAAUAAUUUAACAAUCUUUAGAAUGUGAACUUGUUGAAAGACUAAAAUUACACCACUCUUUCAACUAAAAAUUAAGAGCGAAAAUUGAUUUCAGCUUUUGACUUUGGUAAAUAGGUGAUUAGAUGAAUGAAAAUUGAAUUGUAUAUAUAAAAACCAAUCAAAGACCCUUGGUCAUAAUAAAUUAGAUGGGAAAGAAUAAAUAAUUUUGGUCCCAUAUUUACAGUGGGAAUAAAUGUUUUUGGCAUAAGAUUUUAUACAAGAUUUUGUGGUCCUUUUUUAUUUAAAGAGAAAAGAAAAAUGAAUUCUACCUUUACAGCACACACUACAAAAACUCAAUUCAUUUCUCUCCAUUUUCCCAUAACUGAUCAAUUUAAUAAAUGAUCAAUUUAAGAACAAGAAAAAAAGUCAAAUUAAUCUUCUCCACACAAACCUCAUCCCAUUAUUUUUUAAGAAAAAAAAAACCGAAGUAAAUUGUCCUCAAUUCUAUAAUUUUUCAUUUAAAUGUCUUUUUCUUUUUUUUUUGAUCAAUUGAAUUCUUGAAUGCUAAAUUUCAUUAUUGGUUAAACUAUUGUUAGGUCGUUCUACACUACGAAGUUGGUUUAAUUAAUUUUAAGGAAAAUUUUAAAAAAUAUAACAAAUCGACAAAAUAUUUACACUGUAUGAAACAAUUUUAAAAACGAAAAAAAGAUCAUACUCACACAAUAAAAAAUACCAAGAAUGGUCCAAUCAACACUCGAUUAAUCGACCACACGCGCAUGUGUAAUUCUUUUUCUAAACUAUAAUGAUACGCAAUCGUGUAUAAAAUGAUAUACAAUCGUGUAGUUCAUAAUAAACAAUUGUUAGUUCAUGAUAAACAAUGAUUUUGAAAUAAUCCUAGUAAACAAUCAUGUAGAUGAUAAUACACAAUCAUGUUUAGUUAAUGAUACACAAUAGUAUAGUUAUUCAUGAUACACGAUCAAGUAUAGCUCAUGAUAAACGAUGGUUUUGCGUCCUAGUAAAUGAUCGUGUAGAUCAUGAUACACGAUUGUGUAGUUCAUAAUAAACGACGGUUUUGAAAAGCCCUAUGAUAAACGAUCAUGUAGUUCAUCUCUGCUCACGGUACAUUGAAAUAAAAUAAUACAAGAUUAAUGAUUGAUUAAUAACAAAAAUAAUAAUAACACAAGUAUAAUGAAAAAGAAUUGUAGCCACCUUCUUUAUCCUACAUAUAUAUCUUUUUUAAAAUAAUAAUAUUAGUAAUAUUUAUUUAUUUACUUUUAAAGUAAAAAAUUAGUAAUAACAUGAUAUCUCGUAAUAUCUCAUUUUUUAUCCUUUUAGGAAAGGAAAACAAAUCCAUUUAUUUUAAUUAAAAUCUUUUAACAUCAAAUAAAUUAUGUAGUUUUAAAUAAAAUAUUUUUUAAAAACUUAUUUCUACUCAUUUUAGGAAAAAAUUAAAUAAAUAAAAUCUUUGACUUAUUUAUAUCAUUUUAGGAAAAAAAAAGAAAAUCAAUUUUAAACAAAAAUAUUUUAAUAUCUAUUUAAUUUAUUAAUUUAUUUUUCACAAAAUCUCAAAAUAUCUCAUUUAAUUUAUUUUAGAAAAAAUGAAAUUUUGUUUCAGUAACAUAAUAUCAAAUUUUGAUUUUUUUUUUUAAGUUGUGGUACAGCCCGGACUAUAAAUAUGGACCUUUGUCAUUUGAAAAUAAGGGAGAGUUUCUUUUUUUAAAAAAAAAAUGAAUUCUUUGGGGAAAAAAGUUUCUUAGAAAAAUUUUUUUGUUUAGAGUGAGUGCUUGGACUUUUUUUUUAUUAUUUAGAACGAAUUUCUGUGAAAAAAAUUCAGCAAAAAGUGAGUUUUUCUUAUUUUUUUCAUUACCUUAUUGUCCCUACUCCUUUUCUAAAUUUAUCUUAAGAAAAUCAAAAUCCCAUUUGAAAUAAAAUUAGUUGGAGGUUGCAUUUGGUAGGGAUUUAAUUCCAAAGAUUCAAGAUUUAAAAUUUGGCCACCGUUUUCCUAAAUGGAUGUUGUGGGGUGCUAAUACCCUUCUUACACCCAAAUGACUACCAAAUUCAACUCUAUUUUUUCGUAGAUAAUUUUUUUAAAUUGUUUACUUUAUUUCGGUGUCCAAUCACACCGUACAAAAGAUUGAUGGCGACUCCUAUUUUCUUUUUAAACUAACUCUUUCUAGGACAUCAGCCACUCUGCGUCGUCUCAAGCACGUGGCGACAAGAAUAACAAUAAUUGUAGGACAAUGAUCAUGAUUUCAAAAAAAUACAAAAUAAAAAUUGUAGAAGAAGAAGAGAAUGAAGAAAUCAGAAUUGCGUGAAAUGCAAAAGCGUUAGAGGCAAACCUAUAAUAUUUAAAAAAUGGUCGGUUUUAUGAACUUUUUAUUUUGUUAUGAGUCGUAAAUAUUUUUGUUUUUGUUAUAUUUAUAAAAAUUAACAAAUUUUACGGUAUAUGUAACAAAAUCAAAAAACCCAUAAAGUAGGUCAUUUUUUAAAAUAUUCCAAGUUUGCCUUUCAUUUCCAUAUUCUUUACUCUAUUUCUUCUACAAUUUUCCUUUUACUUUCCAUCGUCUUUCUUCUGCAAUUUUUCUUUUAUAUUUUUUGAAAUCACGAUCUUUGUUUUCAAUCAAUCAUAAAUUUUGUAUUAUUUUUUUUUUUCAAAAUGUUAUUUGGUUGAAGAUCGUAUACCAAUAUUAUUGUUACAUGAUCGUUUAGAUUUAUCUAAUCGAUCAUGUAUAAACAUAAAUUUAAACAAUCGUAUUCCAAAUAAUCUUGAAAAGAAAAUCGUUGGAAUAUUGGUACACUCAGUGAAUGGAUCCAUAAAUUUUAUUACCAGAGGACUUUAUAGUUCAAUCAAGAAUUCUAAUUUUUAGACCAAGAUCUGCUGGUAAAUCUUAUAAUUUUACUUUAGUGCGUCUUAUAACUAUUAUUACUUUUCUUCAAAUGAGAAGAUGGUCCCGUCGAUUUUCUUUUAAAAUAUUUCUCAAUUUAGAUUUCAAAUUAAAUCUAGCUACAAUAACGUAUCGUUGUAAUGAGAAUAAAUAAAUUAAAAAAGAUAUUGACAUAUAACAACAAUAUCAUAACAUAAAAAACCCUACAAGUUUACUUAAGAUCCAUAAAUUAUUUCGAGAAUGAUUAAAAUAGGAUAACAUUUUGAGAAUAUGAUAUAACAAAUAUAACACAUUGUUUUAGAAUUUUGCAAAUAUGGCAAAAAAUUUACUUAUAAAAAACUUUUCAUCUUAAAUUUGUUAUUAUUCCUAAACUACCAUUCGAAAACUUAUUUCUCUUCCUCUUUUUAAUGUCCUAUUCAUUAUUUAUUUAUUCUUUCACUUUUUAACAUCCUAAUUAUUUAUUUAUUCUCAUACGAGAAAAAUUAUUUGUUAUUUCUCUCUUAAUCUUGAUUUUAGAAUAUCAAUAGUACAAUAAUUGUAAUAUAAAAUAUAUCCCCUGAUUAUAAUACAACGAUUAAUUUUAAAGCUAAUCCAUAAACCUUUUCAAGUGUAGGAUACUAUAAUUAAAAGAAAAACCCACGAAAAAGGACAUAGUAACCUACCCUACUUGAUCUUUUUAAUACAUCUUUUUAAGUUCAACUAUGGCAAAACUAGGGAUCCAACAUCUAACCUCAAAAACUCUUGUCAAUUAAUGUUAAGUUAAAUCGAUCUCUAUUGAUUGUUUUUUAUAGGAUACAGCAUAAUGUGUCAUGAAUUAUUGCUAAAUAUAAGCAUAGGAAAUAUUUUAUUCUAACAAUGAACUAGAAAACAAUAUUUUCUAUAUAAUUAUUGCCCUUAUUAUCAACAAUAAAUAAUAAAAGCUUAAGGAAAAGAAAUAGAUGACACAUAAAAAAUAAAAUUGAGACUCCAAGUAUGGAUUGAACUAUAAAUUGAAUUAGCUUAUAAAAUGAAGAAAAAAGAAGAAUGAAAUUGCAAUAAUUAUUACAUGUAUAGAAAAAGAGGACAUUUUGUGUCGGCAAGAUGAAACAUAUAUAUGAAUGUGACAAUUAAUUAUCAAUGACCCACAUUAGCUAUAGGAAAGAACGUCUAGAGCUACCUAUCUAACUGCCCUACCUUAUAAUAUAAAUUAAUAUCAUUAACAAAUUUCAAUACAAGGAAUAUAAUUUCAAAUCCUUUGCCUUUAAUUUUUUUUUAUUGGAUUGACCAUGACCUUAGUUUAUUAUUUCUAUAAUAACAAUACAAACAAGGGGGAAAUUUUUGGCUUUCUAGUCUCUUUUGUAUUCUUACACAAAAUUUUGAAAUUUUCAUCAACUUUUUUAGAAAAUUUAGACUGUUUAUGGAGAGUGAUAUAAUCUUGGGUGAACUAUUUAUUUCCAAAAUGAUUAAUUGUAUUGCAAAAAAUUGACAAUAUAUCGUUAUUCUCAACCACCUAAGCUAAUGUUUAUUGGAGAUUGACCCUACAUCAUUAUUGUUGCAUUUCUUUUUCUUUUAAUUGGAAGGAUUUGAAUGGUGAAUGUCUAGGAAUAUGCAAAAUUUUGAAAGAGAGAAAAUCCUAUAAUUUUGGUACUAGUUAUGAACAAACCCUUCUAAAUUAGGACAUGUGAGUUUUGGACUAUAUUUUAUACCAUUUUAUUUGGUGUAGUUAAUAUUCUUGUCAUCAUCACAUAAUAAACGUAACUCAGUGGUUAUUGACAUACUCCUUUGUUAGAACUUUAAAUAUUUAUAUCCCCACCAAUAAGAAAAGAUUUUAACAUGCAUUCAUUCUCCUCACUGAAUCUUCAAGGAUAUAUGGAAAAGUUCAUCUCAAAAUAAUCAUAAAAGGAAAAGGUAAACUACACGUGACUCUCUUUAUAAAUAAAUCAUUACCGUUUGUGUGUAAAAAGUAAUUAAUUUAAAGCUUACUCACAAACUUCAUUGCUUCAACAUUCUAUCACUAUUUAACUUAUGCAUUUGAAUGUAUAAGACAAACGCCACACCAAUGCCGUACAUGUUUUCUCUUUUGUAAAUUAUGUUAUUUUCCAAUUUCAAACAAAUUAACCCUUAAAAUGUGAUAAACUUUGGAGUCGUCUAUGAGGAAGAAAUUGUAUUUCAAUUGUAAAUUGCAUACUUUACCAAAUAUAAGUAUAAGGAGAGACAAGAACAUAAAUAAAGAUGGAGAUUACUCCAACCAAGUCUGUCAGCCCCAAAGAACACAAAACCAUACAACACCUCAGUCUCACAUCCAUAAGAGGGGCGACCCAAGGAAAAUUGGAAACAUUAGAAAAGAAAGUGAAGUGAAUGGGUUAAAAUUAGAAAAGUAAGUGGAAUGAAUGGGUCAAUAUCGAACUUGUUUAUAACUAAAGUUUUUUUCUUACAACCAGAAUCUUCUUCUAAGGGUUCAACAAAACUUUUGUUAUACAAUUUUACUAAAGGAAAAGUCCCUUAGUUAAGGAUGCAAAAGAAAUUGGACCUCAUGUCCAAAGACCAAACAAACUUUAGGGGGAACAAGCAUAGAAGGAAAUUUGAGACUAUCAAAUACCAAUAACAACACGAAGCAAAACACAACAAACCUAGCAGGAACAUUGGACUACAGUAGGUAGUGCAAAUGUGCCAUUUAAUACGACUAGAGAUCAAGGAUCGCCAAGAACCUUAAAGAAUGAAGACAAUUGCGAUAGACAGUUGCAUAAGAUACCCUCACUUGCAUGUCACCUACACUAAUAUUGAGAUUUAUGUCAAAAAACUCGUAGAUUGUAAAUAUAAUUCAUUCAUUGUUAUUAAUAAAGUGUUAUUUUUAUAAUUUCAAUAAAUUUUAUUGAUUACAUUAUUAGUUUUGUCUUAAUAACCCAAAUCCAAUAAACUAACAUCCUAAGUUGUUUGAUGAGUCUUGAACAGUAUGUAGAGACAUACAUGGAUCAAUGUUCGAGACCAGCUUAAAAGGUCUAUACUAUAGAGAUAAGACUGGAUACCUUAUCCUGGUAACACUAUGAAUAUGGGUUACUUUGUAUUUGAUACAAACGCAAUUAUCCAACGUGUUCGUGUAGUUGACAUGCAAGUGAGGGUAUCGUAUGCAAUGAGUUUGCAUAAGACCAGACCACAAAAUAGUAACCACUAGAUGUAACUUCGUUAAAUAAGAUCUAUUUCAUUAGGAUGACCUAGGUAACUUAGUCUUAAUCCUAAGUGUAUUAUGAACUCCUAUUCGGGAGGGAUUGUCCUUUGAUUUGUACGGGUGAGAGUGACAAAAUCGCCAACUCAAUAAGCUUAUCAUUUUGGGUACAAGACCGAGUGGAGUGCUGGAACAUAAUUACACAAGAUGAAAUUCACUCAUUCCCUACUUUAGGGUAAGUAGAUGAACGUUUCCUUAAAUGGUGUCUUCAGGACUUGAACAAAGAGUUCUACCCUCUCUAUGGUACAAGAAGGGUUUUUGUUUAUUGGUUGGACCAUAACAGGUUGUCAUUAUAGCAGCACUAGUAUUUAAGGACUAAGUAACACAUGGGUAAAUCGAUAAUUUGACCUAGUUGGUGUUGCGAACACUUGUGAAGGAAUAACCUCUGUUAUUGGUCUAUAUCCGUGGACACAUAAAUGUAUCUACAGUGAGAAGAGUUCAACUGCUUUAGUGAAAUGUACACAUAGUUAACGAAUAUUGAUUAAUGUUGUUAAUAAGUUUAGCCAAUUAAUCUCAAAUCGUUGUAGCUUCUGAUCAAUAGGUCCAUUAGGUCCCCCUCCUAGCUCGUAAAGAGUAAUGAGAUUUAUUUAUAUUGGUUGUAAUUUGAAAUGUUCAAACUUACUUUGGGAAUUAGUAUAAUGUAUAGUGAUAUAUUAUAAUAUAAAAUUUAUCAAACUUUAUUAUAUAAAUUUAAUUUUGGAUAUUAUUAAAAAUUAAUUUAUGAGAGGUAAAAUAUUUGAAUGAGAUCAAAUAUUAAAUUAAUGUGAAUUUGAUUCAUAUUAAAACGAUUGGUUAUGAGAGAAAUGUAUAUUCUAAUAUGAUUCAAAUUUAACUUAAGUUAUACAUAAAAUAUUUAAUUUAGUUAUUAACUAAUUGGAGAAUUAAUUAGUAGUUUAGUUUAAUAUUAUUUAAUUAAGUUAAUAUAAAAUUAUAAGAUAUUUAAGAGAUAUUAAUUAAAUAAGAUUUAAAUGAAAUAUUAAAUAAAUAUUAUUUAAUUAAUUAUUAACUAACUGGUUAAUAGUUAAUUAAUUAGUUGAUUUGAAAUUUUUAUUAAUUUAAUCUUUUUAAAAUUAGUAGAAUCUCAUGAUUAUCUCCUACUCCCUUUCUUACUCCAAGAAGGAAAGAGGGUUAUAAAUAUCUAGAAGAAAACGGUUUUCUUUAACCAUUCAAUCAAUCAAAAUAAAACUAAUAAUUUUGUUUUUCUGCAAAUAAAACUAAUAAUUUUGUUUUUCUGCAGAAGAGAUCCUCUACAAAAUCUCUAAACUUAUUUCUAUCUUAGUUGGUAUCCACAAACCAAUCUUAUCUGAUAGGAUAGAAAGGUCUCCGACAGGUGGUGUCCCAAUUUGGAGAUUUAUUUAGUAGAUUCAAAGACUUCAAACAAGUAAAUUUUUCUUUCUCUAAUCUAUAAUUAGAAAGCAUGCUAAGCCUUUAAGUCUUAAUAAGAAAAGUAGUUUUUUAAAAUUAUUUUUGUCAAUUUAGUGGUAUUUUGAGAUUCACAAAAUAAAUUGAGGAAUGGUUCUGUAAAAUCUUCCACUGUCAUAUACUUUUAUCCCUUCAAUGUUGGAUUAUUGUGUUUGUAUCAAAUACAAAGUGAGUCGUAUCCAUAGUGUUACCAGGAUAAGGUACUCAGCCUUAUCUCUAUACUAUAGACCCUUUAAACUAAUCUCAAACAUAGAUCCUUGUAUGUCUCUACAUAUUAUUCAAGACUCAUCAAACAGCUUAGGGUGUUAGUUUAUUGAAUUUGGGUUAUUAAGACAAAACUAAUAAUAUAAUCAAUAACAUUUAUUAAAAUUACAAUAAUAACAUUUUAUUAACAACGGUCAAUGAAUUAUAUUUACAAUCUACGAGUUUUAGGACACAAAUUCCAACACCUUUGUUAUAUCGAGCAAGUUCCAAACCCAAGAAGUACUUGAGAGGACCAAGAUCUUUGAGUUUAAACUUUUCAUGUAAUAAUGAUUUGACUUGACUAAUCUGUCUUUCAUUUUCUUCUGUAAUGACUGUAUCAGCAACAUAGAUUAAUAGAGCAAUGAAGUAUUCUCUUUUUCCACGAACAAGCAAGGAGUAAUCAGGUUUUGAUUGAGUAAAGCCAAGCUAAGGGCUAUGAGGGUGUCAGAAAAUUUUGCAUACCAUUAUCAAGAUGCUUGUUUUAGGGCAUAGAUUGAUUUUUUCAAUCUACAAACAAUUUUCUGGUUAUGAAUAUGAGUUGUUUGUAGCUUGUAAUCGAGUGGUAGUUCUAUGAAAACUUCUUCAAAUAAGUCAUUGUGUAGAAAUGCAUUGUUCACAUCAAGUUGAAGAAGAGUCCAAUUGUAGGUUACUUCAUUGUGAGAAGAACUCAAACAGUAACUAGUUUGGCUACCGAUGAGAAGGUUUCUAUGAAGUCUAUUCCUUCUUGUUGGAUAUAUCCCUUUACAACAAGUUUGGCUUUGUAUCAUUCAAUGGAGCCAUCAGCCCUAUGUUUGAUCUUGUACACACAUUUACACCUAAUGGUAUGUUUUGAAGGAGGAAGAGGACCAAUGUUCAAAAUGUGAUUGUUUUCCAUGGCUUGUAUCUCAUGUUCCAUAGCUUCUUUCCAAUGAUCAUAGAAAAUGACUAGGUGAUAGUAUUGGGGUUCAUAAUGGGAAGAUGUGGCUAUUGAUAAAGAUUUGAAGCUAGAAGAAAGGUGGUUGUAUGAUAUAGAAGAGGUGGGGGGAUAACGUGUGUUGAGGGAAGGGAGGUUUGAGAGGUUGGUAAGGUUACAAUGGUAGUCUUGUAGAUAUGAGGGAGGUUUUGAUGUUUGUUGGAAUUUUCUAGGGAUUGAAGCGGGUGGUUGGGAAGUACAAGAUUCAUUGGAUGAUUCUAAGAGAUUGGGUUGGUUUGUGGUGGAAGAAAUGUCAUUGGUGGAUUGGUUAGGUUGAGAAGAUAUGUCACUUGUGGGAUUAUAUGUAAAGGGAUCUAAAUUAAAUAUGUCACUUGUGGGAUUAUAUGUAAAGGGAUCUAAAUUAACAGUGAUAUUAUUGUGAUGGCUAGAUGGUUGGCUACUUGGUUGGUGGCUGGAGGAGAGGUCAUUUGGUUUUCGGUAUUGACCGUUGGAGGGGAUUGGGUUUAGACGUCAAUAUCAAAGGAUUUGGGGAGGACAGGAUUUUGUAGGAAGGGUUGUUGUUCAUUAUGAUCAUUUUCUAUGUGAAAAGGAAAAUUGUUUCAUGGAAUAUCACAUCUCUCGAUGUAAACAUCUUAUUGUUGUCAAUGUCAAAUAAUUUGUAUGCUUUCAUACCAUUUGGGUAGACCAUAAAGAUGUCUGGUGUGGCUCUUGGAUCAAAUUUUGAUCUACCAUUCUGCAGUGUGUGGAUGCAAAGCAUAAGCAUCCAAAGAUCUUUAUCAUUGAGUAAUUUGCCAUUUGUCCAUGUAGGAGUUCAUAAGAAGUAUUCUAGUUCAACACAGGAGAUGAAGUUCAAUUGAUGAGGAAGACAGAGGUUAGGAUGCAUUUAUGCUCCAGAAUUGUAGUGAGACUUGUGAUUGAAAGAACAAAGCUCUUACAUUCAGGAUGUGUUGGUGCUUUUUUUCUACAACUGAAGUUCUGCUUCGGUCUUCCAAUGCAUGAGAAUUGAUGAAUAACUCCCUUUUAGAGGACGAAUUUCGUAAAGGACAGCUCCAGUGCAUUAUCAGAUCUGAACACAUUGAUUGUUUUGUUAUACUGAGUUUCUACAUAGGCAAAAAAUUGAGGAACUAUUUUUAGUAUACCAGACUUGUUUUUCAUGAGAAAAACUCAAGUAUAUCUACUAUGCUUUUUUAUCGAUAACCUCAAACCAAUCAAUCGAAUAGUGAGAAAAUAUUUGUAACCAACAAGUGAAUGAGUUGAGAAAGGACCUCAAACAUCAGCAUGUAUCAUAUCAAAAUUUAUGGUUCUAUUAUUAUGUGAUUCAAAAGAUAACCUCUUUUGUUUUGCUAAAGGACAUAUUUCACAAAGGUGAUUUUUAUUUAACAUAGAAGAAUCAAAAGACAACACAUCUUUUAAACCAGAUAACUGAGAGAUAGAUGAAUGUCCAAGUCUUGUAUGUCAUAUAUCAGGAGUUGCAUAGACUACUCCAUUAAUAAAGAGUUGGAUUUGUGAAGAAUCAACAGCUUUAUAUAGAUUUUCAAUGAUAUAAAGUCCUUCAUGUAGUUUACCCAUGUCAAUCUUCUUCAAAGUGGACUUUGCCUGAAUAUCACAAACAUCAUAAAAAAAAUCUCAUAAUGAGCGUGUUAUCUUUCAUUAAAGUAUUGACAUAUAGUAAGUUGUAUUGAAAUUCUGGUACAUAAAGGACAUGUUGGAGAGCUAUGGAGUCAAAGAGUCUAAUUGAGCCAAUAUAGUGUACUGGAAUUUGGGAGUUGUUGGGGAGAACAACUGAGCUUGCAAUGGGCUUCAAAUCAUAGAAGAUAUGUUUUUAAAAACAUAUGUGUGUUGAAGCUUCCAAGCUAAUAAUCCAUUCGUCUUUAGUUUUGUAAGGAAAGCAAGUACCUACUAUAUGAGUGGUGGUUUCAUGAUCAGUUCUAACAACAACAAGUUUUGACUGUAGCAUGGAGAGUAUGUUGUGGCAUUGAGCAAGUGUCUCACUGUCUAGUGUGAGAUUUGAUGCAGAGGAUGUUUGAUUGAUUUUUGUAGUGUUAUUUGCAGCAAGUGGAUUGUUUGAUGGAGCUUUAUGUAUUUGAUUGUUUGUUCUGCUCUUUGGUUUACAGCAUAGAGGAUAGCCAAUAAGUUUGUAGCAUUUAUCUAUGGUAUGCCCGAAUAAAUGUCAGUAUGUGCAAACGAGUCUAUUCUUGUUUGAGCUAUUGAGAUUAUAGGAAGAGUUUUGGUUGGGGUUUAAUUGAAAUUGUGUGUGGUAUGGGGAUGGAUUAGAUUUUUGGGCGGCUAAAGUGAGGGAUGGAGUAGGUUUUGAAGUAGACUGAAGUUGUUUUUGUUGCACUAUUAAUAAUAAUAAAAAAAACUUUAUUUAUUGCAGUGGAAGGAUCCACAAGCAGAACUUGUGAGCGGGCAUGGUUGAAAUCAUCACUCAAUCCCAUUAGAAAGUACAUAAGAUAUUCAAAUUCCACUAAUUUUUCAAUGGAUUUUAGCACCACCGCAGGUACAUUUGCCACAAGUACAACUUGGACAAUAUAAACCAUAUUCAUCCCAUAAUUAAGCUUUUGAUCUUGAAAAAAUACACUGUGACAUAUUAUUGUUCUUGUUUGAGUGUGGAUAGGUCAAGUUUCAACUAGAUUAUCCUUGGACUAUUUCUCUUUUGGAAACGAUCUUGAAGAUCAAUCCAUAUUGCUCGAGCGAAUUCAGUAAAUAAGAUGCUUGAUGAAAUGCCCUUAGAAACAGAGUUCAGAAUCCAAGCGAUAACUACAUUAUUGUUUCUAAUCCAUAAAGGAAGUAACUCACUAGCAGGUUUGGUAAUUGAUCCAUCAAUGAAUCCGAGCUUGUUCUAAAUUGAUAAAGCAAGAAUCAUCGAGCGGCUUCAUGUGACAUAAUUGUCAUCUGUCAGAUGUUUGAUAACAAGAACAAGAUUGAAUGUAUCACUGUGAUGAAGAGUAUAUGGACUGUUAUAGAGGUUUAUUGUUCCUGUUGGGUAUUACAUGAGGUAUUUGGUGGAUAAUUUAUGGAAGAAGGAGGUAUUGACGAGGAAACUGGAAGUUGGGGAGGAUCUUCAAGAAUUGGAUUUGAGUCAUGGUUUGGCGCGUGGGUAGUAAAAAAAAGCUUAAAACUCUAAUACCAUCUUAAGGAAAAUGCUAGAGGAGAAAGUAUAUUUGACUUGUAUUGAUAAUUUUUUAUCGAUGGAUAUUUAUUGGUGAGGAAGAAAAAUAAUUAAUAAAUAACAUAAAUUUGAAACUAACUAUGGAACUAACUACCAGAUUAAUAACCUCUUUAUAUCUAAUAGUAUCUCAAACUACCAUAAGUUUCUUCCCGACUAUUCUCCAACCUUAAAACAGAGUUGUGGGACCCAAUAUGUGAUUAAUAUUUGGAGAGUAAAUAGAAUUGUGAGUGUAGGAGUUUUUGUGUGUCAAAGUGCUCAAUCUCAUCAAAGUUCUCUAACUCAAGUCCUGCACAAAAAAAAAAAAAAAAAAAAAAUCUCAUAAGUUUACAAAACCAUUGCAUUUAUAGAGAGAAUUAGGAUGAACAAUUGUGUUACAGAUUUUGGUUAGCUUAUUUUAUUAAAGGCAAAAUGGGAGCAUAUAAAAUAUUUAUUAAUAAAUAUAUGGUUAAUAUUUAUUAAUAAAUACAUGAAGUUGGCUUUGGUUGUUUUGACCUAAAAAAAUACACUUUGUGGGCUGUGUGGUUUAUUUUAUGUUUUUGAAAGACAGAAGUGUAAUAUACAUGCAAUAAAAUUAUGUAUUGAUAAAUUUUUUUACGAAGUGUACUCAGUUUGUAUGACAUUUGAUUAACAUCUUGUUACUGUUGUUGUGAAGUACUUGUUAGAGAAAAUCUGCGCAAGUUAGAGGUAGCCUAAUAUUGAAGAUUAUUAUGAGUCUCUCACAAGGGAAACCUACACAUUGAGAUGCAAGGGUGAAGCAUAAAUCAUAUAAUCUAGAGGGAGCCUAGAUCGAAUUCCUUGUUCACACAUCAAGUGAUUUAGAGGGAGCCUAAACGUUUAUCUUGUAAAAGUCAUAAAAUUCAAAAUAAUUGAUUAAAUAAGUUAUGUACUUGUCUCUUCAAUCUUUAUAAAUGAUCUUUUCAAUAGAGCUAAAGGUCUCCCAGAUGUAGGUGUGAUUACACAAAACUGAGUUACCAACAUGCUGUGUUCUAUUCUGUCUUUUCGUACUGUUACUCAUAUUGUUCCUUUAGUUAUUAAUUCGUGUGUUAACUUUAGAUAUCAAGUUAAUAUAUUAUUUAUUUUCUCAAAUUACAUGAAGAGAUUGAACCAUAUAUGCUGACACAUUGGAUUCCAUUAAGACAAAGUGGGGAGCACUAUUUCUAGAAACCACUACUCCAUAAUUCUACUAAGCUUGGGUGGGAGACAUGAGAUAUUUUUAUGCAACUACACCAUCCCAUGAGAAAAUUCAACUAUGUCAGUGGAAUUAACCAAAAGUAAUUGUUGGAAUUUUCCACUAAAUGGUCAAAGGAUAUUUUGGUCAUUUAACCUUUAGGUCAGUAUCUUGACUAGUCAAAAUUUUGACUUCUAAAGUCAAGCAGUUAACAAUUUUAACUAACAUUUACCUUUAAUUUUACUUUUUAUAUUUAAUAUUUCGUAUUAAAUCUCAAACACCCAAAUGUGAAUAUGAAUUUAUAUUCUCGAUAUUUAAAUCGUAUUUAAAUAUUUUGCUAAUUCUCUCAAUACCUUAUCGUUAAUAUUCUCUCCAACCUAAUUCUAAUACUUUGAAUUAAUAUGUUGUAUUGUUCUAGAGUUUAUCUCAUUGUGAGCUAGCAAAGGAACCUUAUGGACCUACAGAUCAUGAGCUCCAACAAUAUGAGAUUAACCAAAAACUCUUUAACCUAGUUAACCAACACUCGUUAACUAACUAGACAUGUCCACUAUAGUUAGUAGCUACACUCUCCUCACUAUAAAUAUAAUUAUGUUCACUUAAUAUAAACAUGAUUAGUAAGUCGUCGAUCCUUCACAUGUUAUUCAUAAUUUAAAGCGGUUGGGUUAAAAUGUCGUUUUACCCCACAAUUACAUCUUCUUCCUUAAGCCUCACCAAUCAUCUAAUGAACAGUUGAUUUAAGGUCUAAUUACCACUAAACCAAAUCUCUCUCAUGUCAAUAAGAGGGUGGAGCUCCUUAUUUCAAUCCCAAAGUCAACACACUUAAGGAACAAGCUCUCUACUAUCUCUUACAGCAGGAAAGUGAAUUUCGUCUUGCAUCCUAUGUUUCCAACUAACUACCGAUCUUACCCUUAAAAUGGAAGGCUUGUUCUAUCAUGGAGCUGCCCUCACGCAUGCAAAUAUAUGGCUAAUUUCAAAUUAACAGGAGUUCAUAGUUAGCUCAAAAUUAAGAUUGAGUUACAUAGGUCAAUAGUUAGUUUUAAAUAGUAAAUUGUGUUAUAAUGUAAAAAUGAUUAUUUCAUAAUUCGGUUUUAUGCAAACUCUUUGCAUAGGAUGACUUCACUCGCAAUGUAUUCACAUGAACGAUUUAGGAUUACAUUCUUUAUACUAAACAAAAAGUGGGUCGUAUCCAUAGUGUCCUCAGAAUAAUGUAUCCAACUCUAUUUCUAUAUUGUAGACCAUUUAGAUUAUUAACUCAAACUUGAUCCACUUUUAUGUCAUUAUCUGAAGUUUGAGUAUUGGUUAAAUAUUUAUCGUUUAUUAAAUAUUUGUAGAGAAUGUGAUUGUAGGCAGAAAAUUUCAUCAGCAAAAAACAAAAGACUAAUUACAUCAAAAUAGCAUAGACUUUAAAUGGUCAAUCUUAGAAAUGAAAUCUUAUUUUAAUUUAAAACCAUUACUUUAAACACAAGUGACUUAAAUGUUGAUAAUUAAACACGUGUAGAAGGGUAAAAAUAAGAAAUAAUGAACCCCUAAAACAAAAAGUAUAGGUCAUAGUUAGAUCAUAAUUUGAGGUGUAUUAUUUGUAUCCAUUCAUAUGAAAAACAGAAAAAAGAGUUUAUUAUUAUUGGGAUUAUUUUGUCUCCGGUAGAAUAGAUAAAUAUUAAAGCGAUAAACAAUGAACAAUUAGAAUUUGCAUUGACUUAGGAAUAUGGAAAAAAAGACUUUAAUGCAUAACAUUAUAUGAAAGUGGGGAAAGGUAUCUUUUAAAGAAAGAAAGAGAGAGAUGGUAGGGUAUGUACCCUAAGCUAGAAGACAAUGCCACUCCCAUAAGAGCACGGACCCGUACCAACCAAUAUAUUGGAUUCGAAAGGAUUGGUGGGUCAAUUUUGAUGGGGUUUUUAUUUGUUUAUUUUUUUUUUAUUUGAUGAUUUAAUUUCUCGUCAAUUUGAUGAAUUAUUGAAUAUGGUUGUAGUUCACUAUCAAUAAUGUAUGUAUGUGUCUUCAAACCAUACCACCCUUUAUUUGGCUAUUUAUCAUUUUAGUGAUGGUUAACUUUAGGACAUUUAACUUAUCAAACUCCAAGUUUAUGAUUUAGAAUUUGGAUUCAACAUUUGAUAGGCCAUAAUAUUUUCUUACUCACACAAAAUAUUCAAGAAGUCGUCUUCUAAUAUCGUUCCAAUCUAAGCACAUUUAACUAUAAAAUUCCUAUAAUUGAGGUACUAACUAAAAGAAAAAGAUGAUAUUAGGUAGUGUACGACUUUCUUAACUAUACAUUCAUAUCAUUAGAAUCACUCUUAUUCAUAUCUUUCCUAGACUCAACCAUACAUGAUCAUCAACUUUUGCUUCCAUUUGUCCUUCAACCAUAACUUUUGCCUUAAUACCAUUUGUAACUCUAGAUUCAUGAUUCAAACUCCAAAAUCGACUCCUAAUUAAUGAUCUCACAUUCUCUUGCUUCCUCUGUGCAAACAAUUUGUGGUAUAUACCUAUCUUGAACUGCUUUCAAAGAGAGAAGAUUAUGCCCACAAACUAAUUCUCUAAUACAAUUUGUUGUCCUAGGUUUAUAAUUUAGAAUAAAAAUUUGGCACUUAACGACCUAAAAUUCUUUUGCAUCCUAUUUGACCUAGCUAGGUUAUCUACUUGUCUUAAAUUACUUUCAAGUGUGGGAAUUAUCCUCACAAACCAACACGUGCUUUUUCAACAUGUUUUAUCCUUACUCGCAUGUCUGCUUUUUAGAAAAAAUUAUUAUGAGAUCACCUAACAUAAAAUUUCUCCAAUCUAAUUAAGCGCAUAUGACUAUGAAAUUCUUAUUACCGAGCCAUUAAAAAAAAAAUUGCACAUUGUUAGUAUAGGUAAUAUCUUUUAAUUCUUUCAAACAUUUCUUAACCAUAUUUUUGUAUUAUCGAGAUCUCUCUCAUUCAAUCGUGAUAUCAACUCGUUCAUAUACUUCUUUUAAAUGCGGCCAUUACAUUUGGAAUUGUUUUUUUGAAGUUUGACUUUUAAGAUCAUUUGGAUUGACUUUCUAAAUAUUUAUAAACUUUUUUUUUUUUUCUGUGCUCAUGAACACUUAUUUAAAAUUUAGGAUGUCAACGCAGAUGCAUCCUUACAUUUUAAGAGUAUAGAUUAGUCAAUACUUUUAAAUAAACUAACAUGAUUUUUGAGAAGUUUAAGUAACAAAAUUUUACUUCUUUGUUGCUCUAUUCCUUAACUAUUUGAUUUUUUUUUUGUUUGUAUGUUAUGAUUUUUAAUUUUGUUUUUUUUUAUAGGAACAAAAACCAAACAUGUUUGAUAAUGAUUUUUAGAUUUCUAUUUUUUUUUACAAAAAAAUAUUUUGAAUAUUAUUUUUUUAAGAAAAAAAUCAAACUAUUUUUACUGUUAUUUUUCAUCUAAUAUUAUAAUUACAAAAUUAUAUCCUUGUUUUAUUUAUUAUUAUCGUUUUUAUAAUAUGCUUCCAUGGAAGAAAAUUUCAUUAUUUAUUUAUAUUUAAAAUUCAUUUGACAAAACAAUAUGAAUAUUUUAAAUGAUUUGAUUAAUCAUAAAUAAAAUAUUGCUUCUAUGGAAGAAAAGUUACAAUAAAACGUAUCAACAAAUUAAAGGAAAAUAAUGCUAUUUUGUAAGAACAAACUACAAGGGAAUAAAGAAACAAUGAAAAAAAUUGUUUUACAAAAAGAAAAAACAAUCUCAUGAUAACUUGUGGUUUUCUAAUUUACUAAAAAAUAAUAUUUUCUACCAUACUAUAAAAGAAAUUUCCCUUUAAAUCAUUUUUCUAAUACUUUCAUUGUUCAAAAAUAAUAUUUUCACCAUGUCAUAUUUUGUUCUCUUUUUCCCACAUUAAAUUGUUAAAGAAUUGUCAAAAUUAAUAUAUACAUUCCAUCAAAAACCUUUCUCUUUUAGUAAUUUUUUUAUUGGAACGUAAAUAGUUUGUUUUUUUUAUUAUUUUUAAAAAAGAUUCUUUUAAGUUUUUAGAUUGUUUAUUGUAAUAUAUUUAUUUAGGUUAUUUAACGAUUUUACUACCGUUUAUAAAUAUUUUUAAAUUCUUUGCCAUAUUUAAAAAUGCCGUUAGUUUAUGACAAUAAAAUUUAUAAUUAAUAAUAAAAAAAACUCUAGUUAACUAAAAUUAAAGAUCGUAAAAAAAAUGAAGAGCCAUGCACUUUAAGUGUGUUAAAUUUUUGAAUAAAUGUAAGUAUUAAAGAUAAGUGCAAAAUCAAUCUAAUUUUGGUUAUAUCCAAAAUGGAUGAUUUGACACUGGGAUGACUUAUUUGUUGAAUGAUGUAAAAUUUUGAUUGCUAUUUGAUGCUCUACCAAAUUAUUAAGAGAUGUUUUUAGUAAUUUUCCAUAUACUAAUGGUGACAUCUGAAUUGACAUUUUAAAUAAUAUUCAAAGACAUAAUCAUAUGUUUUACUCUUUAUUUGCUCCAAUUAGAAUUUUAUAAUCAAACAAAUACAUUGAAAAGAAUCUUUUAUAGAUAAAUUUCCUCCAAUUUAUGUUUCAAUGGUGACCUUUAAAAUUAACUUCUAGUAAUUAGGAUAUAUAAUCAAUCCUUUUCACUAUUCACCAACUUUUACUAGUCAUAUAUAUCUUUAAAAAAAAACAUCAAUAACUUUGUCCAGUUAUAAACCAUCAAACUAAUUCAUUUAUAUUUAGAAUCUUUUUAAAAAUGUAAAUCGAUAAAGAUCGUUUAAAUAUAUUGAUACACGAUCGUUUAGAUCAAAUCAACACGAUCGUGUAGUUAUUUAUAAACGAUAAAAAAAAGAAUUUUAAAUUCAAACGAUCGUGUUGAUCACGAUAAACGAUUGUGUAGAUUAUGUCAAAAUGAUAUUUAAACGAUCGUAAUAUUCUUCAAUAUGAGAAAGAUGAAUUAGCUUCAAAGAAUUUUGUCGAAAACGGUGAAGAUGAAAUAGGAGAUUUAAACAAAAGAAUAAAUCGUUAAAAAUAUAAUAAAGAAAAUUUGAAAUAGAAGGUGAAGAAUUAUGGAAGAGAAAAUGAAUAAAUCACAAAAAGGAAGAAGAAAAAGAAGUGACGAAUCUGUCUCCAAUAUCGAAAAAAAUUUAAAAUUAUGAAUCGGUAAUAUAACUAGCAAUGUAUGAUGUAGUUUCUUCCCAUCCCUCUCAUCUUUCUUUCUUUUUCUUUUUCUUUUUUUAUUUUUCUCAAAAUUUUGAAGUUCAAUAUAUAGAAGAAUUGUUCUAUAACUCAUCAAAUUGAAGUUGCAAAAGCAUGCUGAUGUCAAAUUUUGGACAACGUUAAGCCCACAUAUUAUCUUCUCGUAUGACAAAUUUGUUAAAAGAGGGAAAGAAAGUGACCUGCAAAAAAAGAAACUUACACACACUGGCGUAAGUGUUUGUCACACAUACUCUGAUGCUUAAGUUAGAGAAAUUAAAAAUUUGUGGAAGUUAGAAAGAGUUUGAAAGUCUAACUCAAGUUACCUCAUAAGAAGUUAUAAUGAUGUAUUUAUAAAGAAAAUUAACCUAAUGUGUUCUUAAGGUUUUUGAGUUUUCUUAAGAUAAUUAGUCAUAACAAGCCAAAAAAAGAGUAUGUCUGGUUUAAUGAUUGACUAGGGUUGGCCUCGACUGAGAAACUUCCUUGAAUUAUAUAUUGAGCUUUAAUUAAAGUGUUACUUCGGGUUGAACAUGGGUAAAACUUGCUCGGCUUGGCAUUUGGCAAGGAUUGGCCUAGGCUACUAGCUUAGGCCAAGCCCAAUCUAGCUCCCUUUUCCUAGGCCUAUUUCAGUUUUUACUUGUUAAUUUUGGCUCGUAUCAUGCUUCUUGAUUUUGUCAUUUCUAAAUGUGAAUUAUAUCAUUUAGUCCAAAAUCAGUCAUAAACAAAAUUAAAUGUUGUGUAAUGAUUAUAGACCAUUUUAUAUCCUUAAAAUUAAUCGUUAAGAGAACUUCUAAUAUAAUCUUGGACCGAUGUAUGGCAUAUGACAUAACUUUUGAUUCCAUUCUCCUUUUUCAAUUAGUGUACGGUUCUUUUUCAAAAGUGUUACUAAAUGUUGGAACGAAUAUACAUUCAACUAGUUUUUUCAACCAAAAGAAUUUUUAAUUAGUUUGAAUUAGAAAAGGAGCCAAAAAAUUUAUGAAUUAGUUUAAGUUGAAGAAGCAUAAAUGUCAACUUCAAAAUUCUCAAUAUACUUCGGUGGUACAAAAUUUUCUCUCUUUAAAAAGCAUAACAUUAACUUUUGGGUCACCACAAAAAAAACUCUUAUCCACAUCUCAUACCUUAAGAAUUACCCGAUCAAAUUCGCCAAUAAAGAAUGUUACUAUACCAAUUUAUUUUGUUUUAUUUGUAGCAAUCAUUUAUGACAUACUAAUGCUAUGAUAUCAUUUUUAUAUCUAGCCUGGAUACUUCAAUAUAGAAUUCAUAUUUUUAUUUUUAUAUACCUAAGUGGGAGAUGUUAUGAGCUUUAAUGAUCUACUUGGUUAUUUUUAGACACAUAUCUCCCUCUAGAUUUUAUUUCUAAAAAUGAAAAUGAAAUAAAUAACUUUUAUUUUUUUCCCUACUUUUAUAAUAAGCAUAAGCUUUUGAAUCUUAUGGUAAACAAUUCAUCUUUCCUCAAACGAAAAGGGUAAAUAAUUAAUUGAACAAUAUUCUCAUCCAAAUAAGAAAAAAAUAUCCAUUUAUACAUAGAAGGAUAUCUAUUAAAAUUCUAAAUUAACAAUUUUACAUCUUUGACAUUUUAAGAUUUUAAAAAUAAUCAAAUUAGACUAUUUUCACUCUCAUUUUAGGUACCCUCCAAAAAUAGCAAAAGAAUUUAUGAUAAUGGAACUCAUGUCAUUAUAUUUUCUAAAUUGUAAAAGUAUCAAAUUUAAAAACUGAUAACUCUAUAAUUAUCGUCUGAUAGCCCUUCGAUAACCCUAUGAUUACCGUUUGAUAUCACUAAUUUUGUCAUAUUCGUAAUAUACAAAAAAUAGGUGUCAUGAGCUGUCUUUUUCUUUUCUAAAUGUUUUUGUCAUUUGAUGCAAUUUCAUUCAUUUUAUUUAAAAUAAAAUCAAAACUAGAAAUAAAAUUACUAAUUUUCCCAAGGUAGAUUCUAUAAAAGUAUAAAGUAGUAUUAAGUAACAAAAUAGACGUUGAUAUAAAAGAAUAAAUCAGUUUGAAAUGUUGAUACUUUUAAUAAUGUUAUUGAAAUAACUAUUAUUAAUAAUAGGGUGGUGAAGUCGUAUAUUGGGUACACGACUACGUUAAGUCGUAUGUCAAGUACACGACUCAUAUAAGUUGUCUUUCUAGUGUGGCAAUAUUGAUUGUCAUGUUGUCUAGCCUGCAAUGAAGUCGUGAACCAAGUGCACCACUUCAAUGCCUAGUCGUGUACUGAGCACAUGACUCCUCUCUCAAAAUCCUACCAUUCCCUUUUGGGAACCCUCAACCCAUUUUCUUAAAAAAAAAAUAAAAGAACACAACGGUUCUUUCCCUUCGAUCACCGCUAUCUCCAACACAACCGUUAUUGUCAUCGUGUCCCACCAUUUGUCAUCCGUUGUUGCCAUUAUUACCAUCGAUCUAAGCUAUAUAAAAUUAUUCUCUUUUUUUAUACAUUUUGGUUUAUCAUAUAUAAAUCUAUUUGUAUGAUUUAUUUGAAUUUCAUAUUCUUUUUGUUCUAUAAAGAAUACAUUGCAUCAGAAAUUGAGCGUUUAUAAAGUUGUAUGUUUUAAUUGUUUGGAGUGUUAUUGAUUAUAAUUGCAUUGUAUGUGUUGUAUAAAUCUAUUUGUAUGAUUGUUUGUUCUAUAAAAGUGUAAGUUUGAUGUAUUGAUAUGUAAAUUCUAAAAACAAAAAUAGACAUUUUGAAAAAAUAAAUAUCUUGUAAUGAAAACUUAGAUAUUUUAAAUUAAUUUUUGACAUUAUCUCAAUGUAUUUUAAGUGUUUCUCUGACUCUAAUCUUGUUUUUUAGAUUUUUUUUUUUUUUUUGUUACGGGUAAGGCAAUUAAAGUUUGGACUUGAGUAUUGAAGUUUUUUUUUUCUUUAAUUAGUGUAAUGUUGAAAUAGGUUAUGGUUUGAUGUUUUUCCAACUUUAACAGUUGAUUAAAUAUGUGAUGUGAUCUGAAGAUUUAGUUAUUUUUUAACUUGGUAAUGAUGGGGAUAGUGAAUUGAUAUAAAAGUUGAUGAAUUAUUUGGAAAUAAAUGAACGAAAUACAUAGCACGAAAAUGAAAUGGUAUCGUCUGAGAUAUUCACCUAAAUAGACUAGAACAUUAUUGAUUCUAUUUGUGAACAAGGUUAACAUUGGGAGAUAGAAAUAUAUAAUGUAAAUUGUUCUUGUUCAAUUCAAAAGGGCGUAUGUUAUUUAACACUAGAGAAGAAGUUCAAUGGGUGGUUAUAAAGUAUUGCAUGACAACACUAUCAUUGAGUUGAUGAUUUUUUUUUACCCUUUUUGUUAUUUAAUAGUAAAGAAGAUCUUCAAAUGAAACAUGUCGAACAAUCAGCAAAUAUGAUGUUAAUCUAUCAACAGCUAUUUGACCGAGAUUGAUGCGCACUCAAAUAGCAAAGUAUUAUACAAAUGAAUACUACAUAUUUUUUGUUGUCUACUUAUGUUUUUUUUAACAUAUUAAUUAUGGAGACGAUACGCACACAAUAUUAUGGCAUUAUUGCCUAAUCAGUGUCAUAAUGGUCAAGAAGUUUGGACUUACUUUGGCCCUCUGAUAUGCUUUCGUGCCGUAGGUGACAUUUACCAAAUAAACUGUUACGACAGUACGGUCUGCUCCAAAACGCACCAUCGUUGUGGUGUACUGGCUUAACACUACACCAAAUUGAUUUAAGAGGUAAACAUGAUCAAUGUUGAUGUAAGAUUCACGAUGUGGCCUAUACAUCAUGAUCAUUGUGCACAUGGAGAAGCAACACACAUGACCCAAUUGUAUUAGCUGAUGACUAUUUUUUCCGACACAAGUCAAUAUUACAAGAUGAUUUAUCACACCUAAUCGCGCUUACUAUUAUUGCAUAGUAAGAAUUUUAAUAUGAUAUGUUUUAUAAUUUUAUAAUAUGAACAUUAUUUAGUGUUUUAUAUUUAAUCAUGCAAAAUAAUUUUGUUCAAGAAGAUGUACAUAAUUAAUGAAACACGAUUUCCUAGAUUUGAGUUCAAUGUAUUAUCAAACAUUGGUAAAUGUAAAACAUAUUAUUCAACAAACAAAACGAUUAAUGUUAUAAACAUGAAUCGAAGACAUAUUUAAUACAUAAACAACGAUAUGGGAAUGAUAUUAUAUAAAAUAAUUGCAUUCUAAUUCUUUCCACCAAAACAGCAGUCAUAAAAGAAACUUAAAGGAAAAAAUAACAAAAUUAUAAGAGUAAUCUAUUUUCAACUAGAAAUGUAACAUUUACAGCUUAAACAAAAAAUGAACAAAAGCAAAAGAAAAGAAAUCAAUUUAUGGUGCUUUAGUCUAUUUAUAAUUUAUUAUUAAAUAAAUAAUUAAAAAAUAUUAAAUACAAUUAAACAACGGAUACAUUAAUGUUUGCUUGUCCACUCUUACCAAACAAGAAUAAGUAUAUUGUUGAUAUGCCUUGAAUAAGAAAAUAACAUCGCAUAACCGACAUGAACUUAGUUUAACAUCGCACACCUUUAAAAAUUUAAAGGAUAGAACUUAAAAAUUUGAGAUAACAUUCUUUUAAUGGUCCACGUGAUUCUGCAUAUAUUCAGCAUGCAACAUGCAAAAUUUUAGUAAAUAGACAUGAAAAAAGUCAAACGUAUAUAAUAUUUAUUAUCAAAUAUGAUAACUUGACCAUAAAAGUAUUUUUUUUCCCUGUAUUCAUAUUUAAAUUUUACCACUCUUAAUUAUUUGGUAUGUUAUAUUUAUUAUCAAAUAAAUAAUAUAAUCGACUAGACAAAUUCUACAUUUUUAAUGUACCUUCUCUUUUAUCAUUGUUAUAUAAUUAAUUAUUUGCAACUAAAUUUAUAAAAAUCAAACUAUAUAUAUACACACAUACAUACAUACACACAUACAUAUAUACACAUACAUACAUAUACAUAUAUCUAUACAUACAUUACGCAUACACAUACACAUAUCUAUAUAUACAUAUACUUUUUUAUUAUUUGAAAUAUAGUUUGAACGUUUGUGCAUUUUUGUCUGGUCAUUUGAUAUGAAAGGACAAGACCUAACAUUGACAUGAGGUUAUAUAUAUAUCUUCAACAUACUCUAAUGUUUAAAUCGAUGUACUUAAGUUGUUAAGGUUGUACAUAAUAGCAAACAACAAGUACUUAAUUGAAAAGUAGAGACAAUGUCUUGAGAGUCGUUGGUUGUAUAUUACUUAAAUGUUUGCUGAUCAUAUUGAUCUUAAGCCUUACGAGAUGCUUAUUCAUCGAUCAUUAGUUCACAUGAUGUUUUACAAGAGAUCAUAGCGACCAUGGGCUCAUUGGCUUUUGACCUCACACCCAUUUAGGGUAUCCUUAACAAUUUGGUUUCAUUCCAAAAAUUUUAACAUAUAAAAACGUUCGUAUUAAUAAAAAAAAUAAUCAUGAUAACAUAUACACACAUUAUUUUCUUCUUUGGUAACCCAUGUGAAACUUUUUUGUUACAAUAACUACUCUACAUAAUUUGAGAUUAGGGUUAUCCCCAUUGGAAUACAUUGAAUAUAAGCAAAUUUCUCUUUUGAAAACUCAUAAUGUAGAACAAGAAACCAAAAAUGGUAAUCCAAUCAUCCAAUGAGUGUAAUAACAAAAGGCAGAGAAGGAUACAAUGUCAGUCAAAAAUAGGGCAGAAGCUAUAGAGCUGCCAUUGAUGAAGUUUUUAGCUUCACAAUAGACCUUCCCCCACCUUAAUUAGGCCUUGCAAAUUCCAAUAAACUAUACCUAAAGAAAUAUACAAUUUUUUAAUUUUUUUUUUAAAUUGUGAAAGGUCAAAAUUCAAUGAUAAAUUGGUAAUUCUCAAAAGAAGUGUUUCAAAACAACUAACCUGCUUGAUGAAUGGUAUACACCAUCACCUUAAAUUACUACUUAACUGCAUGCAUUACCAUGUGAUUUUAUAAAUUAAUCAUUUUUAAUUUGUGUGUUUCUCUUCCAUUAAAAUAUAUAGAAUCUUCCACACUAUAUAUUAAUUAACAUAUAUUCCUUUUGAUUUAGAGAGAGAAAAAGAGUUGAGAUGAUAGGGGUUGGAACUAAAUAAACAUAAUAUGAUAUAUUGUAUUAAAUUAUAAUAUAUUGGGUUCUAAAAGAAUGUUUGGUAUGUGGGUUUUUGGAAAGAUAAUGUAUAAAAUAUUUGAAAAAGGCAGUUCAUAUCCUAUCUAGUAUGUUUAAAUUAUACAUAUUUAAUGAAUAUUAUUUUUAUUAAUCUCAACUUAAAUAUAGCUCAAUUUAUUAGGUAGGAAAAAAAUUAUCCUAUCCUUUUAUCAUUGUUGAACCAAAUUGUAAUGAUAAACUAAUUAACUGUUAAAUGGUUAAUUGAUUAUAAGAUGUCAUAAUAUUUAUCACACUUGCGAAAUGAUAAACUUAUUACAUAUCAAAUUUAUUCCUAAACUAUAAAAGCUAAUUAUGUCAUUUCGCGCAAUAAAAACUUAUCAUUAAUUUUGUUUUGAAGUAGGGAAUACUUUGUUCCAAAUUUGAAAGUAUAAAGACAUUAUUGUUAUCUAACUUACAUUGUUAUAAGCUAGAAAGUAAAAAAACUCAAUUGUUAUAAAUGAAAGUACAUUUACUAAAUCAUUUUGACAAGUGGGAGUCUACACUAAGUGGACAAUAAAAAAACCUAAAACGACUUGUUAUAUUCAAACCAAAGAACCAUAAAAGGGAUAGAAAUGAGAAAAAAAAUGGGGACCAAAAAGGAUUUAAACCAAAAAAAUGAAAAGGCACAAGUUUUCUCAUUUGUUUAUUUUUCUUUGGGUUUGUUUGAGUGUGGGUUGUUGAAUAAGAAAUUUUGAGACCAAUUACAAGUUGCCACAUCAUUUAUUAAGUUAAUGAUGAAAAGUACAAAUAAUUAAAUUUGGGACUAAUUAAAAUUGACACAUGCCCCAAAUUAAAGAGUUAAAAUAAAUAAAUUGGUCAUUCUAAUAAUGCCACAUGUUUUCAUAUUAAUCGUUGGAUUAAGUUAAUCAUUUUAGUUCAAUUAAGCCAAAAAAAAUAAGCUUAAUUGAGCCCAAAGACUAAAUAUAACCUAAGUCCAUAUGGUUGAGCCCAUGGGUCUGGUCCAUGGACCAACCAAGUUCAAACCCAUAAAGCCCACCAGUGAACUCUAUAAAUAGAGGAAUUCUCCUCAUUUGCAGGGGUUGGAAAAUUUUGACUCUAGAAGAUCCAGAGAGAAUUCUUCCAAAAGCUAGAAGACUCCCUAACUUCUGAAGUUGACCAUCCUCGAAGAUUGAAGCUGUUUUGAAGAUACAAACUUUCUUCCAAGACUCCAACUUCAAGAACAUCACGUGCUCCGCUUCCUCAAAUCAAGCGUAAGCAUUCAACCAACUUGAAGAAAAUCACGUGCUCCGCUUCUCCAAAUCAAGCGUAGACGUUCAACAAACUUCAAGAACAUCACGUGCUCCGCUUCUCCAAAUCAAGCGUAGACGUUCAACAAACUUCAAGAACAUCACGUGCUCCGCUUCCUCCAAAUCAAGCGUAGACAUACAGUUGAGAGAGAAUCAGAGGAUCAAAUUCUAGAGAUUGAACCGCAUCGCAUCAAAUCAACAAAAAUACAACAUCAACCCAAGUUCAAGUCCACGAAUUAAAUUUCUCCGGAAAUCUCGUGCGAACAAAUUGGCACGCCCGGUGGGACCAUCUCUACCUCUCAUCUCUCUCUCAUCAUCUAGAUCUACAAGCAAAUCAAUGGCAUCAAAGAAAGCUGCAUCCAAAUCUUCAGCUGCAAGCGACACCUACACGGGACCUAUCACCCGUAGUCGUUCCAAGGGGAUCAUCCAAGGGCAAGACCAAGGUUCCGCCAUCGCGCAGAGCAUCCUGAAGCAAUUGAUGGAAUCUCCUAAAGCUGGAAUUGUCAUCAAGGAAAAUCCUCUAUAUAAUGAUUAUGAUUCUGCCUCUAGCAGGUCACUGAAAGAAGCACACCCAGAUGUGAUGUCCGUCAUGAUGGCUGAUGUAGCAGUCGAGACUGCCAUGGCGGAGAUGGAGAGAAAAAUUAAUCUCCUGAUGAAGGUUGUUGAUGAACGAGACCACGAAAUUGCAGCUUUAAAGGAGCAGAUGCAGACUCGUGAAACUGCUGAAUCGAGUCAAACUCCUGUCGUUAAAGUUGAUGACAAAGGGAAGAACGUGGUACAAGAAAAUCAGCCACAACAACAAUCAACUUCUGUGGCUUCUCUCUCGGUUCAACAAUUACAAGAUAUGAUCACAAGCUCCAUCAGAGCACAAUAUGGAGGCCCAUCUCAGACUUCUUUCAUGUACUCUAAACCAUACACCAAAAGAAUCGACAACUUGAGAAUGCCGCUUGGAUAUCAGCCUCCAAAAUUCCAGCAGUUUGACGGAAAGGGCAAUCCAAAACAGCACGUUGCUCACUUCGUCGAAACAUGUGAGAAUGCAGGAUCAAGAGGAGAUCAACUAGUCAGACAAUUUGUUCGAAGCUUGAAAGGAAAUGCUUUUGAAUGGUAUACUGAUCUGGAGCCAGAAAGCAUUGAGAGUUGGGAACAACUAGAAAAGGAGUUUCUCAAUCGCUUCUACAGCACCAGGCGUACUGUAAGCAUGAUGGAGCUUACAAAUACGAAACAAAGAAAGGGAGAACCAGUCAUCGACUACAUCAAUAGAUGGAGAGCUCUAAGUCUUGACUGUAAAGAUCGGCUCACCGAACUGUCGGCUGUAGAAAUGUGCACCCAAGGCAUGCACUGGGGACUCCUCUACAUUUUGCAGGGAAUAAAGCCCCGCACAUUUGAAGAACUGGCAACUCGAGCUCAUGAUAUGGAGUUGAGCAUCGCCAGUAGAGGAACUAAAGAUUUUCUUGUUCCUGAAGUAAAGAAAGAUAAGAAAGAGAUGAAAGGUGCUGAAAAGAUAGUGAAAAGCACCUCGAAAGAAUCUAUGGUCGUAAACACAACCCCGCUGAAAUUCUCCAAAGGAAAGGAAGCGAGGGUUGAAAAGAAGGAUGAUGGAAGCGAAAGGCGACGUCUGACUUUAAAAGAAAGGCAGGAAAAAGUUUACCCAUUUCCUGAUUCAGAUAUCGCUGACAUGCUAGAGCAACUACUAGAGAAGCAGCUGAUCCAGCUGCCAGAAUGUAAACGACCUGAGCAAGCAGGAAAGGUAGAUGAUCCCAAUUACUGCAAGUAUCAUCGGGUCAUCAGUCAUCCAGUAGAGAAAUGCUUCGUGCUGAAGGAGCUAAUUCUAAGGUUGGCUCGUGAGAAAAGGAUUGAGCUAGAUUUGGAGGAAGUAGCUCAAACAAACCACGCUGAAGUGACGAUAAUGUCUGAGGCUUCUUCGUCGAGAUUGAUUUUUGAGCAAAGGAAAAGCUUGGUCCAGUUCGGGACCUUUGAGCCUAUAGUUGUCCAAUUCUUUCAGGAAAUCUCAUACGAGGAUCCUCAAGGAGAGAAAAGACCAAUUGAAGAAGACGAUGAAGGGUGGAUAGUGGUGACCCACCGAAAGAAAAGACAGUCGAUCCCGACCCAAAGAGAGUCUCGCUCUUACCAAAACUAUAGAAGAGGAAAUAAGACUCAAAAGAAUAAGAAAAAGAAGAAGACUCAUAAGCUUAAGCUCGUACAUAAUGAAGACAUGAAUUUCUCUCGACCUCAACGCUUAGUGACCUUGGCAGACUUCCUUCCAAAAAGCUUCCUUUGUGAUCAUCAGGAUGAAGACCCAGAAGUCGUUGCGUGUCAUGCUAUCAACACAACGGAGGAAGAAAUAAUCCCUCCAAGAUCACUAGAAGGAGAGGGAGUAUCAAAAGACCUUUCAAGGUUUAAUGUAGAGGAUCUAUUAUCACUUCCUCAAGAGACCAAAACCAUCCUUAUUGAUGCAUUGCUAAAUUCAAGAGCAUCAAGUUCGAGUACUCCGACUAUGACAUAUGAGAGUGGUUCUUAUUGUAUGUCUAUAGACUUCUCAGAUGAGGAUUUGUUGUUGGGAUCUAAACUUCAUAAUAGACCUUUGUAUGUUUCUGGAUACGUUCGAGAACAGAGAGUCGAUCGAAUCCUCAUUGAUAAUGGCUCAGCUGUCAACAUAAUGCCAAAGUCGACUAUGUGGCAAUUAGGCAUCUUGAUGGACGAGCUCUCAAAUAGCAAGCUAGUAAUUCAAGGUUUUAACCAAGGUAGCCAAAGAGCAAUAGGCAUGAUACGGUUAGAACUCAUAAUUGGCGACCUAAAGGCCAGUGCAUUGUUUCAUGUCAUAGACUCAAGGACUACUUACAAGUUGUUACUAGGGCGUCCUUGGAUUCAUGGAAACGGAGUAGUAACUUCAACACUGCAUCAGUGCUUCAAAUUUUAUCAGGACGGUGUAAAGAAGGUUGAAGCCGACUCUAAUCCAUUCUCAGAAGCUGAGUCUCACUUCGCAGAUGCAAAGUUUUAUUCAAAGAAUAAUAAUAUUUUAGAAGUUUUGCCUGCAGAAACCCCUCUUACAAAAGGAGAAGAUAAUUCACAAUUGAAAUCACUCGCAACCACAGAACCACAUGAAAGUGCGAGAACCUUUAACUCUGGAAAGGGUGAAGCAUACACUAGCAACACAAAGGGUAUGAUCUUGAAGGAUGAAAAUGCUGCAAACACACCAGUUUUGCGUUAUGUCCCUCUGUCAAGGCGCAAGAAAGGCGAAUCACCAUUCAUGGAGUCUCCAAAAGGUUUGAAAGUUGGUGACAUCGAAAUCAUAAAAGAAAGCUUCACUACACCACUAACUAAGAUAGCGAAGCAAGAGGUAAAGGUAGAUCUGGUGGAAGCAAACUUGCCCCAAAGGCGAACGAAAGACGGAUUCGACCCCAAGGCUUACAAAUUGAUGGCGAAAGCAGGUUAUGACUUCACAGCUCACACCGAGUUUAAAAGCUUGGAAAUUCAUGACCGACCUGAGCUCUCCUCAACUCAAAAGAAGCUUCUACGGGAAGGACAUUCUAUACCCGUGUCGAGAAAAGGACUCGGAUACAAGUCGCCAGAACCGAUCCGUAUAACUAAAAAGGGGAAGGAAAAAGUGGUUGACAUCAAUCAUAUAACUAUAGAGGAGGAUGACAAUACUGACGUAAAAGAAGGUGAUAAUCAGAGAAUCUCAGUAUUUGAUCGAAUUAGACCAUCUGUUGCACGUCCCGUAGUAUUUGAAAGGCUAAGCAUGACAGAGGCAGAAAGAGAAAGGCUCCAGUCAGUACCAAACCUUGAGAGACAUUCGGUCUUUCGAAGGCUAACUACGACUCCCAUAAAGGAAGAAAGCACAUGCCAUGCCUUGACAACUACAAGACCAUCAGCCUUUGAAAGGCUAGGUGUGUCUAAAAAGAAAAAUGUACAAGCACCCCGUGCUCCGAUUUUUAAUCAUCUCGGGGAUAAAGGAUCACACGACAACAUUGAUUCCAACAUAGAUACAAAGAAGAAGGAACCAAUGUCUCGUGUGAAAGUUUGGCGUCGAAUUAAGCAUACAGAUGUCGAUAAUUAUCGUAGUAAGAAGUUUCCUUGCGAGACAAAGGAAAAUGGAGAAAUUCAUAGCAACGUUCCUUCUCGCAUGAAAAGAAAAACUUUUGUUACUCUCAAUACAAGUCAAGGUUCGUUAAAGGUAAAAAGACAUGAUGUUAUACUAACGAAUCCUGAAAAAGAAGGGUCGGAACAAGGGGAAUGUGAAACUUCAUGUCAUCACAUCACCAUUAUUGAGGAAUCAGAGACUGGAACUCAUGAAGAAGACGCAGAAAAUGCCCCACAAAGUUUAGAGGAUGGUGGCAAUCUACUGUAGACGAGCUAAAAGAGGUGAACCUUGGUACAAUAGAGGAACCACGCCCGACUUUCAUUAGUGCGUCCCUCUCUAACGAAGAGGUGGAUAAAUAUAUGAGUUUGCUCACCGAAUACAGGGACAUCUUUGCGUGGUCGUACAAGGAGAUGCCAGGACUUGACCCAAAAGUAGCAGUCCAUCAUCUUGCAAUUAAACCUGGAUAUCGACCGAUUAAACAAGCACAACGACGUUUUCGACCGGAGCUUAUCCCUCAAAUCGAGGUGGAAGUCAACAAGUUGAUCGAAGCAGGAUUCAUUCGCGAGGUCAAAUAUCCAACGUGGAUAGCAAACAUUGUCCCUGUUAGAAAAAAAAUGGACAACUUCGCGUUUGUGUAGACUUUCGCGAUCUGAAUAAUGCAUGCCCUAAAGAUGAUUUUCCCUUGCCCAUCACCGAAAUCAUGGUUGAUGCAACUACUGGACACGAGGCGUUGUCGUUUAUGGAUGGGUCGUCUGGAUAUAAUCAAAUACGGAUGGCCCUCUCAGAUGAAGAAAUGACAGCUUUCAGAACUCCAAAGGGAAUAUACUGUUACAAGGUGAUGCCCUUUGGAUUGAAAAAUGCCGGCGCUACUUAUCAACGUGCCAUGCAGAAAGUGUUUGAUGAUAUGUUGCACAGGUAUGUUGAAUGUUAUGUUGAUGAUCUUGUAGUCAAAACAAAGAGACGACAAGACCAUUUGAAGGAUCUAAAAGUCGUGUUUGAUCGCUUGCGAAAAUAUCAGCUAAGGAUGAACCCUCUCAAGUGUGCGUUUGGUGUAACUUCAGGAAAAUUUCUUGGCUUCAUUGUAAGGCAUCGAGGGAUCGAAAUAGACCAGUCCAAGAUUGAUGCCAUUCAGAAGAUGUCAAGACCUAAAAGUUUGCAUGACCUAAGAAGUCUCCAAGGACGACUGGCUUACAUCCGAAGGUUCAUCUCUAACUUGGCCGGUCGGUGUCAACCUUUUCAAAAGUUGAUGAGAAAAGGAGAAAAUUUUGUGUGGGAUGAAGCUUGUCAGAACGCUUUUGAUAGCAUAAAGAAAUACUUGCUUACUCCCCCAGUGCUGGGAGCUCCAGUACCUGACAAACCACUAAUAUUGUACAUUGCUGCACAAGAAAGGUCCUUAGGAGCAUUACUGGCACAAGAAGAGGUAAAGGGAAAGGAGCGUUCUCUCUACUAUCUAAGCAGAACAUUAAUUGGGGCUGAAGUUAACUAUUCUCCUAUCGAAAAGAUGUGUCUUGCACUUUUCUUUGCCAUUGAUAAGUUGAGGCAUUAUAUGCAGGCCUUCACGGUUCAUCUAGUGGCAAAAGCAGACCCUAUAAAGUAUGUUCUAUCCAGGCCAAUCAUCGCUGGACGCUUAGCCAAAUGGGCGGUUCUACUCCAACAAUAUGACAUUGUCUAUAUUCCCCAAAAGGCGAUAAAAGGACAAGCGCUAGCAGACUUUUUAGCAGACCACCCAAUUCCUUCGGAUUGGAAGUUAUGUGAUGACCUACCAGACGAUGAGGUUUUCUUCACAGAAGUUAUGGAACCUUGGACUAUGUACUUCGAUGGUGCAGCUCGAAGAAGUGGUGCGGGGGCAGGCAUUGUCCUCAUUUCUCCUGAGAAGCAUAUGUUGCCUUAUAGCUUUGCACUUUCCGAAUUGUGUUCAAACAAUGUGGCUGAAUAUCAGGCUUUGAUAAUUGGCCUUCAAAUAGCAUUAGAAAUCGGAGUGUCAUUCAUAGAGGUCUAUGGUGAUUCAAAAUUGAUAAUCAAUCAACUCUCGCUUCAAUAUGACGUGAAACAUGAAGACUUGAAGCCAUAUUUUGCUUAUGCUCGACAAUUGAUGGAAAAGUUUGAUAAUGUGAUGUUAGAACAUGUCCCUAGAGUAGAAAAUAAGAGAGCGGAUGCAUUGGCAAAUUUAGCCACGGCCUUGACCAUGCCAGAUGAUGUAACUCUGAACAUACCACUUUGUCAACGAUGGAUUAUACCCCCAGUUAGGCCUGAAUGUCAGGAAGUGAACAUGGCAACAUCCUAUUUGAUUGAUGAAGAAGAUUGGCGUCAACCCAUCAUAGAGUAUCUUGAACAUGGAAAGCUUCCAAAGGAUUCUCGUCAUAAAAUUGAGAUACGAAGAAGGGCAGCACACUUCAUUUAUUACAAGGGAACUUUAUAUCGCCGUUCUCUUGAAGGGCUCUUCCUUCGAUGUCUCGGAAAGGAAGAUUCGGUAAAAGCUCUAAAGGAAGUACAUGCAGGUGUUUGUGGAGCACAUCAAUCGGGACCAAAGCUUCAAUUCCAGCUAAGAAGAAUGGGCUACUACUGGCCUAAGAUGAUCCAAGAUUCAAUAGACUAUGUGAAGAAGUGUGAGCCUUGUCAAUACCAUGCAAACUUCAUACACCAACCUCCAGAACCUCUUCAUCCAACUGUGGCUUCUUGGCCUUUUGAGGCUUGGGGACUCGAUCUGGUUGGCCCCAUUACACCAAAAUCAUCAGCAGGACAUUCUUAUAUCCUAGCAGCAACAGACUAUUUUUCAAGGUGGGCUGAGGCCAUUUCAUUGAGAGAAGCCAAGAAGGAGAACGUGGCAGACUUUAUUCGAACACACAUCAUCUAUCGAUACGGUAUUCCACAUCGAAUCGUGACGGAUAAUGGAAAGCAAUUCUCCAAUAGUAUGAUGGACAAGUUAUGUGAAAAAUUCAAAUUCAAGCAAUAUAAGUCAUCCAUGUACAACGCAGCUGCGAAUGGACUAGCAGAAGCAUUCAACAAAACAUUGUGUAAUCUUUUAAAGAAAAUUGUCUCCAAGUCAAAGAGGGAUUGGCAAGAAAAGAUCGGCGAGGCAUUAUGGGCUUAUCGAACGACUCAUCGCACCCCUACAGGGGUUACACCAUAUUCGCUUGUUUACGGUGUGGAGGCUGUCCUUCCUCUCGAAAGGGAAAUUCCGUCACUAAGAAUGGCAGUACAAGAGGGAUUGACUACCGAAGAUAAUGUGAAGUUACGUCUUCAAGAAUUAGAAGCACUUGACGAAAAGCGAUUAGAGGCUCAGCAAGCAUUGGAAUGUUAUCAAGCGAGAAUGUCCAAAGCUUUUGAUAAACACGUUAAACCUCGCUCCUUUCAAGUCGGUGAUCUAGUACUUGCCGUAAGGAGACCGAUCAUCACAACAAGGCAUACAGGAAAUAAGUUCACACCUAAAUGGGAUGGACCUUACAUUGUUAAAGAAGUUUAUACAAAUGGCGCAUACAAGAUCGUUGAUCAAGACGGACUACGAAUUGGCCCAAUCAAUGGUAAAUUUCUUAAAAAAUUUUAUGCUUAAUUUUGUUAGGUAAAAAAAAAAAAAAAAAAAGUUGAACUACGUUAUGACUUGAUCCCUAUAUUAUAAAGGGUACGUAGGCAGCUUAAGGAAAACCUUAAGCCCAGUCCAGCAAAAAAAAAGUUGAACUACGUUAUGACUUGAUCCCUAUAUUAUAAAGGGUACGUAGGCAGCUUAAGGAAAACCUUAAGCCCAGUCCAGCAAAAAAAAAAGUUGAACUACGUUAUGACUUGAUCCCUACAUUAUAAAGGGUACGUAGGCAACUUAAAGAAAAACUUUAAGUUCAGUCCACCAUUAUAAAAAAAAAAAAAAAAAAAAAAAAAAAAAAAAAAAACCUUGAAACUACGUCGUGAGUUAAUUCUUUUCUUCAAAGGGUGUUCAUCUCUACUAAGGAAUCAUAACAAAUUGGGGGCAAAUCCCUAAAUUCAAGAUGUUCAUCUUUAGUAACAAUGAGAUGAAAUAAAAUUGAAGAUGUACAACUCCGUGCAAAGACUAUGUACAAGUUGAGUGCAUGUAAAAGAAAAAAAAAAAAAGGAAUCUCAAUCAAGCUCAAAGGCAUCAUUAAUGAUCCCUCAAAUUCAAGCAUAAAAGUUUUCAUUGAUGAUUCCUUAAUAUUCAAGUUUAAGGCUUCAUCGAGCUGCAGCUCCAGCUCUUUGAGAGGAUAACGAUGGUACAACUUUGAUAGGACGACGAUCGGGCAGCUCUGCCUUCGCCUCUCCAAGAUGAAAACGACAGUGUAACAUCGUUUCUGCCUCUUGAAGAGAUGCAUGAAUGCUAAAGCUUUAACCUCUGCUUCAUCUUCAGGCUUAUUGCAACUGAAGAGGAUUCAUCUUUCAUCGUCUUUCUAAGUUCAUGUGCAAUCGAAGAUGAUUCAUCUUCANNNNNNNNNNNNNNNNNNNNNNNNNNNNNNNNNNNNNNNNNNNNNNNNNNNNNNNNNNNNNNNNNNNNNNNNNNNNNNNNNNNNNNNNNNNNNNNNNNNNNNNNNNNNNNNNNNNNNNNNNNNNNNNNNNNNNNNNNNNNNNNNNNNNNNNNNNNNNNNNNNNNNNNNNNNNNNNNNNNNNNNNNNNNNNNNNNNNNNNNNNNNNNNNNNNNNNNNNNNNNNNNNNNNNNNNNNNNNNNNNNNNNNNNNNNNNNNNNNNNNNNNNNNNNNNNNNNNNNNNNNNNNNNNNNNNNNNNNNNNNNNNNNNNNNNNNNNNNNNNNNNNNNNNNNNNNNNNNNNNNNNNNNNNNNNNNNNNNNNNNNNNNNNNNNNNNNNNNNNNNNNNNNNNNNNNNNNNNNNNNNNNNNNNNNNNNNNNNNNNNNNNNNNNNNNNNNNNNNNNNNNNNNNNNNNNNNNNNNNNNNNNNNNNNNNNNNNNNNNNNNNNNNNNNNNNNNNNNNNNAUCAGGUUGUUGACGAAGAAACGGUAGGGUUAACGAUCUGGAGGCUCCUUGGUGGCGUGUUUGAACAUCUUGAUGGGAAAGUAGAAAUUAAGUUUGAAAACGAAUCACCUAGCUUCCUUGUUGUUAAAGAAAAUAUGAGUUCAAGGCCCAGUACAUGUAGUAUUAAGAGUGAACCAAUAUCUAAUCAAACAGAUCAAGUUCUCGAAAGUAAAAUUAAUAUGUUAGAUUAGAUCAAGAAUACCAAAUAACAUUUAUGAAGAAAAUCUCCCUGGUUCUCUAACUCAAACAGAAAUGGAUACUAGUUCUCAAGUAAAUGUAAUUAUUUUAGAAUCAAAAUUUGAGCUUGACAAAGAAUCCUUACAAAAGGAAUUUAUGUCUAAAGCAAAUUUUAUUGAAAGAAUUUCCUUUUCCGAAACUUACUUUGAAACAGAACAGAAGUUGUUUAGAGAAGUUUCAAGGCUUUUGAAAUACUUCAAGAACAUAUUACAUUUUUUAAAUGGUUCAACCAAAGAAAAGAUUUUGACCAUCUUUGUAGAAUAAAAGAAAAUGAAUAUUGGAAAACUCAAAGAGGAGAAAUCAAAGAUGAUUUCCCUCCGAUGGAAGAUGUUGAGUUCAAAAGUUUUUCUAAUAAGAAUGUUAUAGCAAAUCCUUUUCAAAUUAUCAAUGAAUUUGAACACAAGACUCCUACAAAUAAAGAAAUAAAGAGUAUCCAAGUUUAAAAUAAUUAUUCUAACAUAAUGAUUUCUUCAAUCGUAGUCACGUCUUCAAGUUAGAAGAAAAUUUCAAUUCUUCUACUCUCGAAGAAACUUCUAACCUUUUCCAACCUUUAGAUAAUGUUAAGAUAAAAACUCAUAAACAAAACCUUCCGGAUGAUAUUAAUAAAAACCUAAACAACCUAAGGGGCGAAAGUUUUCAUGGAAGAUUUUGAAAAUCUUUCAUUCAACGAAGAAGAAAAACAAAUCAACAAGAUAAAUUUUGGAAGAUUUGUUAAUAGGAAAGAUAAAAUAAAUUUUCAUCCUUGACCUUCAUUUCCCGGAGAAGAACUAGAGCAAGACAAAUGUAUGUCAUAAAUACAGAAUUCAAUGGAGAAUCCAUAUAUCUUUGGAAUAUUGAUGGAACUCUAGAGUAUCAAAUUUAUGACACAUUGAAUAACAUGUUAACUUGUUCCAUAACCUAUGAAUCCAAUGCUCAUACAAAUGGAGAGGCUCCUAUGCUUCUAAUCAAUGGAUUUAGUGGAACUUUCAAACUAUGGUGGGAUCAUGCCCUAAUCAAUAAACAAAAAGUAGCAAUUAAAAAUCAUAGGACAAGAAUCAAAAGGACAAUUAAGACUAAAGAUGGAGCUUUAGUAACUCAAGAAAUAAAAGAAGAGUGAGAGGACACUGUUCCUCUUUGAAAAAAUUUAGAUGGUACAAAAACAUGUUCUUAUUUAAAAUUUAUAUAUUUUUAAGGAUUGUAAUGUCAGACACUUGAAAGAAAUGUCCAUUGAUAGACUUUCAAGCUUCAUGGCAGAAAGAGUCUAAAACUCCCUCAACAAAGCAUAUCCUAAGGAAAUACCUUGGGAAACUCUUACCUAUGUCCAACUAACUUCUAGAAUCAUAGAAUGUGGUUUAGAUAUAUACGAUGAGAUAAAAAUUCAAACCAAAGUACACAAACAUUCAAAUCUUCAUAAAAAAUAAAUAAAGACAUUUUGUUCUCGAAUUUGAGAAGGUCAAAGAACCAGCUUCUUCUUCAAGAAAAAUUCGACCAAAAAACUAUAAUAUGAAACUCACAUAUUAUGGAAAAUUCCAAGGUAUAACAAGUCUUACCCCAAAAGAAAUAUCACAAAUAUUCAAAUUACAAAAAACCUGCAGAAAAUCAACCCAAAAAAGUUCAAAAAAGAGGAAAAUCAAACAAUUUGUUUUUUUUUUUUUUUUUGUUAGAAAUAAAGAAAAGAAGGACAUUAUGCCAAUAAGUGUCCACAAAGAGAGAUUCAUGAAAAAAAAAUGAAGAAAAAUAUUAUUAAGAUUUAUCUUAUAUUUCUAACUUUCAAUUGUAGGAAAUUACAGAUCAAACCAAUUCAAAAAUUUCAAGUCAAGAACCAUAUAAAUAUAUUUUAAUUUAAAUAAAUGUUUUAACUUUCAAACAUAAUUUAUUAUUUCAAACAAUUAACCAUGUUUCAAAUGAAGAUUUAAAAAGAAAUAUUUUGGAAACCAUCUCUAAAGAAGAAAAUGAUUUUGAAAAAAGUCUUUAAAAAGUUUUACAAACUCCAAAAAUAUAAACACCAAUUUCUAUUGAAUUUUGAAAUCAAUUGUCUAGAAAGAAAAAUUUCUCAAAAUAAAUAUGAAAUUUUAUAAAUUAAAAAAGAAAUUUCUCAAAUAAAGCAAAAUGAUAAUUUAGAUGAUUUAGACCUAAGGAAAAGAUUUUUUAAGUAAUCUAAAUGCUAAAAUUAAUUUAAUUUCAAGAAUAAGUUUUCAAAAAUAGUAUUUUUUAAUUAUUUUAAAAAUAUAAAAUUUUAAAAUUACUUUGAAAGCAUUGAUAGACUCAGGUGCAAAUCAAAAUUGUAUUCAAGAAUGUUUAAUUUCUACAAAAUAUUUUGAAAAAAUCACAUAGGUUUUUAUUAGAGCAAACAUAAAAAAAAAUAGAAAAAUUGCAUCAUAUGACAAAAAAAAAAUAGAAAUAAGCAGUCCAUAAUACAUUUUUUUUUUGCAUAUUGCAAAUAUGACAAAUAUGACAAGUAAUUAGAUAUAUCAGAUAAGACGGUUAUCAGGGCUAUUGGAGGGCUAUCCGAUUUAAAUUUACUAUUUUUGCAAUUUAGAAAAUGUAGUGUCAUUAGUUCUAUUACCAUAAAUUUUUUUUGCUAUUUUUGCAAACGCACCCCAAAUGAUUAAUUAAAUAUCAAAUUUAAACUUUCAAAAGUAUAUGUUUGUAAUAAAAAAUUUUGUUUCAAAAUAUAUUUUCUUUUAGUCAAACAUCUUCGCUAAGAAUUAAUUCUUCGGACACCUUUAACAAAUAAAUUUGGAGAAGAAAUGAUUUUUGAAUUUAUCUCUCCAAUUUUACCUCAUCAACUUUUAAAAAUUAUUGUUUUGAAAAGUGAACAAAUGAAAAGAAAAUAAAACAAACUAGUUUUCGAAAAUAAGAAAUUCGAUUACAAAAGAAUUGAAAAAAGUUUAAAAGAAUUUUCAAUUUAAAAUAGGAUAAAAGAAAUGGACACUUGCAAAAAUAGCAAAUAUAUAUAUAUAUAUAUAAGAUAAUAGACAUAUGUUACUACAUUUUCUAAAAUGCAAAAGUAGCAAAUUUAAAAGUCGAUUACCCUCUGAUAGCGCUCCGAUAGUCAUCUUAUAGUUGUCUAAUAUCACUAAUUUUGUCAUAUUCGCAAUAUGCAAAAAGUAGGUGUCGUAUGCUGUUUUUUUUUUAAAUGUUUUUGUCAUCUGAUGCAAUUUCUCAUUCAAUUUAAAAUUGAAAAGAAAUUUGUUCUAGUUCACCACAUGCAUUGUGGGAUAGGAAAAAACACAUAGUUGAUCUUCCAUAUUCUAAAGAAUUCAAAGAAUCGGAUAUCCCAACAAAGACUAGAUCGAUUCAAAUAAAUUCAUACUUGCUAACACAUUGUAGAAAAGAAAUACAAAACUUUUAGAUAAAAAUCUAAUAAGAUACUAUAAAAGUCUAUGGUCGUGUGUCGACUUUUAUGUCAAUAACGUCGUCGAAAAAGAGCAUGGAGUUCCAAGGUUAGUAACCAACUAUAAACCUUUAAACAAAGUCUUGGAAUGAAUUAAAUAUCUAAUUCCCGACAAACAAUAUUUAUUAAAAAGAAUUGCAAAUGCAAAAAUAUUUUUAAAAUUUGACAUAAAAUUCAAAUUUUGGCAAAUUCAAAGUUUCGAAAAAGAUAAAUACAAAACUGCUUUUAAUGUUCCGUUAAGACAUUAUGAAUAGAAUUUAAUGCGUUUUGGGCUAAAAAAUGCACCAUUAGAAUUUCAAAAAAUCAUGAAUGAUAUUUUUAAUGAUUUUCAAGAUUUUACAAUUGUUUAUAUUAAUAAUGUUUUGGUCUUUUCUCCAAAUAUAAAAAAGCAUUUUAAGCAUAUCAAUAUUUUUAUAGAUAUUAUAAAAACAAAUGGUUUGGUAGUCUCUCUACCAAAAGUAAAAUUAAUUUGAAACAAAAAUAAGUUAUUUGGGCUUUGAAAUACAUGUAGGAGAAUUUAAGCCGAUUCAGAGAUCAAUUGAGUUUGCUUUAAAUUUUAGGGCUGACAAGAACAAUGACAAUUUAUGAGGUUUAUUUUGAGAAAAUAGCAAAUUUAAUUUUAAAUUGUUAGAAUGGUAAAACUCAAAAAUCUGUAAAUAAAUAAAUGAAACAAUGUCUCAAAUGCCCCUACCCAAUUCAAAAUCAGUUCUAAAUACAAUUGUUCAUCUAAACCCCAAAUACCUUGUAAUUAAAUAACACAUCCUUGUUGAAAUUGUGCAUGUUUAGGUAUUAAAAGCCGAAAAGAAUCCAGCUUCACUACCUUCCACUUUCGUAGAUUCCACUAAAUCUUCAAAGUCUUCGAUUCAUUUGCUGAAAAGAUUGGAGCUUUAAACUUCGUUCUUCUCGAAACCUUCAAAGUUUUCAUACAUUCAGUGCAAAUCAAAGAAUUUUCUUCUUGUCAACCAUCUUUUUCAUCAAACCGAUUAUAGAUUCUUUUUUGUUUCACGCAAAGGUAAGCUUCUUCAACGGAUUUUCUUCUUCGCUCGUUUAAAUUACAACAACAAUAUAUCCGCUUGAUUUUUAGAAAAGAUACAAUGUAUGUCACAAAACCCCAACAACAACAAAGACACUAAAAUUCGACGGCUGACAGUGGCUGAAAGUUUUGGCAUAAUCGGUGAACGAAUGCAGAAGAAGAAAACCGGCGCAACUGGGCGUGUAGCGGAGGAGAUGUUUCUUUAUAGCUUAGUUCUUGAUCAACAUAAUGGAGGAGAUGGUUACAAAGGUGAGAUCUCGAUUGGACGAAGAACACUCGAACGGAGAUAGAAGUGUCAGCGGCGGCUAGGGUUUGGUGAAGUGAAGAAGAUGAUGAAUAGUAAUAAUAAUAUUAUUAUAUUAUUAUUUCCCUUAAAUAUCUUCCUUUUCCUUUUUUUCUUUUCCAAUUUAAAUAAAACAAAUCUUUUCUUCUCAAUUAAUUCUUCCAAAAAUAAAAUAUUAUUUUUAUAAAUAUUUUGAAUAUAAAUAAUUCGAAAAUGUUAAAUUUAUGUUUGCUAUUAUUUUGGAGAUAUAAAUAAUCUUAGCAUGAUUUUAGGGAUAAAAAUUUUAAAUUCAAAUUAUUAUUAACAUAACUAUUUUUAUAAAUUUUUAAAUCAAUUUUAAUAUUUUGACGGUUUCAAAUCAAAAUUUAAAAUCUAUUUUUAAAUAACAAUUAUGGAAAAUAGAUAAAGAUAUUAACAAGAUAAUCCUAAAAUUUUGAAAUUAUGUUUGACAUUAUUUUAGGAAAUCAAUCAAUACCACGAUUAUAGGGGAAGAUCAAAAUUUUCUUAGAAUAAUCAUAUAUAUAUCAUUAAAUGCAUCAUAAUUAUAGGGUAAGAUACAAUUUUAAUUUUAACAACCACAACUAAAUAAAUUGUUAAUUACUUGAUUUGAAACCUACAAACAAGAAAACUGGAAUAAAUUGUAGCUUAAAUCUAGGGAUGUUGAUUCAAUCAAAUUAUUUCGAAAAUAAAUAUUUAUUUAAUAUUUUUACACAACUGAAUGAUUUGCAAAUACAAUGUAUUCGUGAUUUGGGUUAUAUUCCAUCAUUACCAUCAUUUUAAUGUAGUAGACUAUAUCUAUCAGAUAAGAAUUUUCCUCUAUACAAGUAAAAUCGACUAAAAAUAUAAAAAAGUGAAAUUAUUAUAUUUAUAUUUGACAUAAUUUUAGGGAAGAUCUAAAAUUUAAAUUCAAAUUGUUAUUAAAACUAUAUCAUGUAUUAUUUAAUAAAUUGUACAAAAUAACAUGUUUAGUUAAGAUUUACAAAUUUGAAUGUUAUUUACAAAAUAGUGAAUUUGUGCUAUUUUCAAUAUCAUGUCUCGUUUUUUUACCUAUUGAAAUAAAUUGUAUUUGGAAUAUGUGAAAUCAAGAUGGUAAUGAACUACAUCUUGAUGACCAAAUUUUUUAUCUUUUUUUGUGUGUCCAAAAUCUGUUGAUUGGAAUAUGUUUGUAUAAUAGAUGACUAUAAGAUUUUAAAGAUUGUGGAUCACAAUUAUGAUGUAUUUGAGACUCUUACUAGAUGAAAAUAAACGUAGAUAUUAACGUAAUUUAAAAACACGUCUCAAAAUAAUUAUUCCUACCAUUGGCACAAUAAAACAAUUUUUAAAAAAUAAAAUAACAAUUAGACGAUUUUAGGGAAGAUAAAAUUUUAAAUUCAAUUUGUUACGAGCAAUACGUAUUUUGGAGGUAAAUUUUAAAUUCAAUAAUUUUAUAAAUAUUUUGAAAUAUAAAUAAUCAAAAAUGUUAAAUUUAUAUUUGCCAUUAUUUUAGGGAUAUCAAUCCAAUAACACGAUUUUAGGAGAAUUUACAAGAAUUUAAAAUCAAUUUUUAAAUGGUAGUAAAUAAUAUAUAAAGAAAAUGUUUCUAAUUUAAUGAUAAUUACAUAACAAGAUUGCAUUGUGUUAUGUUACCAUUUAUUCCCUAAAAUAAUCUUAACAAUUUAUUAUUAUUAAUAUGAUCAAUCCGAAAAUGGAAUAAUUGCUAUAUACAUAAUUAUAGGAAGAUACACCAUUUAUAUGAAGUUGUUAUUAUAUAAAAUGCAUAAUUUUAGGUAAAAGAUAUUAUUUUAAAUUCAAAUUUUUGAAUCUUCCAACGAACCUACAAUUAAGCAAUAGAUAAUCUGUUAUAAAUUUAAGGCAUGAAUCUAGAAUUUAGUUAAAUGAGAUCAAUAGAUAAAAUAAAUAUUUAUUUAAUAUUAUUAUAAAAUUGAAUGAUAUCCAAAUACAUCGUAAUCGUAAUUAUGUGUUAUGUUUUAUUGUUUUACGGUUCACAAAUAUAUUGUAAUUAACAAAAUGAUAUUCAUUCUAUCAAGGGAUAAAAUCGGUUGAAAGAUUCUCAAAAAGUAUAUAUGUUUUACAAUUUUGCUAAAAUUCAAAUUAUUUUUUAAAUUUGCUUUUUUCCAAACUGCACUAUCUUAUUUUGUAAUUCUCACAAUUUUCUCUAAAUUUUACUAAUCAAAUUCGAGAUAAAACCCAUCUUCAAAGGUUUUUGGACUGCCUAGAUUAUGUGCUUGAUUUCAUAAAGAACCUCAACCGCAUUUGCAAACCGUUGUACAAAAGGUUAAAGAAAAAUUUAAAACCAUGGUCUGAUAAGCACACCCAAAUUGUUCAAAAAAUUAAGUCUUUAGUCAAAUGAAUCAUUUGUCUCAAUCUCAUUAAUUCAAAAGCAAACCUUAUCAUUGAAAUUGAUGCCUCUAAUAUAGAAGAUGGAGGAAUCCUCAAAUAGUGUCUAGAUAAGACCGAAUCAAUGAUCUGACUCCACUCAGAAAUUUGGAAUGAUACACAAAAAAUUACUCAACGAUAAAAAAGGAAUUACUUGUCGUAGUUCUUUGUGUCUUAAAAAAUUCCAAGGAGAACUAAUCAAUAAAAAAUUCAUAAUCAAAACAAAUUCAAGAGCUUCAAAAUUCGUGUUAGAAAAAAAUGUGAAAAAUCUUGUUUCAAAACAAAUUUUUGCCAAAUGGCAAACCGUCUUGCUUUGAUUUUGAAGUUGUGCCUAUAAAAGGAUAACAAAAACCCCUAGUUGAUUACAUCUCAAAGGAGUUUCUAACUCCAAAACUCUCUCCUUUUUAAAAGCACUCGAAGAAGAAGAAUGAGUUUGGAAAAGGAAAGUGCAAGAUGAAGAGUAAACUCGACCUCUUCAAAGGGCAACCACCCAUCUCUUCUUCUUCUAAUUAUGCACCUUCACACAUGAGUGCAGAUCAAUAUGCUAUGGAUAUAAGGAAUACCACAGUAACCUAAUCCAGAGUAAGAUCAUCGGGCAUACGGACUGGAUCUCCCAUAGAGCCAUCAACUCCAUCUAGGCCUUCGGCCAAUCUCAUCUGUCCUUCUAGCGGAGUUGUUCCAAUGAGGCUUCCUACCUCUCCUUCAUCCAAUAGGGAGUCUUCCACUCCUCCUCUAACUUAUUCUCAUGCUGUCACUUUCGAUAAACGGUUCGUGCCAAGACCCAAGAUCAAAACUUAUUUUUAAAAUUCGAUCGUGGUCUAUGGUCCUAUCAUAGAACUCGAAUAUCAAAGUCUCACUCUAUAAGAGAGUUUAAAAAAUAUUCCCCCAAGGGCUUCAACUUCGAUCCAAAAGACCUCAAAAAAACAAGAAAAUUCUAUGAGUAUAUUUUAGCUGAUCCUUUAAAAAUUGCAUAUUCAAAAUUAAAAAAUUUCAAAGCAAUCAAUUGAUCAACUCAUUAGAAUCAAAAACAUUUUACAAAAAAAAUCAUUUUCAAAGCGUUUUGUUCCUCAAUCUUACUCCUUUCAAGAUUACAUCAAAACUUGGUUUAGAGUAUUUUAAUUUUCAAAUAGAAACCAUUCGUGGUUCUUUCUUUUUGUCAAAACGCCUACAAAAUUAAUUUUCCUUUAUGGUUUAUUCAAUGGUUGAAUAACUUUGGUAUUACCAACGAUAUUCUACCAACUCCAAUUCAAGAAUCAUAUUUUUAUUUUUCAAGAACAUUUCAAAAGAAUUCAUUUCAUAAUUCGAUGAGAUUUUGCCUUUAUUUUCAAAUUCUAUGGAUAUUUUGUUGGAGCUACAAUAUAACAUCAUAUCCUCAAUACAAAAUGUUAGUAAAAAAUCUGAAGAUCCAACGGUGGGAAAAAUAAAACUUUCAACAUGUCACCGUCAACACACGUGAAAGAAUGGUUUGUAAAGAACAACUAUUUACAAGACCUUGAUCAAAGAAAGAAUGCUGAAUUCUUAAAUGAUAAACCAAAGCUUCUUGCAGAACUUGCUCAAGCCACGACUGAUGUAGAUUUCCAAAGAUUACUAUUAACAGCAAGUAAAUGCUUCCUCAUCUUCAAAUCAAUCUCUUCCUCCAUAUAGGAAGUGAAGAGCAAGCAGAUCCAUAAUACGAUCUGGAUGACCCGUAUCUCGACUCACGACCUAUGUGAGCUCCGAACCCAUAUACAUGUUUCAAAAGGAAAAUAGAUUAUAUAUAGAGUCUUCUAAAAGAAGAUUUCUAUUCAAAUUAUUAUAUUAUAAAAAAUAAUAAAAAUAAAAUGUAUUUUCGCAUCCCUAGUAUAAAAAAUAAAUAUUGUUCUGUCAUCCAGAAAUUCAGGAAAAAAAUGAAGACAAUAAGUACAAUUCAAGAUCAAGUCUAAAAGCUAAAAUGAAAUUGUGUAUAUUUCGUAAAGUGUUAAACUACAUUUGAUGGUCGGGAUCGUAAGUGACAAUGUUGAAGUGCAGGGAGUCCAUUGGUCAGUCAAUAAUGAAGGUACCAAAUACGAAUAAUAGUAUACACAAUUACAACUUGAAAGGACAACAAAUAUUCUUGGAGAGUAGAAAGAAAACUUCAAUUUCUCCUUGGAUCAAUGGCCGACAAAUUCAUUUCCUGUUAUAAAUCUUUCCAUUUAUUAUGCAGAUAUAGUAAUGUUAAUAAUUAAUAUGUGUGAAUAAUAAAUACGUUAGUUACUAACUAUGCACAAUAAUUAUAAAACUAUUAAAGUAAAUUAUUAAUAAAGCAGUUUAUUAGGUGGUGGAAAUUUCCACACUUUAGUUUUGUACGAAAAUAUGAUUUCAAUAAUUAUCCACUACUUUCUAAUUUAUAUAAAUAAUUUUAAAAUUUUAGGAUUUUACCAUCCACCAAAUCUUACUCUGAACCAUUUUAUCUAGUUGAUUCGAUCUUAUCUUUUUUCUUCAAAAUUUUAUCGAAUAAGAGGUUAUGUUCUAUCUGAUUUGAUUUUAUCUUCUUUUUUUUACUUCAAUUGCGUUUGAAAUUCGAAGUCUAUAAAUAGACUUUCAAGUUGUAAUGCGAAGCAUGUCACGAAAUAUUAUUUAGCUCAUGAUAUUUUCACUGCAUUCUUUUCUUGUAAAUUAUCAAGCCUAAUUCUCUUUACAGUUAGCAUCAAGCAUGCAACUCAAACUCAAAACAGAGUGUACACUAUUUUAUUAUCUUUUAAUUAGUGAUGUAUGUUUAAUUAAAGUUUAAAUUGUAUGUGUAUAAAGUAUGUCAUAUAGAUUUAAAAUCUCAUUAUAAGUUGACAUGUCCACGCAUUCAAAAUAUGUUAUAAUGGCUAUAAUGUAUAGUGUGCAUGUUAAUUAAUUUAUAUGGAAGUUAUUAAUAUGAUUAAUUAAUUUUGAUUAAAUACGAUUUAAUAAAAUUAAUUAUAAAUUUAUUUAAUUUAAUUAGAAGUUAAAUAAAUUAAAAUCCAUAUUUAUUAGAGUCAUUUUUAAAAAUAGUAAAAUAAAUUAAAAUAUUUAUAAACUAUAAUAAAAUUUUGAAUUCUAUUACCGUAGUAUAUCAAUGAAUCAGUAAAAAUUUACUAUAGGUUGUAAAUAUUUUGUAAAAGCUACUAUUUUUUAAAAAAAAAAAUCCUAGUUUUAAUUUAAUUAAAUAAAAUUAAACUAAACUAUUUUUGAUUGAGAUAAUCUUAGUGUCAUUCAAAUUACUCACAAUAGUGUAUUUCAUGAACGAGCAAAGCACGUUGAGAAUGAUUGACACUUUAUUCGCCAUCAUCAUAAAGCAAAACUCUUCAUCUUCAAUUCAUCUCCACCACAGAACAACCAGCUAAUAUCUUUACGAAAGCUUUUCGUUCUCUUUGCUUCACUCAAUUACUUCACAAAUUCAAGUUGGUCUCUAUUCUAAAUUAUGAAAUUACUUGAUAUAUUUUUCUUAUCUUACUCUCUUUUUAUAUAUAAUUAUCUUUAUAUUAGUUCUGUAAUAUAGUCAAUUUUGGCCAUAGAAAUUACUUACCAAUAAUUUCAAAAAUAUGAUGACAUGAAUGCUAUCGUACAAUUCUCUCAUUUGUAAGAAUAGAAAAAAGAAAUCUACAAAUAUAACCAAAAAAAAAGAAAAAAACCGUCCAAUUCUCUAAUAGUCUAUUAAAUUAUUUUUAUGAGAAAAUAGUUUAAAUUAUUUGUUUAUUUUGGAAAAUUGGAUGACAAAACAAUUAGAAAAAAAAAUAGCUAAAGCACCUCUUCCUUGGCAAAUACGACAAAAUGAUACAUAUAUCAAAUGACUAUAGCUAUCCGUUUUUAAAUUUACUAUUUUAGUAAUUUAGAAAAUAGAGUGAUAUAAACCCUAAUUGUUUUUACUAUUUUUACAACACUUUUUUUUUUUUUGUAACAAUUUAUCAAACACUGAAAAAAUUAGAAAUAACAAAACAAAAACAAAUUUGGAUUGUGCAAUUAAUUUUCUUUAUUGUUGGGAGAUAAUUUUUUAAAUAAAAUAUUUAUUAUUAUGGAAUUUUUUAAAAUAUAUAACAAAAAUGUAAUAUAUUUAUAUCGUAUUGAUCAAAUUUGAAAACGAAAAAAUUCCAUAGACCUACAAUGAAAAUACAAAAAAUACCAUAGUCAAUAUAUGAUUAAUCAGUCACACGCACGCAUGUAAUUCUUGUUCUAAACGAUCAUGAUACACGAUCAUGUUGGAAAUGAUACACAAUCGUGUAGGUAAUAUCAACACAAUCAUGUAAUUAGUAUCAACAGGAUAGUGUAGUUUUUUUAACGAUGAGAAAAACGCUUCAAAUCUAAACGAUCGUGUUGACCACGCUAAACAGUCGCGUUGACUAUGGUAAGCGAUCACUUAGAUCAUAUCCACACGGUCAUGUAAUUCUUUUCAAAACGAUGGAAAAAUGGCUUCAAAUUUAAACGAUUGUGUUGAUUAGAUAAGCGAUCGUUUAGAUUAUAUUCACACGAUCAUGUAAUUCUUUUUAAACAUGGAAAAAGGACUCCAUAUCUAAACGAUUGUGUUGAUCAUCCUAACUAAGUGAUCUUUUAUAUAUAUGAAAGUAAUAUCUAAACAAUCUUGAUAUUCUAGAAGAUGAGUUGGAAGAAAGAAAUAAAAAAUAAAGAUGAAGAAAAAUAUAAGAAAAAAAAUCUGAAAGAGAAGUUGUAGAAAUCUGGAAAAGAAAAUGAAUAAAUCGAAAAGAAAGAGAAUGGAUUAAUUGUUCACGAUAUCAAAAGCAAAUCUAGAAUUUAAGAAAAUAUUUUACCAGCUUUAUGAACUUUUUGUUUUUGUUAGCAGUAAAUAUUUUGGUUUUUUUUAUUACAUUUAUGAAAAUGAGUAGAAACAUUUCUAAAAAUAGCAAAAUAAAUUAAAAUAUUUAUAAAAUAUAACAAACUUUUGUAUUCCAUCAAUAAUAGUCACAUAUAUAUUUCUAUUACUGUCUAUCAAUACCACUUAUAGAAGCGUAAUACUCACUAUCAAUGUUUAAUACUGAUAGAAUCUGAAAAUUUUGUAAAUAUCUAAAAUCACCCGAUACGUCAGAAAUAUUUUGUUAAAUUUGAUAUUAUUCAACAUGCUUCACGUCAUUUCAAACUAUUCAGGACAAUAGUUAUAAUGCAAACAUUUAAUUCAAUUAAAUGCAAACUGUUCGGUGUAUAUAUAUAUAUUUAUGAAUUAACCAGCUGUCCUAAAACAUAUAACAUUUGUCACUCACAGCCCCACAACCAAUCCUCUCAAUUAAGACACUUUGAAUUCAAAUUCUUCCCUUUCAAUUCAUGAUUCAUCUAUACAUAUAAAUAUAAGGGGAAAUUUUUAAUUUACCUCUUCAUUUUAUAUAUUUUAUUUAUUUAAAUCUAAAUUAAUAAUUAUAUAUGAUUUAAUCUUUAGCUUCUGUAAAAAUUUCAAUUGACACUACUUUUAAGAUUUGAAUUUUGAUCAAAGUUGCAUGAAACAUAUAAUUGUUUAUGUUAAUCUUAAAUUAUAAUAACAGAAAUAAUUUAUAUCCUUUAUUAAGAUUAAAUAAAUUAUCCAUGUAUUUAAAUCUUCCACUCUCGAAAUAGAAUUUAAAUGUUAAAUUUAUCAAAUAAAUAAGUAGGAGUUCAUGUAUGAAUUUUGUUAAACAAAGUAAUAGAAUAUCUAAAUUGAUUUGUUUAUAGACAUUAUAAAGAUAUCUAGAAACGUUUAAUUGAUGCGAAGAAGGGCACCAUACUAAAGUAUUUAGAAAAAUAUUAGUAAAAUAUCACAUCGAGUGAUAUACUAUUAAUAAUAGUAUAAUGUAAUCUAUACAAAAGUUUUUUUUUUUUUGUUUAUUUUAGUAUAUUUGAAAACAAAUUGAUAUAAUGGUUAUGAUACCAUCUAUAAUUUAAAUUUUAAGGGUUUAAGACAAACUAUUUAUACUUUAUAGAAAAAAUUACUGAAUAUAACUUUCCAAAUUUUUAAAAAUCUACUUUGAUUAAAUUUAAAUUCAUAAAAACUAACCAAAACUAAUUCAUAAAAACUAACCAAAACUAACAAACCAGGUUAAUAGAACUAAAGUAAAUCCACUCUUUACAUAUCUUAAUCAACAACGAGAAGACUUACUUAUUUUUGUAUAUGUUUAGAAGGAGCUUUUGUAAAAAUACUUAUUUUGUAUAUGUUUAGAAGGAGCUUUUGUAAAAAUAGCAAAAAUGUAUGAUAAUAGAAAUCAUGUCAUAAGAUUUUUUAAAUUUAUAAAAUUUGAGGGAUAACUGCCUCAUAGUCUCAUACAAUUACUGUCUGUUAGUCCUACAACAACUCUUGCAACAACUCUAGAUUACGGAUGAUUAUCGUUUAAUAGUAGUCUGAUAUCAUUAACUUUGUCAUAAUACGUCAUAUUCGAAGUAUGCAAAAAAAAUAGUGUUGUCAAACUUAUUUUGAAAUAUUUUUGCAAUUUUUCUUUUUAUAAAAGACAGCAUGAAAAAAUCUAGUAAGUUUUAAUAAAAAGCAAAAAUCUUCCCUAACAAUUUUUUUUUUUUUGGUUGAAAAACUAUGUAAGUUGGAGACAUAAAGAUAUUUGCAACCUAAUCAUCACCAAGAUAUUGUUCAAUUUUACUUUACAGCAACCUAAAAAAGAGAAAAAAGGUGAAACAUUUAACAAAGAAAACACCAAUCUAAAAAUAUCUUUAUAGAAACAUACCAUACCUAUUAUUUUAAUUCAUUAAAAGAAAAAGAAAAGAGAUAUAUGAUCAACAUGAACCUACUUUAAUAACUUUCUUUUAUUGUUUUAUUCAUAGGAAUAACUAUAAAAUUAUUCCAGCUUAAUUUCCACACAUAUGGCCAAAAGAAAGACCCUCUAACACCUUGGAGUGGGAACACCACAUUUGGAAGCAACAUGUUUGGCGCCAGGAGAAUUCACAUAAGGACUCAAAGCUGGGUUCUUUAUGUACCCGCAAAGACAUUGUUGCUGCUCUCUCAAUUUGCUGCAGCAAGUGGCGGAUGGGUCUGCCAUCGACGUGAUUGCCCUGGCACAUGAGCUCAGCUCCGAAGGUCUGCAACUCACCGCCUCUGCAACACGAACUCCGCCAAGAACGGCCAGCACGAAAAGACAAACAACUGUGACUGGAAGAACUUUGUUCAUUGUCUCUUGGUUUUGAUAGAAAUCAGUAAUGUUUGUUGAAGGGAAAGGGAAAAGGAAAAGGAGAAAGAGGAAUAAUAUGGCUUUAAUUGUCUGUUUUUCCCCCCAACUCUUUUUUGUUUGUAUUUAUAGCCACAUAAAGUUGGAAGAGUUGAUAAAAGGGCCAACCCUAUUAUUAAUUUCUCAUUUCCAAUUUCACCUACUUUUCUCUUUGAUUUUAAUUGCUUCCAACAUCCUUUUCCAUAAAGUUAAUAUUGUGAUGAUAACAAUUAACAAAUAUUGUUGGCAUUGAUUUAAAUGUUGGGUUGCUCUACACGUUUGAUCUAUUCUAGAGCACAAAAAUUACCACAAUUAUUUUAACAUUUUUUUGAAUUAUCCUAAAUCAUAAAAGGAAUUAGAGACGAAUAUAUUUUGCUUGUUUUUAUUUCUUUUUACAAUGGUUUGGUAUAAAUAUGCAAUACAAGAUAAUAUUAAAUAUGAAAAGAUUGGGAUAUAAUCAAAUAUACAAUUUGGGCAAAAAUAAAGGGCAGAAAUUGAGGAGUAGAUUAUGAAGAGGAUUGUGAUUUUGGAAAAUAUCCUCUAAUAUCCUCCCUCAGAUUGAUGACUCAAAAUGAGUCAAUAGUUUGUCUCGGAGUUGUAGAAGUGUUGUAGAUGAGAGUGACUUUGUUUGUAGAUCAACAAGUUGAUCGUUGGAAGAGAUGUAACAAAUGAAAGUUUGAAAAAAGUGGUAAUCAAUCUCAAUGUGUUCAGUGCGAGCAUGAAACACGAGAUUAUGAACCUGAGAUAUAGCUAAAACAUUAUCACACCAUAAGGUUGUUGAAGAUUUAAAGUGGAACAUGAAGAUCACAUAGAACUUGUCGGUUCCAGUAAAGAUCUGCAGUGGUAGUGGCGAGUGAGCAAUUUUUUGCUUAUGUGGAAGAACGUUAGACUGUAGGUUGCUUUCUAAAAGACCAAUAGAUAUGAUUAUAACCAAGAAAGACAAUGAAUCCAUAGGUGGAAUGUCGAUCAGAAGUGUCGCUAGCACAAUCAGAGUCAUAAAAGGUUUAUAGAUAUAAUUAAUGAACCCAUGCAAAAUUUUAUCCCAAGGGUUGAGUACCACAUAGAUAUCGUAGGAUGCAUUUGAUUGCAGAGAAGUGAAUAACAGUGGGUUUGUGCAUCAAUUGACUAACACAAUUUAUAGAGAAUGAAAUAUCAUGGUGAGUAAAGUAAGGUAUUUUAAUGAAAGGAGUCAGAUGGAUGGGUCAUUAAAUGACAAAACUGUUGAAAUUUAUGUCAUAAAACUCGUAGUUUGUAGUUUAAAAGUAUAUUUUAUUCAAUAAAGUGGUUAUUGAGGAUUUAUUAAUAGAAUACUAUAAUCUUGAAUCUAAAUAAACUAAGGUCCUUAUGCUACCUAGUGUAGACUUGAAUUUACAUAAAUGUGGAUCAAGUUCAAGUAUAUAGCCCAAAUGGUCUAUAGUGUAUGAAUAAGCCUUAUUCUUGUUGUAGUUAGUACAAACGAUAUGAUCCUGAAUCGUUCAUGUAGAGACCAUGGAAGUUGGAGUAUCCUAUGUACAAAGUUUACAUAAGACUGAAAUCAUAAAAUAAUCACUUUUAAGUUAUAACACCAUUGAUUGUAUAAAACUGACUAUUUUGUUUAUUGAUGACCCAUGUAACUUAAUCUUAAUCCUAAGUUAACUAUGAACUUUGUUCACACGAAAUUAUCCUUAGAUCUGCAUAGGUGAGGUAGCUCAACGACACUGACACAAUAAGCCUCCCAUUUUAGGAGUAAGAUUGGGUGGAUGGCUAGGUGUAACGAUCCAAACUUUUCAAACUAAACUGAGGUAGUUACUUUAAUACAAAUGCACUUCUUUUAAACAUGAGUGUUUAUAAAAUAUGUUAAAAUCAAUAAACAUCAAAUAAAUCUUUAUUCAGGCCCUAUUUCAAACAAAAUUAAAGGUUCGAAAUUAUUGUUUAUAAAAUCAAGAAAUAAAUUGUUGUGCUAAACAUGAAAUUCGUUUCAGUCACAACUACUAAAGUAAAACAAAAGAAAACUGUAAGCGGAAGCUAUUUUAAAGAAAAUCCUCCUAUGGCGAUCACGUCUCCUUCUUAUUCCUCGUUGGUCGGUCUCUUAUAUUACUUUUGCCUGAAAGUUAAACAUAAAAGGGUGAGUAUAAACAUACCCAGCAAGAGACACACUACUGGUCCCACUAGGGUAAAAUUAUUAACUUUCUAUUGGAAGGUACCAUGUAUCAUAACAGUCUUGUGAUCCCGUAGGAUGCACAUAAUUAAUCUAAUGCUCAUAAAAGAUGCACAUAUCAGUCUAGUGCUCCCGAAGGAUGCACCUAUCAGUCUAGUGUUCAAAAGGAUGUACAACAGGUGGUGAUCCCGUGGGGCACCUGCAAGACACACUACCCUACAGAUAAAGCUAACAGUUUCCCUCAGUCCAUACUAACAUUUAAAACAGUCAACUCAACUUAGAAUAUAAACUACCAUUAUAUCCUUCUUUCAGCUCAACACAUAUACAUUAAUUUACCCAAACCAAUACAUAAUCAAACAUCAUCAGAACAGUCCCUCAAAUAAUUAAAUUUAUACAUAAGCGUCACUCACCUCAGUUCAGUCAAUUCAAUCUAGUUUGUCAAUUCAACCUACAUUACACUACCUAUGCCUUAACAUAACCGUCAACAACCCACAAUCUAAUCAAUUCGAUAUCCUCAGUUCAGUCAUCAAACUAAUUUUACAUAUCGGUCAACUCAUCUCAGUUCAAUAAAAUUCAUAUAAUAAACAGUCAUCAAAUAUAAAUUUGCUUAUCAGUUAGUCCAUCUAAGUUCAGUGGAAUCCAUAUAGUCAAUACAUCUUAAUUUCAUCAUUGAGUCCAGUAGUAGGAACCCUUACCUUAACUUCAUUUAUUCCACUAAAGUUCAACAAAAACAACCUAAACAUAAGUAAACAGAAAUCAAUGACUUCCAGAAACAAUUUCAUCUAUUCAAUUCAUCCUAUAUAUAUAAUUUCCACAACUUACCCAAAACGUGGAGAAUUGGAGUCCAACCCCACUCAUUUGAAACUCAAGGAAUUUAAGUGUUGUCCACAAUUUGCACCUUGAAGAAACAAUAUCAAUCAAUUUACUAACCCAACCAAUAUUGGUUAUUGAAAACAAUCACCAAAACCCAAAACUACACCCUUACCACAAACCACAACAAGGUAGAAACAACGGCUUUCGAAACCAACACAAAAGAGAUUGUGCAAAAUAGAUAUGCGUGUGGGUUGGCUUGCAACUCGUAAACGGACAACAGAUGUAGACGAAGGCAGAUUGAUUCGAAUCUUCAACAGCAGCUACGCGCAACGGAGAAUUCCACUAUCUCCCUAGUUCGUUUUCAACAUAUUCUUAUGUGAAAUUUAUUGUUUCAAUUCUUUAUUGCUUUGGUUUAACACCGCUUUGGAUUCUUUGCAGCAAAAGGUGGUAAAACCCACUACUUUAGAAGCGUCCCAAACAGUUUGGAAUCAGUGGAGCAUUGCCGUCCAAGAGGGAUCUCACUCACUUUGUCAAAUGGCCCAAAGUUGUUUAAAUUUAGAGAAAAAAUAGAAUUUUGAAGCAGAGGCUAAAAAUUCCACCAACAUUGAAUCUGUUCUAUUUGACUUUCUUUUUUCUCUUUUCUUUCUUGUUGUCAUCAUCAAAAUUUUCAACUAUACGUAUAAAGACGGAGAUAUUUUAUGUGGACAACUAUACGGCCGUCCGAACUACUUUUAACUUAUGUGGCUGGAUCUAAAACUUAGAAGAUUGUCCAAGUUUUCUGUUGAACAAUGCAUGUACCAGAUUUUGUGCAUUCCCAACAUGAUACAUUCUUAUGCUAUGUUGGGAAAGGGGGUUCUCUGUUUAUAAUCACAAUCACUUUAGCCCUUAUUUGGGGGUCAAGGUUGCCUUUCACUUCUCCUCCCUCAUUUUGUAUAAGGGCAAGUAUUUCUUUGUCUAAAAGGGUUCAAACUCUCCUACUAUUAUAAUCAUUCAACAUUCUCUGUAAUGAUCAAUUCUUUAUUCCUCUUAGAUUUAUUAGGUUUUACUUUUAAUUGCUGCAUAUAGUUCUCUUACCUUCGUAUAGACAAAAAGGUGUUUCUGAGAGGUUUUUCUUUGAUAAGUUAAACGCUUGUAUUUUGUUGGAUUUGGCCUAUGGUAUUGAAAAUCUCAAAUCAAUUGAACGCAAUGUCUUGUUUACACAUUUGAAUUGAAACUUUCCUAUACCUAUAUUAUACAUAUUUUUUCUAUUCUUUCCCACAAAUGUGUUAUAUCGACUUAUCUAUUCUACAUAAUUUCACGCAUGGCUAGCACGAUGUUCCCGUUUUCAAGGGAUGCCAAAAUUACUUUUCACUCAUUCUCGUAACUCCAUUGACGGAUAUAUUUCCUAAACCUAAACGGAUCUGCCUGCUCAUGCAUUUCCUAAUCAUGUGAUAAUGUUGAAUCUUCCUUUAUUAUAUAUAUAUAUUAUUGAUGUAAUUAAGAAGUUAUUUAAUAGUAAUAAGAGUUGUUCUUUAAUAGAAAUAUGUACGUUCGUAAAAUGUUCAUAUAUAUAUAAAUGGGUUCAAAAUUUGAGGUUACAAAAAAAAAAUGAAAUAAAUAAUAUAAGGUAUUUUUUUAAAAAAAAAUCAAACCCGCGAUGCCAUAUGUAAGCGUCGAGACUUGUAUAUAAGAUCUCCCGACGACUAAAGAUGGCGAACUCCCAACAUCGUAUACAGUAUCUUCCCGACGCUGCAUAUCUUAGUGUUGUAAAGGCUUCUUUUGAUGCAUUUUAUCCGAGCACAGUUUUGACAGACAUUUUUUGGGAGAUCCUUUUUCAACUCUUUUUUCGUAUAUCUCCCAACGAUUGUGUGCGUUGGAAGACCCCUCAUUUUUUUGUAGUGAAUUUGUAACUCGAAUACUCUUAAUAAAAUUUCUCAAAACUUGUUCUUAAUGUGGACGUAGACCAAAUUAGUCAACCAACUUAUAUCCUUGUGUUCGUAUUCUCUAUUGGUUUGUGUAUUUUAUGGCUAUUGCAUUAUGCUUGGGUUGUGUUAUUAAUUAAUUUAGUCCAUUAAUUAAUACAAAUAAUCAUGUCAGUUUUUAUUCAAGAGUUGAUUGGGCUGCACUAUAUACGAUCCAAAUGAAAAAGUUAAUUCUACGUCUUUUACUUCUCUAGAUAUAUUUCACAUUCUUUUAUAGUAAUGCCAUUACAUAUUUGUAUAAUGAUAAAAAUUGAAGCAUAUAGAACAAAGAAAAUACCAGAUCACUUUCCUUUUUAUUCAUAGUCGUUUGAUAUUGUAGUAUAGGCUAUAUAUAUAUAUAUAUAUAAGAAAAGUCCAUUACAAAGCAUGACCUCUAGCAUUUGGGAUAGGGAACACCACAGGAGGAAAUAAUAGCUUUUGCUCGAGCAGAUUUCACGUAACCUCCCAAGCUUGGAUUCUUCAUAUACUGACAAAAGCAUGGCUGUUGCUCCCUCAGCUUACUGCAACAAGUGGUGGACGGUGCCCGUCGAUGUCAUUGCACCAAUGCAUGGACUCAGCCCAUGGUGUUGCAAGUUAUCGCGUCGGCAACACGAGCUCCAGUGAGAGGGCCGCCAUUGCCACCACCAAAAGGGGAAGACUUGUGAACCCAAGAUUUUUCAUUAUUUUUCUUCUUUUGAUAUAGAAAUGAGGGAUAGGUUUCUAUUUGCCGCACCUUCAAAACAACGUUUUAUAACCUCAUAAAGUGGAAUGUGAGCACCUCACUUCUAUACCAACUUCUCUGUUUUGGCUUAAACUUUUCAAUAAAAUUAAUUUCUGAGUUGUUAACUUUCAAUAAAAUUAAUUUCGAGUUGUUAACUUUAUGAUGGUAACAUCUAUAGUUUGCAUUAAAUAUAUGGUUGGUGGUGGUAAUAGUGACAAACUCCCAACUUUGGAACAGUGACCAAAAGUUCAUAUAAAAAUUAUUUUAAAUACAAAUAAGUACACAAUUAUUUUUUGGAGUUUAAAAAUAACAAAAAAAAUAUAUAUAUAUAUAUAUAAUAAAAUCUUAAAUUGUAAAAAUAACAAAUUUAAAACAGAUAAUCUCUAAUAACUCUCUCGUAAUCUUUUGAUAGAUUUUUUUAUAGUUGAUAUCAUUAAUUACAAAAAAACUUUUUCUAAAUUCUUUUGUCAUCUAAUAUAAUUUUUUUAUUUUUUCUAACUAGAAAAUAUUAAAGCUUUUCACCAAUAUUUGAAAGUUAGGAGGUUGGAAACUUUUACCUUGAUUAGUAGCAUAUGCCUUACAUACUGUUUGCAACAUUUUCUAUAUUUUCUUCUAAUAUUAUCAACUAACAACAAUUCUAAUCGAAGUCGGUAUGUACAAGAAUUUGUUUUACAUUAUUGUUUAAAUACCUGACAUUUGGUUUUUUAAUAUUUCAUAAUUCCAGAAUUCUAUGUUGAAUUUGUGCUCCUUAAUUCACCAAUCUUUGAUCUAAAUACAUGAAUCUUAGGAUUACACGAAUCGAGAGUCCUAUUUGUGGAUCUAAAUGUAUGUAUUUUCUUGGUUGCAUUGCAUUAAUUUUGGCCUUUAUGUUCUUCGUUUGCAUUUUAAUUAAUUGCUUUGCCGGUUGAGUUCACCAUGAACAGGAUUAAGAAACGUAUAACAAGGGUCGUAACACAACGGAAUUUUUUAGAGAAUCUGAAUGAAUGAGUAGAGAAUGUGGUAAUAUUUAAGGUUAUGGUUGAUGCAGAGUAUUGGGAGAACAGUCGACCUCUGGAGGGCCAACAUCCAGUGAGCCUGCAGCAAGAAAAGGAUAUUUCUUUAGCUGGGUGAACAAUUUCUGUUUCCGACGUAACAAAAAUGUCAAUAAAGAUGAUUUAUGUUGAUGGAUUUUCUAUGCAAAGGUAUAACACCAUGUUUCGCGUAAGAAAAAUAUAUCCUUGGAGAGAGUUGAUUGAUGUUAGUGAAACCCAUGAAGUUUGGGUUUCUGCCGACACAAGUUUUAAUUUCUGCUUAUGCAAUUUGUGUGUAGAUUAUUUCAAAAAUAACAUGUUACCAACUGAAAACUACGCAAAGUUUAAUUCAUUUUAAUUAAAUAAAGAAAUGAAAUCAAUAAAACAAUCUAAACAGAAACCAAAAUGUUUAGUAAAAUAUAAUAACCAAUCACCAAAAAAGUAAUUUAUUUGGACCAAUCAUGAGUUUAGGAUAAAUCUAUCAAUAGACAUGUGGCUCUAAAACAUGAAAACAAAAAUAAAGUAGCGAAAGCAUUGUCACAAUAGUUCCAAAUGGCACAAUCACAAUCGUAGAUCCUUCUUACCGGCCUUGUCUUUGUUUGAAAAAUUGAACAAAUACCCAGUAAGAGAUCAGUCUAGUAGUUCAUAGAGCACACAUCAAUAGUAAAAGUUAUCCACUUAAUGCACUACCUAUAAGUGGGGAUCCUAUAGAACACUAUACAUAUAGGGUAUAUAUUAACCUAAUAAUCAAAGUUAAUAGUUGUCAUUAGUUCAAACACAUCCUAGUUUAGUCAUUCUCAAUUCAAUUCAGUCAUAAACAUAACAUGUAAAAUAUAUUCAAUAACCUCAUUCGUAACCAUCAUGUCUCAAGUAUUUCAUUAUGAGUCAUCAAUUAAAUCAGUCAUACUAUCAAUGCCUAUUAAACCAACCCAAUAUAUAAUCAAUAAUAAUCACAUUAUCAAUCUCAGUCUUACUCAUGUCGAGGAUUUGGUGUAAUAAACCCCUUACCUUAAAUUAUAGAGUUUAGGGUGGCAACGUUGUUGCUUGAGAGAAAAUUUUAUGUUAACUUCGAUUGAAAAUUCAUAACUAUUAGGAAAAUACACCUUACAUAAGUCUCUGUGUCUGUUUUACCUUGGUUUUUAGUGUUUUAACUCAUAAUUAUGAAUAAAUGAAGAUAUUAGUGAAUCAUAUAAGAGCCCAUGCAAAAGACUACGCGAGAGAAUAUUGUCUGGUGAGUAUAAUUCUGAGGUGAGGAAUUACGUCAUCACGCGAGAAAGGUUCACUAGAAGACAAGAAUGGUAGUUGGGGUUGAUGUAACUUGACAAAUGCUACAAUCGACACUGACAUGAUCAGAAGAAUAGAUGUUUUCCAUCGAAAGAUGCCUAUAAAAAGACUUCAUCCUUACCAAGUAAAGUGGUCGACUUCGAAAAGAGUCAAACAUCUAAAUGGAUCGACCAAACCCUAAAAGUGGCGGAAAGGAGUAGUCUUUCUGUCCUCUGUAAAAAGUCAUUCUUCUUCUUCUCUGCACCCUUAAAAAGAAGUUUUAUAAGUCUUGUAAGUAAACACUUUUAGAUAGAUCCGUCUUAACCAAGUUUUAUCAUUUGUAUCUCGAGAAGGCAAGCUAGUGUGAGUUUAAGGCACUGAGAGGUGCUCAACUUAAUUAUAAGCUAGAUGGCUUAAUUGCCUAAUAACACGAAGACCUUCCUUGACACUUUUUAAUACAAGUUAGUUCACAUUUUCAUCUCGCCACUAUUUUUGUCCCCUUUUACAUAUUCUAGUGUAGAUAGUAGAUUUAGCUUAGACUUAUUAGAUAGUUAUUUUAUACCGACUAGAUGAAGAGUGAGCCUUAUAACUAAUGUUUUGUAUCAAUUCUCUAUGUUCGACCAUGAAUUAUCCAGAAAACCUAUUAUUUCGCUUCAUUUUUCUGUCAUACAGGGUAAAUACUUUCACUUUUUCUUAUUCAUGUAAAUUUCUCUUGAUAGCAUAUAUAUUGUUAAUUCACACAAAUAUUAAAGUGGUUCAUAAAUGAUAGACAUCUAUCAAUAAUGAUAAACCUACAAAUUUUUUAGUAAUCAACCAUACAAAAACAAUUUAGUGUAUCGACUAUUAAAAUGGUUCAGUCUAUUGUUGAUAGAUCCAAAAAAAUCGUAAAAAUAACACUUACACAUUAUUAAUUUUUUGUGAUAUAGUUACAAAUGUGUGGCAACGAAUUUUAUCACGUGACACUAAUCUUUAAGAAACAUAAAAUUCGCAAACAAAUGAUGGCAAUUUACUUGUUUGACUUUACCAAGCUUUUCAUUAUGUUAAUUAAUUUUCAUUUAUCAGUAUUUGGAUGAUGAUAUAAUUGUGCAGUGAAUAAACUUUAAUUAGUGUUCAAAGUUUUAGGCCUUAAUUAGUUCAAUUUUGAUUAGUGUUUAAAGAUUGCAUUAGUUAAAUUUUGAUUAGUGUCCAAAGUUUUAAAGACUAAGCGUGUCUAGACAGAGGGAUAAUCUAGAGUAGACUUUUUUAAUCACUAUAGUUAAUCUACAAUAUAGUGAUUUGAUAUUGGUUUAUAAGUGGUUCAAAAUAAUGAACUUUUAAGCCUUUUUUUUUUUUAACAGAAAUGAGAAGAGAAGAACCAUAUCAUAUACCUUUGGAUCAUUAGCUCGUAACACUUUUUUUUCAAUCUAUUUCUAAAUUUGUUAUUUUCACAAUUUUAAAAAUAUAAGUGACAUGAACUCUAUUAUUAAAAGUAAUCAUGACCUGAAUGAUUGUUUAAAAGAACUAUAUAUGAUCUGAAUGAUCGUUUAUCAUAAUAAUCACGAUCGUUUACUGUGGUCAACACGAUCGUUAGAUUUAGUUUUUAAAUAUCAUUUAUAUUGGAGUACACGAUCGUUUACCAUAAUCAACACUAAUUAACACUAAUUAACACGAUCGUUCACCAUGGUCAACACGAUCAUUAGAUUUAAGGUUUUUAAAUAUCAUUUAUAUUGGAGUAUACGAUCGCUAACUAUAAUCAACAUGAUCAUGUUCCAUGAUAACACAAUCGUUUGUCAUGGUCAACAUGAUUAUUUUAAUUUGACGUUUUCUUUCCUCUAUUAAAAAAGAAUUACACAAUCGUUUGUCAUUCGUUGAGACGGUAAGACACGAUCGUUUAGAAGAAAAUUACUCGCACGCGACUGUGGUCGAUUAAUUGUGUCUUGACUAAGAUAUUUUUUAUAUUUUCUAUCGUAGGCCUUGGAGUUUUCCAUUUUCAAAAUUGUUCAGUAUAGUGUAAAUAUGUUAUUGUAAAUAUGUUAUUGAUUUGUUAUAAUUUUUUUAAAAACCCUUAUAUAUGUGUGUAUGUGUGUGUGUAUAUAUAUAUAUAUAGACUAUUCAAAUGUGAUAUAAUAUAUUGUUCAAAUGUGUAUAGAUAUAUAUAUACUGUUCAAAUGUGAUAUAAACUAAUAUUGCAAAAAUUAAAGCUCUUAGCUUGAGCUGAACGCACCAAAUUAUAAUAUAGUAAAAGGAGGUUGAGAAACCGAGUAUCUCUCCUGAAUACAAAGUGGAUGAAGUAAUUUUUAAAUAAAUAGAAACGAAAAACAUUUAAAUGACAACCAAAUUUCAUAGAAUAAAAAGAUUUAAUUCGUUUUUGCAGGAGAAGGGCAAAGUUUCUUUUCUUCAAAAAGAGGUAAUGUUGACUUAAUCUUCUAUUAUUUUUAGCUUAAUUAAUAUUUCCAACGAUGGAAUAUAUCUGACAAAAUAACAAAAUUAAACCCUUAAAAGAUAGCACUAGCCAUAAUACCAAUUUGAGAUGUCUAUCUACUGACUUAUUAUUAACUCAUAAUGGGUAAGGCGGUAUAUUAAAACGUAAUAUUGAGCUUUUAAUUUAUAUAGAAAGUAUAGGUUGGUUUUCCCUUUAUUUUUAGUUGGGAUCAGAAUAUUGUAUAUUAGAUUAAACUAAAGAGACAUAACAAUACUUAAUUCUUGUAGAAGAGUCCAAACUCAAGUAAGUAGGGUUUCUAUUUAGAGCAGUCAGCCUCAGUUGGUAAGCUAAUGUUGCAGGAUUUAGCAAUUCUUCUAGCCGCACUAGAAUUCACGAAACUCCUCAAAUCUGGAUCAUUGAUAUAUUCACAGUAGCAUGGUUGUGCCUCCCUCAACUUGUUGCAACAUGUCUGACUGGGCGUCAUCCCAAAAAAUGCUGCUGUGCAUGACGAGAGCUGUGAUGGGUCGCAUUCCACUUGAGCAACCACCGGAGGAGCGCCAUUAAGAAGAGCCACCGUGGUUGCCACCACGAAAAUGCAAACAACGAUUGUGAUAGGAAAAUUCUUCAUUUGAUUGUGUUACGAGGAAGGGAGGAAUAACGAAUUUGUGUGUUUCUGUGCUUUUGCUGAUGCUUUCAACCUCUCCUUUUAUAGCCUCUCAUAGGGAGUAAAUGUGUGCAACAAGUUAAGUUACCACACCUCCUAUUCAAUACUUUAAGUUACCACAAACUCUUCCGCACGAGUUAAACAAGUGAAUUAGUUGUCAUAAAAUUUCGCUUACUAGAUGCCCAACGCAUUAUGACAUGGUUAGAUAGACAUUGAUCAAUGUCUAGGUGGUCACACCUUCACUUAAUCACAUGACGAGACCUGAGAAUGGGGUCUGGGUGAUUGAAACAUCAAUGAUGUACAAAUAGUGUCAUUGGUGAUCAAAAUCUCUCGAUGAUUGUAAAAGAAAGAGAGAUGACAAUCAACUAGGAACAACACGUUAAAAACUCUCUAGAUGGAAGAUAUCUGAGAAUCGAGUAAUCGUCGUGUGAAGAUUUAAAUAUGUUAAAAGGUAUUUUUGAAAAUUUCAAAAAGUGAAAAUUACGUGUCCUAAGCUUCGUUUUUUUGACAUAUAACGUAAAUACUUUCAAUUUUUUUAUUUAUGUAAAAUUCCCCUUGUAAAAUAUAUAUUGUUAAUUCACAAAUAUAUUAAAGUGGUUGAUACAUGAUAGAUACCUCUCAAUAAUGAUAAUCCUACAAACUGUUUAUCAAUCAAUAUAUGCAAAAACAAUUUCGUGUAUUAACAGUAAUGGACUAUUAAAAUGGUCUAUCAGAAACGUUUGAUAGAUAAAAAGAAAAAUCCUAAAAAUAACAUAGUUACAAAUUAUUAAAUUUUUUGAUUGAUAUAGUUUACAAAUGUGGCAACGAAUUUUGUUACCUAACACUUAUGAUUAAAAAACAUAAAAUUAGCAAACAAAAUGGUGACAAUUUACUUGUUUGACUUUAUCAUGCAUUUAAUUAUGUUAAUUAACAUUCAUUUAUCUGUGUUUCGAUGAUGAUAAUUGAACAUUGAUUAAAUUUUGAUUAGUGUUUAAAGUUUUAGGCAUUAAUUAAAUUUUGAUUAAUUGGCAAAAACAGUACAAAUUUGAUAAUGAGACCAAUUUUGAAAAGAAGAGUCUUGGGACAAAUGGAUAUGUGAAAUAUCUAAAUUAUCCUUUAGUUUAAAAAAGCUCUAAAAUUUUGAAACCCACAAUUUCUUCCUCACACAACACAUCCAUCUGUAGAUGAACAAAUUGCAACCAAUGAAUGGAGGGAAUCGAUCAGAUGGAGUGGCGGUGACUUGGGUAGCAACAACCGAUAUCCAUUUGGAUGACUUGGACAACAACAACAAUUUCCCUAAAGCUAAAGUCUGGGUUUUAUGGAUUGUGCAUCAACGAUUUCUACAUCUUUCUUUAUUGCCAACUUUGUGGCCUCGUCCUCCUCCCAUUCCGCUUUCUUGCAUUUCCUAUUCAUUUCUCUCUCCUUCAUGUAAAAUACCAAUGAAUUGUAUUGAAUUUGGUUGCUAUUUUCAUUGAUCAAAAUGAAUAUUUAUACAAUGCUUGAAGAUACAAAUAUGGUAAAAAAUAAUUACAAAUCAAUUUACAACAAAUAGAGGGAUUAUAGGAGUAGAUUUUGUAAUAUGAUAUUAUUUCCUAAUAUCCCACCUCAAACCAAAGAUUCAGAGGGAGUUAGUAGUUAUUUCAAAGGUGAAGAAAUAUGAGAGACAGAAGUAGCUUUUGUGAGUAUAUCAACAAGUUGUUUGUUGGAGGAGAUGCGUCGAACAGAGAUGUCUUUACGAAGAACUUUUUCCCGAACAAAAUGGGAAUCAAUCUCAAUGUGUUUGGUUGACAAAAAUGCCAUUAGUGGAGAAUUGUAUUUCGAGACCAAGAAAAUACUUUAAAGAACCAAGAUCAGAUAUUUUAAAUUCAAGUGCCAAUUGGUUUUUAGAAGAGAAAUAUAAGAGGAGUCUGGGCCAGUGCCAAUAGUAUCAUCAAAACAUACAUGAGUAAGUAAGUAAGAGAAGAUCCAACAUGUCAAAUGAAUAAAGAUGGAUCAACCAGCUGUCCUAAAACAUAUAACAUUUGUCACUCACAGCCCCACAACCAAUCCUCUCAAUUAAGACACUUUGAAUUCAAAUUCUUCCCUUUCAAUUCAUGAUUCAUCUAUACAUAUAAAUAUAAGGGGAAAUUUUUUAAUUUACCUCUUCCUUUUAUAUAUUUUAUUUAUUUAAAUCUAAAUUAAUAAUAUAUGAUUUUAAUCUUUAACUUCUGUAAAAAUUUCAAUUGACACUACUUUUAAGAUUUGAAUUUUGAUCAAAGUUGCAUGAAACAUAUAAUUGUUUAUGUUAAUCUUAAAUUAUAAUAACAGAAAUUAUUUAUAUCCUUUAUUAAGAUUAAAUAAAUUAUCCAUGUGUUUAAAUCUUCCACUCUCGAAAUAGAAUUUAAAUGUUAAAUUUAUCAAAUAAAUAAGUAGGAGUUCAUGUAUGGAUUUUGUUAAACAAAGUAAUAGAAUAUCUAAAUUGAUUUGUUUAUAAAGAUGUCUAGAAACGUUUAAUUGAUGCGAAGAAGGGCACCAUACUAAAAGUAUUUAGAAAAAUAUUAGUAAAAUAUCACAUCGAGUGAUAUACUAUUAAUAAUAGUAUAAUGUAAUCUAUACAAAAGUUUUUUUUUUUUUUUUGUUUAUUUUAGUAUAUUUAAAAACAAACUGCAUUCGUAAUAUGGUUAUGAUACAAUCUAUAAUUCAAAUUUUAAGGGUUCUUUUUAUAUAAACUAUUUGAAUAUGAAUAUGGUUAUGAUACAAUCUAUAAUUCAAAUUUUAAGGAUUCUUGUUUUAAGGGUUCUUUUUAUAUAAACUAUUUACCUUUCAAAGAACCUAUACCUAUUUAUACUUUAUACAACAAAAUUACAAAAUAUCUUUCCAAAUUUUUAAAAUCUACUUUGAUUAAAUUUAAAUUCAUAAAAACUAACCAAAACUAAUUCAUAAAAACUAACCAAAACUAACAAACCAGGUUAAUAGAACUAAAGUAAAUCCACUCUUUACAUAUCUUAAUCAACAACGUUUAGUUCCAACUCUUUACAUAUCUUAAUCAACAACGAGAAGACUUACUUAUUUUUGUAUAUCUUUAUAUGGAGUUUUGUAAAAAUAGCAAAAAUGUAUGAUAAUAGAAAUCAUGUCAUAAGAUUUUUUAAAUUUACAAAAUUAUAAGAUUUUUUAAAUUUACAAAAUUUGCAAAUUAAUUUACAAAAUUAUAAAAUUUUUAAAUUUACAAAAUUUGCAAAUUAAUUUAGAAGGGAUGACUGUCUACUGUCAUACAAUUACUGUCUACUGUCAUACAAUUACUGUCUAUUAGUCCUGCAACAACUCCACAACAACUCUAGAUUACCGAUGAUUAUCGUUUAAUAGUAGUCUGAUAUCAUUAACUUUGUCAUAUUUGAAGUAUGCAAAAAAAAUAGUGUUGUCAAACUUAUUUGGAAAUAUUUUUGCAAUUUUCUUUUUAUAAAAGACAGCAUGAAAAAAUCUAGUAAGUUUUAAUAAAAAGCAAAAAUCUUCCCCUAACAAAUUUUUUUUUUUUUGUUGAAAAACUAUGUAAGUUGGAGAGAUAAAGAUAUUUGCAACCUAAUCAUCACCAAGAUAUUGUUCAAUUUUACUUUACAGCAACCUAAAAAAGAGAAAAAAGGUGAAACAUUUAACAAAGAAAACACCAAUCUAAAAAUAUCUUUAUAGAAACAUACCAUACCUAUUAUUUUAAUUCAUUAAAAGAAAAAGAAAAGAGAUAUAUGAUCAACAUGAACCUACUUUAAUAACUUAAUUAAAAAAAAAAAAGAAACACAUAGAUCGUUUUUUUCUUUUAUUGUUUUAUUCAUAGGAAUAACUAUAAAAUUAUUCCAGCUUAAUUUCCACACAUAUGGCCCAAAAGAAAGACCCUCUAACACCUUGGAGUGGGAACACCACAUUUGGAAGCAACAUGUUUGGCGCGAGGAGAAUUCAAAUAACUACUCAAAGCUGGGUUCUUUAUGUACCCGCAAAGACAUGGUUGCUGCUCUCUCAAUUUGUUGCAGCAAGUGGCGGAUGGGUCUGCCAUCGACGUGAUUGCCGUGAGACAUGAGCUCAGCUCCGAAGGGCUGCAACUCACCGCCUCUGCAACACGAACUCCGCCAAGAACGGCCAGCACGAAAAACAAACAACUGUGACUGGAAGAACUUUGUUCAUUGUCUCUUGGUUUUGAUAGAAAUCAGUAAUGUUUGUUGAAGGGAAAGGGAAAAGGAAAAGGAGAAAGAGGAAUAAUAUGGCUUUAAUUGUCUGUUUUUCCCCCCAACUCUUUUUUGUUUGUAUUUAUAGCCACAUAAAGUUGGAAGAGUUGAUAAAAGGGCCAACCCUAUUAUUAAUUUCUCAUUUCCAAUUUCACCUACUUUUCUCUUUGAUUUUAAUUGCUUCCAACAUCCUUUUCCAUAAAGUUAAUAUUGUGAUGAUAACAAUUAACAAAUAUUGUUGGCAUUGAUUUAAAUGUUGGGUUGCUCUACACGUUUGAUCUAUUCUAGAGCACAAAAAUUACCACAAUUAUUUUAACAUUUUUUGAAUUAUCCUAAAUCAUAAAAGGAAUUAGAGACGAAUAUAUUUUGCUUGUUUUUAUUUCUUUUUACAAUGGUUUGGUAUAAAUAUGCAAUACAAGAUAAUAUUAAAUAUGAAAAGAUUGGGAUAUAAUCAAAUAUACAAUUUGGGCAAAAAUAAAGGGCAGAAAUUGAGGAGUAGAUUAUGAAGAGGAUUGUGAUUUUGGAAAAUAUCCUCUAAUAUCCUCCCUCAGAUUGAUGACUCAAAAUGAGUCAAUAGUUUGUCUCGGAGUUGUAGAAGUGUUGUAGAUGAGAGUGACUUUGUUUGUAGAUCAACAAGUUGAUCGUUGGAAGAGAUAAUGUAACGAAUGAAGAUGUCUUUGCGAAGUACCUUCUCUUGAAAAAAGUGGUAAUCAAUUUCAAUAUGUUCGGUACGAGCAUGAAACACGAGAUUAUGAACCUGAGAUAUAGCUAAAACAUUAUCACACCAUAAGGUUGUUGAAGAUUUAAAGUGGAACAUGAAGAUCACAUAGAACUUGUCGGUUCCAGUAAAGAUCUGCAGUGGUAGUGGCGAGUGAGCAAGUUUUUGCUUAUGUGGAAGAACGAUAGACUGUAGGUUGCUUUCUAAAAGACCAAUAGAUAGGAUUAGAACCAAGAAAGACAAUGAAUCCAGAGGUGGAAUGUCGAUCAGAAGUGUCGCUAGCACAAUCAGAGUCAUUAAAAGGUUUAUAGAUAUAAUUAAUGAACCCAUGCAAAAUUUUAUCCCAAGGGUUGAGUACCACAUAGAUAUCGUAGGAUGCAUUUGAUUGCAGAGAAGUGAAUAACAGUGGGUUUGUGCAUCAAUUGACUAACACAAUUUAUAGAGAAUGAAAUAUCAUGGUGAGUAAAGUAAGGUAUUUUAAUGAAAGGAGUUAGAUGAUGGAUCAUUAAAUGACAAAACUGUUGAAAUUUAUGUCAUAAAACUCGUAGUUUGUAGUUUAAAAGUAUAUUUUAUUCAAUAAAGUGGUUAUUGAGGAUUAUUAAUAGAAUACUAUAAUCUUGAAUCUAAAUAAACUAAGGUCCUUAUGCUACCUAGUGUAGACUUGAAUUUACAUAAAUGUGGAUCAAGUUCAAGUAUAUAGCCCAAAUGGUCUAUAGUGUAUGAAUAAGCCUUAUUCUUGUUGUAGUUAGUACAAACGAUAUGAUCCUGAAUCGUUCAUGUAGAGACCAUGGAAGUUGGAGUAUCCUAUGUACAAAGUUUGCAUAAGACUGAAAUCAUAAAAUAAUCACUUUUAAGUUAUAACACCAUUGAUUGUACAAAACUGACUAUUUUGUUUAUUGAUGACCCAUGUAACUUAAUCUUAAUCCUAAGUUAACUAUGAACUUUGUUCACACAAAUUAUCCUUAGAUCUGCAUAGGUGAGUGUAGCUCAACGACACUGACACAAUAAGCCUCCCAUUUUAGGAGUAAGAUUGGGUGGAUGGCUAGGUGUAACGAUCCAAACUUUUCAAACUAAACUGAGGUAGUUCUUUAAUACAAAUGCACUUCUUUUAAACAUGAGUGUUUAUAAAAUAUGUUAAAAUCAAUAAACAUCAAAUAAAUCUUUAUUCAGGCCCUAUUUCAAACAAAAUUAAAGGUUCGAAAUUAUUGUUUAUAAAAUCAAGAAAUAAACUGUUGUGCUAAACAUGAAAUUCGUUUCAGUCACAACUACUAAAGUAAAACAAAAGAAAACUGUAAGCGGAAGCUAUUUUAAAGAAAAUCCUCCUAUGGCGAUCACGUCUCCUUCUUAUUCCUCGUUGGUCGGUCUCUUAUAUUACUUUUGCCUGGAAAGUUAAACAUAAAAGGGUGAGUAUAAACAUACCCAGCAAGAGACCACUACUGGUCCCACUAGGGUAAAAUUAUUAACUUUCUAUUGGAGGUACCAUGUAUCAUAACAGUCUUGUGAUCCCGUAGGAUGCACAUAAUUAAUCUAAUGCUCAUAAAAGAUGCACAUAUCAGUCUAGUGCUCCCGAAGGAUGCACCUAUCAGUCUAGUGUUCCAAAUGAUGCACAACAGGUGGUGAUCCCGUGGGGCACCUGCAAGACACACUACCCUACAGAUAAAGCUAACAGAUUUCCCUCAGUCCAUACUAACAUUUAAAACAGUCAACUCAACUUAGAAUAUAAACUACCAUUAUAUCCUUCUUUCAGCUCAACACAUAUACAGUUAAUUUACCCAAACCAAUACAUAAUCAAACAUCAGCAGAACAGUCCUCAAAUAAUUAAAUUUAUACAUAAGCGUCACUCACCUUAGUUCAGUCAAUUCAAUCUAGUUUGUCAAUUCAACCUACAUUACACUACCUAUGCCUUAACAUAACCGUCAACAACCCACAAUCUAAUCAAUUCGAUAUCCUCAGUUCAGUCAUCAAUAUAUUUUACAUAUCGGUCAACUCAUCUCAGUUCAAUAAAAUUUAUAUAAUAAACAGUCAUCAAAUAUAAAUUUGCUUAUCAGUUAGUCCAUCUAAGUUUAGUGGAAUCCAUAUAGUCAAUACAUCUUAAUUUCAUCAUUGAGUCCAGUAGUAGGAACCCUUACCUUAACUUCAUUUAUUCCACUAAAGUUCAACAAAAACAACCUAAACAUAAGUAAACAGAAAUCAAUGACUUCUAGAAACAAUUUCAUCUAUUCAAUUCAUCCUAUAUAUAUAAUUUCCACAACUUACCCAAAACGUGGAGAAUUGGAGUCCAACCCCACUCACUUGAAACUCAAGGAAUUUAAGUGUUGUCCACAAUUUGCACCUUCAAGAAACAAUAUCAAUCAAUUUACUAACCCAACCAAUAUUGGUUAUUGAAAACAAUCACCAAAACCCAAAACUACACCCUUACCACAAACCACGACAAGGUAGAAACAACGGCUUUCGAAACCAACACAAAAGAGAUUGUGCAAAAUAGAUAUGCGUGUGGGUUGGCUUGCAACUCGUAAACGGACAACAGAUGUAGACGAAGGCAGAUUGAUUCGAAUCUUCAACAGCAGCUACGCGCAACGGAGAAUUCCACUACAUCUAGCCCUACUUCGUUUUCGAACAUAUUCUUAUGUGAAAUUUAUUGUUUCAAUUCUUUAUUGCUUUGGUUUAACACCGCUUUGGAUUCUUUGCAGCAAAAGGUGGUAAAAACUACUUUAGAAGCGUCCCAAGCAGUUUGGAAUCAGUGGAGCAUUGCCGUCCAAGAGGGAUCUCACUCACUUUGUCAAAUGGCCCAAAGUUGUUUAAAUUUAGAGAAAAAAUAGAAUUUUGAAGCAGAGGCUAAAAAUUCCACCAACAUUGAAUCUGUUCUAUUUGACUUUCUUUUUUCUCUUUUUUUCUUGUUGUCAUCAUCAAAAUUUUCAACCAUACGUAUAAAGACGGAGAUAUUUUAUGUGGACAACUAUACGGCCGUCCGAACUACUUUUAACUUAUGUGGCUGGAUCUAAAACUUAGAAGAUUGUCCAAGUUUUCUGUUGAACAAUGCAUGUACCAGAUUUUGUGCAUUCCCAACAUGAUACAUUCUUAUGUUAUGUUGGGAAAGGGGUUCUCUGUUUAUAAUCACAAUCACUUUAGCCCUUAUUUGGGGGUCAAGGUUGCCUUUCACUUCUCCUCCCUCAUUUUGUAUAAGCAAGUAUUUCUUUGUCUAAAAGGGUUCAAACUCUCCUACUAUUAUAAUCAUUCAACAUUCUCUGUAAUGAUCAAUUCUUUAUUCCUCUUAGAUUUAUUAGGUUUUACUUUUAAUUGCUGCAUAUAGUUCUCUUACCUUCGUAUAGACAAAAAGGUGUUUCUGAGAGGUUUUUCUUUGAUAAGUUAAACGCUUGUAUUUUGUUGGAUUUGGCCUAUGGUUUGAAAAUCUCAAAUCAAUUGAACGCAUUGUCUUGUUUACACAUUUGAAUUGAAACUUUCCUAUACCUAUAUUAUACAUAUUCUUUCUAUUCUUUCCCAAAAUGUGUUAUACGACUUAUCUAUUCUACAUAAUUUCACGCAUGGCUAGCACGAUGUUCCCGUUUUCAAGGGAUGCCAAAAUUACUUUUCACUCAUUCUCGUAACUCCAUUGACGGAUAUAUUUCCUAAACCGGAUCUGCCUGCUCAUGCAUUUCCUAAUCAUGUGAUAAUGUUGAAUCUUCCUUUAUUAUAUAUAUAUAUUAUUGAUGUAAUUAAGAAUUGUUAUUUAAUAGUAAUUAAGAAGUUGUUCUUUAAUAGAAAUAUGUACGUUCGUGAAAAUGUUCAUAUAUAUAUAAAUGGGUUCAAAAUUUGAGGUUACAAAAAAUAAAAUGAAAUAAAUAAUAUAAGGUAUUUUUUUUAAAAAAAAAUCAAACCCGCGAUGCCAUAUGUAAGCGUCGAGACUUGUAUAUAAGAUCUCCCGACGACUAAAGAUGCGAACUCCCAACAUCGUAUACAGUAUCUUCCCGACGCUGCAUUUCUUAGUGUCGUAAAGGUUUCUUUUGAUACAUUUUAUCAGAGCACAGUUUUGACAGACAUUUUUUGGGAGAUCCUUUUACAACUCUUUUUUCGUAUAUCUCCCAACGAUUGUGUGCGUUGGAAGACCCCUCAUUUUUUGUAGUGAAUUUGUAACUCGAAUACUCUUAAUAAAAUUUCUCAAAACUGGUUCUCAAUGUGGAUGUAGACCAAAUUAGUCAAACCACUUAUAUCCUUGUGUUUUUAUUCUCUUAUGCUUUGUGUAUUUUAUGGCUAUUGCAUUAUGCUUGGGUUGUGUUAUUAAUUAAUUUAGUCCAUUAAUUAAUACAAAUAAUCAUGUCAGUUUUUAUUCAAGAGUUGAUUGGGCUGCACUAUAUACGAUCCAAAUGAAAAAGUUAAUUCCACGUCUUUUACUUCUCUAGAUAUAUUUCACAUUCUUUUAUAGUAAUGCCAUUACAUAUUUGUAUAAUGAUAAAAAUUGAAGCAUAUAGAACAAAGAAAAUACCAGAUCACUUUCCUUUUUAUUGAUAGUCGUUUGAUAUUGUAGUAUAUAUAUAUAUAUAUAUAUAUAUAUAUAAGAAAAGUCCAUUACAAAGCAUGACCUCUAGCAUUUGGGAUAGGGAACACCACAGGAGGAAAUAAUAGCUUUUGCUCGAGCAGAUUUCACGUAACCUCCCAAGCUUGGAUUCUUCAUAUACUGACAAAAGCAUGGCUGUUGCUCCCUCAGCUUACUGCAACAAGUGGUGGACGGUGGCCGUCGAUGUCAUUGCACCAAUGCAUGGACUCAGCCCCAUGGUGUUGCAAGUUAUCGCGUCGGCAACACGAGCUCCAGUUAUGAGGGCCGCCAUUGCCACCACCAAAGGGGAAGACUUGUGAACCCAAGAUUUUUCAUUAUUUUUCUUCUUUUGAUAUAGAAAUGAGGGAUAGGUUUCUAUUUGCCGCACCUUCAAAACAACUUUUUAUAGCCUCAUAAAGUGGAAUGUGUCACUUCUAUACCAACUUCUCUGUUUUGGCUUAAACUUUUCAAUAAAAUUAAUUUCGAGUUGUUAACUUUCAAUAAAAUUAAUUUCGAGUUGUUAACUUUAUGAUGGUAACAUCUAUAGUUUGCAUUAAAUAUAUGGUUGGUGGUGGUAAUAGUGACAAACUCCCAACUUUGUAACAGUGACCAAAAGUUCAUAUAAAAAUUAUUUUAAAUACAAAUAAGUACACAAUUAUUUUUUGGAGUUGUAAAAAUAACAAAAAUAUAUAUAAUAUAUAUAUAUAUAUAAUAAAAUCUUAAAUGGUAAAAAUAACAAAUUUAAAACAGUAACUCUAAUAACUCUAAUAACUCUCUCAUGACUUUUGAUAGAUUUUUUUAUUGUCGAUAUCAUUAAUUACAAAAAAACUUUUUCUAAAUUCUUUUGUCAUCUAAUAUAAUUUUUUAUUUUUCUAACUAGAAAAUAUUAAAGCUUUUCACCAAUAUUUGAAGUUAGGAGGUUGGAAACUUUUACCUUGAUUAGUAGCAUAUGCCUUACAUACUGUUUGCAACAUUUUCUAUAUUUUCUUCUAAUAUUAUCAACUAACAACAAUUCUAAUCGAAGUCGGUAUGUACAAGAAUUUGUUUUACAUUAUUGUUUAAAUACCUGACAUUUGGUUUUUUAAUAUUUCAUAAUUCCAGAAUUCUAUGUUGAAUUUGUGCUCCUUAUUCACCAAUCUUUGAUCUAAAUACAUGAAUCUUAGGAUUACACGAAUCGAGAGUCCUAUUUGUGGAUCUAAAUGUAUGUAUUUUCUUGGUUGCAUUGCAUUAAUUUUGGCCUUUAUGUUCUUCGUUUGCAUUUUAAUUAAUUGCUUUGCCGGUUGAGUUCACCAUGAACAGGAUUAAUAGGGUCGUAACACAACGGAAUUUUUAGAGAAUCUGAAUGAAUGAGUAGAGAAUGUGGUAAUAUUUAAGGUUAUGGUUGAUGCAGAGUAUUGGAGAACAGUCGACCUCUAGAGGGCCAACAUCCAAUGAGCCUGCAGCAAGAAAAGGAGAUUUCUUUAGCUGGGUGAACAAUUUCUGUUUCCGACGUAACAAAAAUGUCAAUAAAGAUGAUUUAUGUUGAUGGAUUUUCUAUGCAAAGGUAUAACACCAUGUUUCGCUAAGAAAAAUAUAUCCUUGGAGAGAGUUGAUUGAUGUUAGUGAAACCCAUGAAGUUUGGGUUUCUGCCGACACAAGUUUUAAUUUCUGCUUAUGCAAUUUGUGUGUAGAUUAUUUCAAAAAUAACAUGUUACCAACUGAAAACUACGCAAAGUUUAAUUCAUUUUAAUUAAAUAAAGAAAUAAAAUCAAUAAAACAAUCUAAACAGAAACCAAAAUGUUUAGUAAAAUAUAAUAACCAAUCACCAAAAAAGUAAUUUAUUUGGACCAAUCAUGAGUUUAGGAUAAAUCUAUCAAUAGACAUGUGGCUCUAAAACAUGAAAACAAAAAUAAAGUAGCGAAAGCAUUGUCACAAUAGUUCCAAAUGGCACAAUCACAAUCGUAGAUCCUUCUUACCGGCCUUGUCUUUGUUUGAAAAAUUGAAAAAUACCCAGUAAGAGAUCAGUCUAGUAGUUCAUAGAGCACACAUCAAUAGUAAAAGUUAUCCACUUAAUGCACUACCUAUAAGUGGGGAUCCUAUAGAACACUAUACAUAUAGGGUAUAUAUUAACCUAAUAAUCAAAGUUAAUAGUUGUCAUUAGUUCAAACACAUCCUAGUUUAGUCAUUCUCAAUUCAAUUCAGUCAUAAACAUAAUAUGUAAAAUUUAUUCAAUAACCUCAUUCAUAACCAUCAUGUCUCAAGUAUCAUUGGUGAUCAAAAUCUCUCAAUGAUUGUAAAAGAAAGAGAGAUGACAAUCAACUAGGAACAACACGUUAAAAACUCUCUAGAUGGAAGAUAUCUGAGAAUCGAGUAAUCAUCGUGUGAAGAUUUAAAUAUGUUAAAAGGUAUUUUUGAAAAUUUCAAAAAGUGAAAAUCACGUGUCCUAAGCUUCGUUUUUUUGACAUAUAACGUAAAUACUUUCAAUUUUUUUAUUUAUGUAAAAUUCCCCUUGUAAAUAUAUAUUGUUAAUUCACAAAUAUAUUAAAGUGGUUGAUACAUGAUAGAUAUCUCAUCAAUAAUGAUAAUCCUACAAACUGUUUAUCAAUCAAUAUAUGCAAAAACAAUUUCGUGUAUUAUCAGUAAUGGACUAUUAAAAUGGUCUAUCAGAAACGUUUGAUAGAUAAAAAGAAAAAUCCUAAAAUAACAUAGUUACAAAUUAUUAAAUUUUUUUGAUAUAGUUUACAAAUGUGGCAACGAAUUUGUUACUAACACUUAUGAUUAAAAAACAUAAAAUUAGCAAACAAAAUGGUGACAAUUUACUUGUUUGACUUUAUCAUGCAUUUAAUUAUGUUAAUUAACAUUCAUUUAUCUGUGUUUUUGAUUGAUUGAUUAAAUUUUGAUUAGUGUUUAAAGUUUUAGGCAUUAAUUAAAUUUUGAUUAAUUGGCAAAAACAGUACAAAUUUGAUAAUGAGACCAAAUUUUGAAAAGAAGAGUCUUGGGACAAAUGGAUAUGUGAAAUAUCUAAAUUAUCCUUUAGUUUAAAAAAGCUCUAAAAUUUUGAAACCCACAAACACACACAUCCAUCUGUAGAUGAAACCAAAUGAAUGGAGGGAAUCGAUCAGAUGGAGUGGCGGUGACUUGGGUAGCAACAACCGAUAUCCAUUUGGAUGACUUGGACAACAACAACAAUUUCCCUAAAGCUAAAGUCUGGGUUUUAUGGAUUGUGCAUCAACGAUUUCUACAUCUUUCUUUAUUGCCAACUUUGUGGCCUCGUCCUCCUCCCAUUCCGCUUUCUUGCAUUUCCUAUUCAUUUCUCUCUCCUUCAUGUAAAAUACCAAUGAAUUGUAUUGAAUUUGGUUGCUAUUUUCAUUGAUCAAAAUGAAUAUUUAUACAAUGCUUGAAGAUACAAAUAUGGUAAAAAAUAAUUACAAAUCAAUUUACAACAAAUAGAGGGAUUAUAGGAGUAGAUUUUGUAAUAUGAUAUUAUUUCCUAAUAUCCCACCUCAAACCAAAGAUUCAGAGGGAGUUAGUAGUUAUUUCAAAGGUGAAGAAAUAUGAGAGACAGAAGUAGCUUUGUGAGUAUAUCAACAAGUUGUUUGUUGGAGGAGAUGCGUCGAACAGAGAUGUCUUUACGAAGAACUUUUUCCCGAACAAAAUGGGAAUCAAUCUCAAUGUGUUUGGUUGACAAAAAUGCCAUUAGUGGAGAAUUGUAUUUCGAGACCAAGAAAAUACUUUAAAGAACCAAGAUCAGAUAUUUUAAAUUCAAGUGCCAAUUGGUUUUUUAGAAGAGAAAUAUAAGAGGAGUCUGGGCCAGUGACAAUAGUAUCAUCAAAACAUACAUGAGUAAGUAAGUAAGAGAAGAUCCAACAUGUCAAAUGAAUAAAGAUGGAUCAAUCUUUGAAGCAACAGAACCCAAAGUAAAUAAAUAAGAGGUAAAGCAUUCAACCAAGCACGAGGGGCUUGUUUGAGGCCAUAAAGGCUCUUGUGUAGAAGACACACAUGGUUUGGAAUUUUUGUCAUGAAAACAAGUAGGUUGAGAGAUAUAUACUGUUUCCUGGAGAACACCAUGAAGAGAGGCAUUUUUGAGAUCUAACUGUGUCAAUGACCAAUUUUAUUGAGCAGCUAGAGCAAGAAUAAUUCGUAUAGUAGGCCUUUUGACAACAUAACAAAAGUUUCAUCAAAAUCAAAACCUUGUACCUAGUGAUACCCUUUGGCAACUAGGCGUGCUUUGUGGCGAGCAACUGAGCCAUCAUGAUUAUAUUUGGUACAAAAGACCUGCUUACAACCAACAAUAUUCAUGGAUUGAUGGUGAGGGACUAAAGACCAAGUACCUUGUGCUUGAAGAGCAUUGAAUUCUUCACACAUUGCAUCUCUCCAUUCAUGAUACUUGGAAGUUUCAGUGUCUGAUGUUAGAGUUGGAAGAGUCGUGGUGAUCAUAUGGAAUGCCUUUGGUUUAAAAUUCCUGACUUUGCUUGAGUUUGCAUGGCAUGAGUGUUUUGAGGAGGAAUUGGAGCUGGUGCAUUGGUGGUGACAGCCUCUAUGUUAUUUCCUGUAUCAACAAUAGGUGAAACAUGCAAAGACUGACAAGAGGCAUUAGUAUCCAUAAAGGGUGAGUAAGUAAUGUGGAGUGGGAGGAUUAGGAGUAGGAGAUUGUAUGGGGAUAAAGUGUGAGGAUGUAGGAUGUGGAAGAUUGAGUAAGGUGAGUAGUAAGCUGGGAUAAAAAAGGAUUGAUUUUGUGAUGAGGAAGACACUACAAGAAAAUGGGCUCUCCCGACGCACACAAUCGUCGUGUUUUCCUAUGAUUUUUCUUGCGUCGGAAAACUCCGAUUUCUUGUAGUGAGAAGUAGUGGUUUGGGCAAAAGGGAAAAUUGUUCCAUGAAAGAUAACGUGGCGUGAAACAAUGGUUUGUUUGGUAGAUGGAUUAUAGCAAAUAUAGCCUUUAAAAUUGUGAGGAUAGGCUAAGAAAAUGUGUUGUAUGGUUUUUGGUUCAAGUUUAUGUUUGGUGUAGGGUUUAAGGAGAGGAUAAUAUGCACAUCCAAAAACUUUUAAAUGGUGCAAAUCAGGAGUAUGACCAAAAAGCAUUUCAAACGGUGAUAACAUUUUAAGUAAGGGGAGGGCAUGUGAUUAAUAAGGAAAAUUGCAGUAGAAAAGGCAUAAGGCCAAAAUUAAAGGGAAAAAGAGGAAUGAAAAAUUAAAGACAUUGCAGUUUCAACAAUAUGACGAUGUUUACGUUCUAAAAUGUCGUUUUGUUCAGGUAUAUAAGGACAUGAUUUUUUAUGAUAAAUACCUUUGGAUUCGAAGACGGAUUGUAAGGAAUUGUUGCAGAAUUCACUACCACCAUCUAAUCUAAAAACUUUUAAUUUUUGAGAUAUUUGAUUUUUAAUGAAGGGAAUAAAUUUUUAAAUAAUAGAUGGAACAUUUGAUUUAUAAGCAAUAGGAAAGAGCCAAGUCAAUUUGCUAAAAUUGUCAAUGAAACUAACAUAAUAUCGAUUUCCAUUGGAAGAAAUAAUUGGUGAAGGACCCCAUACAUCGCUAUGAACAAGUUCAGGUGGUGUAAGAGAAGUGGACAAAGACAUAGGAAAAGGUAAUUUUGUUAUUUUUGCUUUUAAACAACCAAUACAAUUGUAAGUUGAAAGAGAAGAAGAUAUAGAUAGACCAAAGCGAGAUAAAAUUGAACUUAGAAUCCUUGGAGCAAGAUGACCCAAAUGAAAAUGCCAUAAUGAUGAAUUCUCCUAAUUUGCAUGAAAAUUUAAAAUUUUGAAAUGCAUAGUAUAUGUGGAUAGAUGAGAAGUACUGGGAAUAAGGUAGAGAUCAUUGAUGCUUUCACCAGUAUACAAAGUUCGGCCGGUGACUUUAUCCUAAAUGAGAAACCAGUCAGUAUCAACAAUAAAAAUGCACUUAUUAUCAAGGCAAAAUUCAUGAACAGAUAAGAGAUUUGCAACAAGUUGCGAAGCAUGAAGUAUAUUUGAAAGAUUAAAGGUAUGAGAGGGAGUUGAGAGUUUACCACUAUCAAUAUUUCGAAUGUUUAAAGGUUGACCAUUUUCCACUAUGAUAGUUUCCUCACCAUUAUAAUGAUUGGAUAAGAUGAGAUUUGUCAACUCAUUUAUCAUAUGAACGUUACAUCCACUGUCAGAUAACCAAAAAUUAUUAGAAUUUUCAGCAGAAGAUUGAAAAUGCAGAGUUUACCGCCAUUGUUGCUAAUUGAGAGAGUGGAUGUUUUCCUUGAUAAGAGAAAUUCAUACCGUUGUAGCAAUCGAGGUGUCAUGUCCGAAUUUUUUACAAAUUUGACAGAAUAUGCGUCCAAUGAUUAGAAUUGGUUUCAGGCCCAAAAAUGGGCCCAUGAGUGGGGAAAGCGUCCAAUGAGCCCACAGUGAGAAGAGAAAUUGAAUGAUGGACGGUUUGGGCUGAUGAAGAAUUGGGUCGAUUUAAGAUGUUGGGCUGAUGAAAAAUGUUCCUCCAUGCGACCCAUGUUCACGAUAAUUUGUCUGGUUUUGAGAACUAAAAUGAGGGUUACAGUGUCGUCUUCCUCGUCUGCGGCUACCCUUGGAUGAAGGAUGGAAAUUUUGUGCGGCUUCCAUGGUGGUAGGAAUGGCUUCGAUGGCGGACGAUUUUGCUAUGGUGAAUUCUUCAGAGAUGAGAAGGGUGUGAAGUUCUUCAAGGGAGAUGGUACCACUUCGAGUUUGGAUUGACGUGCGAAAGGUGUUGAAGGUUGCAAGAAGUCCAUUUAAGGUAUGAACUAAAACCUAUUCAUCUUCUAGAGCGACAAAGGCGGCAGCAAGCUUCUCGACAAGGACUUUGAUUCGAAAAGUAUAUUGCUCAAUUGUUUUCAGAUGGAGUUUUCUUUAUGGUGUAAAGGGCAGAUCGAAGAUCAAGAAUAUUGGAUCUGGUGUUGCAGGAGUACCUCUUUUCUAGAGAGAACCACAAUGCUUUUGAUGAGGUUGUGCCGACUACAUGAGCAAGAGCCGAAGGGGAUAAGGUUGCGUUGAUGAGGGUGAUAAAAGCUUGGUCACAAAAGAGCCAACGAAGAUGCUCAAGAUUUAUUUCAAGGAUGGUUCCAGCAGAUGUUGAAGGUAAAAAUUUGGGAGGGCAGGGAAGAGAAUUGUCAAUGUGACUGUUCACAAGAGAUUUUCGGAGAAAUUUAAUUUGUGGACUUGAACUUGAGUGUUCAUGUUGUAUCUUUGUUGAUUUGAUGCGAUGGGUUCAAUCUCUAGAAUUUGAUCAUCUGAUUCUCUCUCGACUGAAUGCCUACGCUUGAUUUGGAGGAAGCGGAGCACAUGACAUUCUUGACGUUUGUUGAACGUCUACGCUUGAUUUGGAAAAGCGGAACACGUAAUGUGGAAAAGCGGAACACGUAAUGUUCUUCAAGUUGGUUGAAUGCUUACGCUUGAUUUGAGGAAGCGGAACACGUGAUGUUCUUGAAGUUGAAGUCUUGGAAGAAAGUUUGUAUCUUCAAAUGAGCUUCAAUCUUCGAGGGUCGACUUCAGGAGUUAGGGAAUUUUCUAGUUUUUGGGAGAAUUCUCUCUAGACCUUUUGGAGUAAAAAAUUUCCAACAUCUAAAAUGAUGAAAAUUUCUCUAUUUAUAGAGUUCACUGGUGGGCUUUAUGGGCUUGAACCUGAUUGGUCCAUGGACCAGACCCAUGGGCCCAACCAUAUGGAUUUAGGUUAUAUUUAAUCUUUUGCUUAUUUUUGGGCUUAAUUGAACCAAAAUGAUUAACUUAAUCCAAUGAUUAAGAUAAAAACAUGUGACAUUAUUAGAAUGGUCAAUUUAUGUUUUUCAAUUCUUUAAUUUGGGACACAUGUGAAUUUUAAUUAGUCCCAAAUUUAAUUAUUUGUACUUUUCAUGAUUAACUUAAUAAAUCAUGUGGCAAUUUGUGAUUGGUCUUAAAAUUUUUAUUCAAGAGUGACCAAGCAGAGAAUGUGCUUUGAGGAAUUGAGGAGACUUGGUAUUUCCAGAUAGCGUAGUUUGUGAAGUCUAAUCGAAGGUGUACAAGAUUGCACAUAUUUUAUAGUAAGAAGAGAGUUGAGGUAGGAAUAGGUUAAUUUUCUAGUGAUGAUUCUGUGGGAAGAGGAUUGGUAGGAGUUUCUGUAGAGAUGAGAUCAGAUUGGGUGCUGGAGGUAGCCAUUGAAGAAGAAGGAGAAGAAGAAGAAAAAAAUAUUUUGAGGUAUGCUCAGAUAGCAUGUAAAAUAUCAAUGAAUUGUAUUGAAUUUGCUUGUUGUUUUAAUUGAUCAGAAUGAAUAUUUAUACAAUGUUUGAUGAUACAAAUAUGGUAAAGAAUAAUUAUAAAUCAAUUUACAAUAAAUAGUUGGAUUGUAGGAGUAGAUUUUGUAAUCUAAUAUUAUUUCCUAAUACUCCAUCCUUCAUCUUCACAAGGGUGCGAGAGAUCUUCGAGCAGGUCAGUUGAAUCAAUUGGAUUACACUUCAUUUCUUGCUGGACUCGACCAUGAUCAAUAACCCCAUGUGAUUUUUCUUUUUCAUCUGGGUGUUCCUUCUUUUUGUUUGCUUUUUUCUUUUAUGGGUUUUGUUUGUUUGGUCAUAUAUUUUACCUAUCUGUUUUAGAUUCAAUCGAAGAUUUGAUCUGAUUGGUACAUGGGACUAUCCAUUUUGUGUAUUUCUAUUAUACAUUGUUUUGUUUCAUGUUGAUCCGUUCAAUUAAUGGUGAUUUAGCAGUGUUUUGGAUUUGAUGUAUCUCAUUUGGAUGUGUUCUUAACGUGUACCGGAAGAUUGGUGUUUUAGUUGGGAGAAAAUCUAGCAAUUUGGAUAUGGUUAGUUGUUAGGCUGAGCAAACUAUUACUUCGAGAUGAUGACUUAUCAUAAUCAAACUUUUCUUAGAUCACUCUAUAAUUGCUGAUUUUCUCUUGAUAUUGUUACAAGUAAAUAGUUUCUUAGACUAUAUAUCAAAACUCUCAACAUUCUUUGCUGCUUUCAUUUUACUGUUGAAGAUUUAUUAUACACAGAAGAAUGAUGGUGGAUGGGAUUGGUAUUCGGAGGAAAUGCUGAAAAGCAUCAAUAACUUUUCAUUCAAAUUCACAAAACUUAGAUUAACCAACAAACCUACAUGAUAGGAGAAGAAAAAACAGUGAAUGUCCUAUUUGAAUUAGAAUUAAGCAUAAGUCAAUACUCAAUACUUUAGGAAAUGAAACAAACAAAUAAGUUGGAAAAAAAGAGGUGGGGAGAAAAAUAAGAAGAUUAAACUGAGCUGAAAAUGGAACAAUUUUUUUUAAAAAAAAGAUCCCAACUUCUAAUUCAAUCACAUAUUCCACCAACAUCAUCAUUUUUCUCAAUUUUUUUCUGUUCACCAUUUUUUUUUUUUUUUGCAUUCCUUCUUUAUGAAUAUUAAUGAAAACUUCUGUCGAAAAAGGAAGAAAGGAGCUUCAACAAGUAGCAACACUAAUGGACUGAAAAUUAUCCAAUUGUUCCAAGGCCCACAUAUAGUUGGUGAUUUUGUACUUGCUCAAAGAUAUUAAAUUCUAUCCUUCAACUUCAACUUUCUAUAACUAAUAUAGAAAGUACUUUGAUUCACAAUUCAUAGAGUAGAAGGACCAGAAGAAGCAAGUUAUGGGUCGUCUAGUUUCUGUAAAUUUUCCUAGUUGAUUAGCAACUGCUGCACUCAAGUAUUUUUCCAUAAAAUAGUGCAUAGUUGAAGAAGCAAAUAAGAGAUGAAGAAGCAAACCAUUAAUUUGUGAACUUUUGAGUGGUUCAUUUUAUAUGUUUUCUCCAUUGAUGAAACCCAUCAUAGUCUCAUAACCAUAUAGUAAGAUAUUUUAUUUUAUUUUAUUUUAUUUUAUUGGUAGAUUUCUCCAAACUUCCUUCCCUUUUUUAAUUCCACUUUCACAAAGGCUCCCAGAAGCUUUGAUCCUUUAUUAGAUAAGGAAGUUCUUGUGAUGGAAAGGUGAAGAUUAUUUGAGUUUUGAUGUGGAGUGUGUGGAAGAUAAAGACUCUUCAAACAUCUCCAUAAUAUAUUUGAGUAGUGUAAAUGCUUUAUUCUUCUUGUUCUUGCGUUUAUAUCUACAUAAAUUCAAAAUACAUCCAACACUAAUAUUAGUGAUAUUGUCUAUUGCUAUCCAUUAAGAUUUUGAUUAUGUUAGAUUAUCAUACAUGCGAUUCCUCCAUGCAUGGAGAAAUGUUAAUUAAGCUUACAGUAAAUUCUCUCUCAAUUUUGAUAAACAGACUGGAGAUGAAAACACAAAUUUGAAGCAUAUUGAAGCAUGGAGAGAAAAUAUCCACGCUCUCUCUUUUUUUAUAGUUUAGCUUUUAUUUAUAAGUUUAAGCUUGCGGAUACACCAUUUCAUUUGGAACAAAAGCCUAACAAAAGGACAACAGCAGGAUUCUAUAGUUCUAGCAGGUGGGUAUAGGAACGCGACAAGAAGUAGCAAUCUUUUUAGCAUUGGAGAUUCUAAAUAAGGCUUAAAUACAGGACUUUUGAGGUAUGCACAAAAGCAUGGCUCUUGCUCCUUCAAUUUCUCACAACAUUCAGCUGUUGGCGGCACUGACGAUUCCAAUGCCGGAAGACAUGGUCUCAUCUCCAUAGGAUUACAAUUCACUGCAUCUGCCAGUCCAGCUCCGGUGAUGAGCGCCACCACCAUCACCAUUGCCAUCACAGGCACCGAUAGGCAAAGACUUGUUGAAAUCGAAACUUUCUUCAUUUUCUUGGUGAUUUCGAAAGAAUUGUGAUAUUUGUGUAUAAGUGAUAAAGAAAAAGAAAAGAAUGGUUUAAUUUAUAGGGUUGUAAAAUUGGAAGAUGUUCACAAAUCACAAAAUAUGAGCAUCUGUGUAUAAGCAUCUGAUCUGUUACGAGUGCAGCCAAAUCUAUAACAACAUUUACCUUAUAUAAACCUUAUAUAAAGGAAACUGAAGCCCUACUAAGUGCUUAAAGCUUGCUAGCUCUCACACUUAAUGCUCCCAUUCAAUAAAUUCAGCAUUUUUUUGUGGUUCAAGUAAAUGAUGAAACAUGUGAAAGGAUAUAAAAUUAAGGGUAAUAGAGUAUUUUACGAUUCUAUAUGUAAACAAAAAGGAAGGGAAAAAAAAUUAAAAUAUAUGGAUAUGGAUAUGGAUGCUUAAAAUUUGAUCAAACUAAUGUUGGCUAAACAAUAUGACCAUCAUAAUGAUGAGAAUAAGGACAUCUACAUCUCUAUCAAUGUAAAUUAUAUCACACAAUGGAUACUGUACUAUAUUUAUUGGAUAGGGGUAAAAGUAUUUUAAGAAACAAGUGUUUAAAUCGUAGACAAAGUCUCAAUUGCAUAAAAUUAGUCCAAACUUUGCGUGUCAAUUGUGCACUCGGUCUACAAUUUAACCCCUUUCGUUUUAGAGAGAUUGUGAGAAUGACAAAAUAGUAGAUAACAACUUGGAAAAUAGCAAAACCAAAAAAUAUUUUGAUUUAUAGCAAAACCGCGUGAAAUAGAUAUUUUUUGACCCGUUUUCGGCCGAUUUUACCCUUUCAUAGAUGGAAAUUCUUUUUUUCUCAGAUACGUGUAUUCGUGUAGGUUAAAAUAAUAGAAUAUAAACCAGAAUUCUGAACAGAGUGCAUUUGCAAAUCAUUCCAUUUCAUAUAAAUAUUUAUUUUCAUAAUUGAUAUCAUUUAAUCAACAUCUCCUAGAUUCAUGCCUCCAAUUUAUAUAAGGUUUUGGGAUUUGUAGGUUUCAAAUCAAAUAAUUAAUAUUUUUUUAUUAAUAGAUAUUUAAUUCAUAAUCAUUUUACUAUCCAUAAAAUGUUUGAUAAUAUAAUUUACUCAUGAGAUCUGGUUAAUACUUAGUAACUUUUUAUUAUAUCAUACAGAUACACAAGUUUUAAUAUUUUUAUUAUAUAUAUAGUAAUAAAUUUCUUUUUAUUAUUUGAUUUUGAAAGUUUAGUUGAAAGAUAUCCAAAAUUAAAUUUAAAAUUGUAUCAUUCCCUAAACUUUUGCAUUCGAUAUAAUAACAACUUCAUAUUAAGAUUGCAUCCCCUAUAAUUAUGCAUGUAACCAUCAUUUCAUAGAACGGUUCAUUUAAUAUAAUUAUAAAUUGACAUUAUUUUAGGAGAAUAAAUCAAUUAUCACGAUAUUUGUGGAUGAAUUUUUUUUGUUUAAACUAAUGAUAUGGAUGUUAAACGCAUUGCCAUUAGGCGGGACUAAAAUCAUUUUAUUGUAGAAUCGUUAAAUGAGGUAUAUUUUCCGUAAGUGUUAUUUAAAAAUUGAUUUGAAACCACCAAAAUACUAAAAAUUUGAUUUUAAAUGUCAAUAUCCAAAAAAAAAUUGUGAAAAUGCUGUGAUUUUUAUCUGAAAUUAUUUAAUUGUACAAAUUUAUAUGUACAAUAUAUAGUUUUUUUUUAUCAAAAUUUUAUUUUGAAGUACAACCAUUUUGAAAUUAUUUAAAGUUUGAUUUGAAACCACCGAAAUAUUAAAAAUGUGCAGUUUUUACCUAUUUUGUUACAUGUAUAACUAAAAUACAUUAAGAUAAAGAGGUUUUGGUUAUCUAAUUUACAUACACUUACCUUCUUCCCUUUUUCUAUAUUUGUUUGUCUCUUUCUAUUAUUCAUGGAGUGCUCACUAUCUUUACUUGCCUCUUUUGUGGAUGAUUUUGAUUCGUCCUUUCUUGUGGUAUCUGCCUGCUGCUUCAUCUAUAGCAUCUUCUUCCUUUUUAUCUUCCAGACUCUCAGUCUUUUCUUGUUCACCCUAUUUUGAUUAUUAAAUUAGACAAGUUUGUUCAUGUUUAUUAAUUCGAUUACAACAAGUUGCAACAUUUACCUGGUCUUCAACCUCUUCUUCACUUUCUUCUACACGUUUCGCUCUCUUUAUUCGACUUAACGAAACCUACCAAGCGAACAAAUUUAAAAAAUCUCUACAUAUACUUUAUUAGAAAAUAGGAGAACAUAAAUGUUAAUAAGCAUAUUUACCAUGCUUUUUAUUCUUAGCUUUUUAUGUAUAGUUGGCUCUUCCCUUGGAGGGUCCUUCAUCUCUCUCUUAUUGGAUGAUUGUGGAAGUUCUUUUAAAUCAAGGAAGUUCUUUUAAAUAUAUGUAGGAGGCACGAUUAAAAAAAAAAAAAAAAAAAUUGUAGUGGAUGAGUCUUGAACCCAAAAUCUCUGCAUUUUAAAGGGGGCACAACCACUAUACCAAAAAUAGAAUACUAUAAAAUAAUGCAUUUUGUAAAUUAUAUUGUAAUUUGACACUACAAACUAAUAUUAAAAUAUAAAAAUCGAUAAUGUGAGGGGGGCACAUGCCCCUGGCCCUUAAUAGAUUUGCCCAUGAGUUAUGUUAUAUCAUGUAAUGAACCAUACACUAAGUUAUAAGAAUGUACAACUUUAUUAUACUUGAAAAAAUACUUGAAAAAUAUAUAUGAAUACUCGUCUGAAGAGCUUGAAAGAGUUUGGACACCUGUUGACAAUGGUAUUUUUGAACCAGUGUAUCCAGAAGACCGUAAUUUAUCACUUCUUCACUUUUCUCCUUGACCCUUCUUCGUCCUUAUAUUUAGAUUUUCUACAAUUUAUAAAAUAAUGAACAUUUAAGACAUAAACAAAUAAUACAGAACAAGCCCUUUUUUUUGCUCCUAAAAUGGAGGACAUAACUGUUGUACGUUUUAUUUUAUGAUAAUAAUAAAAACAAACCGAUUGUUUUCUCUAUAUAUAACAAAAAAAAACUUUGUUCAAAUUACAUCGUUUCUUUCGAAUGUUCGAAAACUACAGAGGCAACAACAAUGGUGAUAUUCAAGUUCUCCAAAAUACAGUCCUAACCAUGUUGUGCAUAGUGAUAUUCGAAGAAGAAAUUUGAUCGAACAAAACAGCUUAAACAAUAAUUUCGAAUCAACACGGCAACUAAAGGACAAUAAUGGCGUCAAAUAAUCUGAUUAAAUCUGAAAGAACUAUUAGUUCGUUCGAAGAUUUAUAUAAGAAUAAGAGGAUGUUUCUAAAUAACCUAAAUAUGAAGUAAAGGCGUGCAGAAUUCUUUCGAAAACAGUGCAAAGUAAACUAGUCGAAGUCCGGAUGUUCUUCUAAAGUAGUGCAAAGUAAAGCAGUCGAAGAAGAGCAAGAGAUUUGGAAUAAUCGUGUAUUGCACAAAUAUGAUUUGGAAGAAAUGUGGUAAGAAGAUGAACAUAUGGAUUUUCAAAGUUUUUUUAGGGUUUCAAAUGAAAGAAGGAAAGUUUCUUUAUGGUUUUGAAUGAAAGAAACAAGUAACCGUCCGAAGUCCAAGAAAAAAAGAUGAACGUAAGGAUUGAAUGAUAUUAGUAAUUUAAUUUGGUGAGAUUUAAGGAUUUUAGCUAAUUAUAUAUAUAUAGGGUUAAUAAUAAUUAUAUUAUUGAAAUUAUAUAUAAUUAGAAUUUGUUAUGGAAGAUUAAUAAUAAUUAUAUUAUUAAACAUAAUAUAAUUAUUAAGUGUUCGUUUUUGGAAGAUAAAAAGAGAGAUAAUUGAAUGGGAUUUAAUGAGGAGAGAAUAAGAUUUGUUGGUAUAAACUUCUAUCAAAUGGCUAUUAAUGUCACUGAUCAAAGAUGAAAGCAUAUCAAUGACUAUCAAUAUCUAUUAUUAAUAAAAUCUAAAAACUUUGUUAUAUGUUGUAAAUAUUUUGCCAAAUUUACUAUUUUUGACAACUUUCCUUUAAUAAAAUCUAAAAACUUUGUUAUAUGUUGUAAAUAUUUUGCCAAAUUUACUAUUUUUGACAACUUUCCUUUAAAAAACAAACAAAUACCUAGUUAUUUAAUGGAAAAAAAAAAUCCUUUAAAAAACCCUAUUUUCGACAAACCCUAUUUUUGACAACUUUUCUUUAAAAAACAAAUUAUAGCAAAAUUUUGGAUUCUAUCACUUAUAGUCUUCUAUCACUAUAGCAUAUCAAUGAUUAUCAGUGAUAGAAUUUGCUAUAAGUUGUAAAUAUUUUCUAAAAAAUAUUAUUUUUAUAUAUUUCUCUUUAAUAUAAAAAACAAAUUUCACUAUAGAAGGAAAAAUAUUAGUAUAUUAACAAAAGUUAAAUAAAUUAGGUUAUAUCGUAAAUUGGUUUACAAUUCUAAUAUAUAAUUAAAUAAAUACAUAACUACUUUGUAUUUGUUGAGAUUGAAAAAAAAAAAAUCAAUAUACAAGAUUAACGGAAAAAAAUAGUGUAUUAACAAAAGUUAAAAUUUAAACAUACUUAAAUUUGAAAGAAUUUAAGAAAAUUUUACCAUUCAAAACAUAAAAAAUAUUUUACCAUUCAAAACAUAAAAAAUAUGAAUACAAAAAUACAUUGUAUUUUUUAUUUAAUUCACUGCCUAUAAUUAUUAAAUACACAUUGUUGGGUACUUGGUAGUUCAAUAUUAAAAUAUUUACUUCCAGCAGCACCCUCCAAUACAGUGUCAACGACCACAAAAACAGAAGAUUCAAUCCAUCUACCAUAAAAAACAGUUGUAUAACACAUACACAAGUUUUUGUAUUAUAUUGCUAAAGGAUGUAGGAUAAAAAAUGUGAUUAAUGUACAAAUAGUGUUAAACAAAUAAGAUAGUCUACAAAUUAAUUUAAAACAUUAAAAUAAAAACAAAUAUGGUAAGUAACAAUAUAUUUCAAAAACUUAUACAAAAUACAUAUUUUCGAACAUUUUUAAAGAUAGAAUCGAAAGCUAACUAUAAAAAUCUAUUAAUAAUUUUUUAAAUACACUAUGGACACGUAAAAAAUAAGCAUAUGAAGAUACAAUUUAAAAUAAUAAAAAGAAACGAUAAAGAUACACAUUUUCAAAAGUUAUUAGAAAUACUUAUUUCGAAAAUUCAAAUUUGAACUAUAUUUUGAAAAUGUAAACAUAUAACACUAUUUCAAAUUUGCCCUAUAUUAAUUGAAUGUCUUAAAUACAGAUUAUGGACAUUAGAAAAUAUAUAAAGGUAUAGUUCAAAAUAAUGAAAAGGAAAAUGAUGAAAAAAGAAAAACAUAUUUUCAAAAUUUGUUAGAAAUACAGUAUUUCAAAAAAUCAUUAAUUUUUACAACCUAAUUAAAAAAUAUGUAUCAUGGAUUAAUUAAGUAUAUAAUUCAAAAAUAUUAUUAACGUAUUAUAUAUAAUUUAUUAACGAUUGAGUUUCAGUUAUGGUAUAAUGAGAUAACUAAGUGACAACUUGAACUAAUGGGGAGAUUUGUUGCAAUUUCGUCUCCCAAAUAAAUCUCAGAUUUAGUUAGGAUUUAACAAAAUAAUCGAAUUUGUACAAUAGAUUAUAUUUACCCAUUAAAAUACAAUGUACUUUCAACCUAUGAAAUAUCCUAAAAUCAACGACAAAAUAAAAAUUAAUUGACAACCAUAAAUCUGCAUGUUCUCAAUUUGCUAAAACUAUUAUUCGUGCCGAUUUUGACUAUAUUUCCAACCGCCACCUCCAAAUUUUCCAUUCCUACAUAUUUCUCAAGAAAAAUAUAUAUUCUCUAGAGGGGGAAGAACCCACGUCAUAGUUCAUAGUUAAAGGCUCUGCGCCUAAUCACUUUUUGUUGUGCACUUCACCUAGGAGUAUUUCGCCUUGUCUUGACAUUUGAUGUUUCACCUUGUGCAGUGAUCAAAACGCCUAAGGAUUAGCCAUAGAAACUUGUUACAUAUUAAUCAGUUCGCCUAAUGAUUAGUCCAUCUGAUCAAAACGCUUCUUAUCAAUACGCCUAUUGCAAAAUAGAGAGUAGUUAAGAAUAUAGGGGUUGGGUCACGGAUCUCGCUUUCUUUAAGACGUUUUGCAGCUCUAUUUAAUUUGUGCAAACAAAUUUUAAAUGCCUAGUCGUCCUAAGGAUAAAAUAGUCGUGUUCUUCAAUUAGUUUUGCUUUAUUUAGAAAGAUCUAUAUGUCUAGGGGUUUGCAUUGAAACUAAUCACAAUCUCAACACUCAAGUAGACACUUUUGAUUUGCUUGGAAAGCUCACAAAAAGAAAUUUGAAAGGAAGUAUUUGCUUGUGAUUUCUCACGCACAAAAUGAAAGAAGUAGAAGAGUUUAUAUAGUGUGAGAAAACUAAUAGAGAUAUUGGAAAUUAAUUUUGGAAACGUUUGUAGUUAUGGAAAGAUUACGUUGAACAUUAAAUACAAAACGGUAAUAAAACGUUUGAUUCUUUAACUAUACGAUAAAAAUCAUAUCAUUUAUUUCACCUCAUCUCGCUUGACCAUCUCACCUCAGAUGUCAGCAUAUGCGAUGAAAUAUUCUAUCAUCUAGCAUAGAUAAGUGCUAGUCUUAUCGUAUAGUCAUGAUCAAAUAUCACAUCAUUCACAAAAAUCCGAUAACUCCAUCGCUUAGAAAUCUUACCGUAUAGCUUGGUCCUUAUCGCAUAUCGUGUAAAGAAUUUUUCAAUCAACACUUUUCGAUUUUUAAUAUAAAAAGAAUUCAGUUUAUAAACACAGUUUUUUGGUUACUAUCUGUGCUACAAAUUUGAGGGAGAGAGAUUGAUGAGACUUAAAUAGUGAAUAAGGGAAAAUUAAAAGCUUUGGAUCUCUAUGUGUUCAUUGACACGAUCCUUUGCAUUCAACCACACCUAUAUUUAUCUACAUAUAUUGCCCUUUAAUGAUACUCAUGUUGUGCUAUAUUAUCUUCUCUUUAAAAUCUAUAAUAUGCAUCUUAUAUAUAUAUAAAUAUUUAUAAUUAUAUAUAAUUUAAACCGUGCUUGAAAAAGACCUUUGUAAUAAUCUCUAGGAGGGUUUGUUUUUAUUAUUAUGACUCUUUAACUAAACCAAAACCAUUAUUUACCUUAGUGUUAACAUUUUAAUUUUAAAGUUUGAAAAUUGCAUCAAACACCACAAUUUAAAAAAUAAAUAAAAUUUAUAUCCGAAUGAAAAUAAUAUUUGUAAACAAGAUAACUUUGACCGAUCAUAUGUUAAAUUUUUUUAAAUUUCAAUUUUGUCACAAUUUCCUUCUCCUUUUGACUUUCCUUUCUUUUAUUGACAAGAGUAAUGACUUCUAUCACUAAUAUCAUACUACCACGGAUGUUUUCAAUCAAAUCGUAGUAAUAUGUGGAUAUGUUCACGAAUCUAUCUUAAAUUGAACUUUAUAUUUCUAAAUGAUAUAUAUAAAUGUUGAUAACACGUGACUUUAAAUCAAUAAUUUAUUUCAACCAAAGAUGCAAUUAUAUCAUUUUCAUUUUAAAACUAUAUGUUAACUGUAUCCAAUUUAACACAGUCGUUUACAAAAGUUUAAGCAUUGCAAUUGAAUGUCAAACGAAAGCCUAAACAUAAUAAUCUAUUGUCAAACAAAAAUCUAUCAAAUGUCAAACAAACAUUCCUAAUUAUCACAUUUUUAUAUUUGAAGAUCAAAAUUUUGAGUAUCAUCAUUCCACCUUUGGAGAAUGCCUUAGCUAAUUUGCUGGGAGACAUUUUUGUCUUUUUGUCUUUUCUUUUUUUUGUUGUCUUUUCUUUAAACUACUUUUGCAUUCUGUAAAUCUUUUUUCUAUUCAUUCGUAUUCAUAUUUUUUAGAGUCUUUUCAAUGACAUUUAUCAGUAAAGUAAAGAAAAUAAAACAGAAAAUAAAACAGAAGUGUGUAUGUGAAACAAUCGUUUCUCAAAUCCAAAGUUAUAAUUCAUUUAUCAAAUUGAAAGUUAUCAAUAACAAUUAUAAUUGAUUCAUUUAUCAAAUUGAAAGUUAUCAAUAACAAUUAUAAUUGAUUGCUGCCAUGGGUGAUAUAUAUGAUUAGUGACUGUUUUUAAUUUGAGAAAUUGAGUAAGAAGAAUCCAAAAUAUAGCCGCAACACAUGGGCAUUUUAAUCUUCUUACUAAUUUUUUACUAUAUAUACAAUUAUUUUAUUCUCAUGUUACAUAUGCUAUUAUCUUAAGCUUUAUUUUAUUUUAUUUUUUUUAUGCAACUGAUCCUUUAAAAUUUUAUUCAUGAACACUUUUAUUAUAUAGAUCAAUAUAGUUCAGUUGUGAUGUUGGUUUAUGUAAUUUGUCCAAUAAUUAAUGGAGAAAGUGUUAGAUCCCUUUUGGUAGCCAUGUUUUUGUAUUCUUUUUUCUUUUUUUGUUUCUGAAUUUUUCAUUUUUAAAAAUAAAAACCAUAUAGAUUUGAUGAUAAUAAAUUUUUUUACAAAAACAUAAAAUAAAUGGAACAACGCCCUUAGUGUUGUUUGGGAUGCAGCAAAGAUCUUAUAUUUCUUGCAACCCGCACAACUUUCCGAUUAAUAACAAUUUCCUCGUGCCAAUCUUUUAAAUCCUAUUUUCUUAUAUAUAUAUAUAUAUUUUUGUAUGUAAGAGAAAACGAGUGCACCUAAUCAUUGCAGUAAAAAGAAAUUGAAAACAUAGAGAUAUCUAAUUCAUGCCAUUGUUUUUAUUUAUAACUUCAUUUUGUAAUACAGAUUAAGAUUCCAUUUCAUAAGAGACCACCGUAAUUUUCUAACACUUAGGGAUAGGGACACGACACUGGGAAGCAAUGGCCCGAACACGAGGAGAUUCUGCAUAAGCUUUGUACUUUGGAUCUUUUAGGUACCCACAAUAGCAUGGUUCUUGUUGCCUCAACUUCUGGCAGCAAGCAGCCGUCGGUGCAGUUGAUGAUGUGAUUGCACUCACACAAGGGCUCAGCUCCGUCGGAUUGCAACUCACCGCCUCACCCAGACGAACACUGGAGAGAAAUAUUGCCACCACCACAAGAAGGCAAAGGCCUGUGCCUUGAACUUUCAUCAUUCUUUUUUUGGUUUUGAGAAGAUUAGUUCUUUGUUUUUCUGUAUUUGGAAGGACAAGAAAGAGGAGUGGGUGUGUGUGUGUGCAUUUUGCCAAAAGGUUUCAACCUGUAUUUAUAGUCUCAUGUGUGAAAUGUAUAGACAUAAUUUGUUAAUAGUGGAGUCCAAAUUGAUGACAUCAAUUAUGACAAGUAUAUAGUGAGACAUUUGAAAGGAAGAUACGGAAACUUGGGUUAAAGGUAAGGAAGAGAUUACAAAUACUCUUUAACUUUUUUAGAAAAUUUAAUUGUAUUAUUUAAAAGCUAUAUAUAUAAAAUAUAAUCGAGUGAGGGUUAUAUAAUAAUUCACAAGGAUAUAAACAUUUCUAUUUUUUACUUCAAGUUCUCAAAAAAGAAAAUUGUUUUGAGAUGAUUUAAUUACUGUCUGGGUUUUUUUGUUUUUAAUUAUUUAUCAAAAUAUUUACUUAUUAAGUUAAUCUACUUCAAAUUGUUUUCAAAAUUCAAGCCAACUUUAGAACGAAAGGCAGCAGCUUUAUUGGGAAGAUUUGGAUUGAAGGACUCAAUUAACAUCAAACAUAAAUAAAAGUGAGGAAUCUAAGAAAACAAGAAAUGAAUAAGAAAUAGAACUUUUAUGAGAAAAGUAAGCUUAAAGCAAUGAGCUUUAUAUCAGAGAGAGCAAGGUCCAUCCGAACAAAAUACGUAGUGGGGUAUGCCCAGUCAUAAAAACAACAUAGAACAAAAUUAUAAGGUCUAUGGAAAUAUGCUCGACCUUAGCCAAGUGCAAGGCCAAUAAUCCUAGCAAAAUGACCAAUAGUGGUGCAUUCCUCAACCCAGUGAGCUAAAGGGUUAUUGACUUAGCAUGAAAGUUUUGUCCCAAAUAACCUAUAUCAUCUAUUCCAAUAAACAAAUCAUUAUCACGUCCGAAAUAACCUAUAUCAUCUAUUCCAAUAAACAAAUCAUUAUCACGACAAAAUUGAAAGUCCUACACUUACGAACUCUAUAAUUCAUUCGAGAAUUUCACUUUUUUUUUUAAAUAACUAUAUAUGCUAAGCACAACACUAGUCUACUUCGUCUUUCAAUUUUGCAAAUCAAUUUUUUAACUACAUUUUAGAAAACUCCUAUUUUUAGGAAUUUAGUUGAUAACAAAAUUUGUGAUCAAGGAUUUGUGAAAAUAGACUAAUUAUUUUUUUUUUUAUAAUAGAAAAGAGGAUUAUGUUUUUGAAAUCUAUUCUUGUUUUCUAUUUUUUGAAAAAAAGAACAUAAACAAAAUAACUAUCUUUUGUUUUUUUAUUUCUUUUUUCUUUUUUGUAACACCAUAUAUAAAAAAAUGAUAUGUUACACAUUAAGAAUAAAAAUUAUAUAUUACCAAAAGUUUAGUCUUGAUGACAACUAAAACAUAGUAACAAAGCUUUAUAAUAUUCUUCAUAUGUUAUUUAAAUUGAUCGACAUUGUCAUUUCUAACUGUCAUUUUUUUAAAGUAAUAUCGAGUAAAAUUUAAUUAAUUAAUAAUAAAUGUGAUCAUUGUAAAAUGUUAAAAUUAAAAGUUAAAAGCUAAAUGAUUAUGUGAAUUAACCAUAUUUAUAUAUUGUGAGAUUAUAUAUAUUAAAAAUAUUUAAACAGCCAUAUUGAAAAUUUUAAUAGUUGAAAUAUAUAUAAAAAACUAAUAUACAUAUUCAAACUUUUAAAAAAAGAAAUAAAUUAAAUAUUAGAGAAUUUUAAAAUUCAAAAUUAAAAUAAAAUAUAAAUAUAGCAUAUUUUAGACCUGAACCCUACAACUUGCGAAAGUACACUAAAGGUGAAUGAAUUUUUUAAUUUUGGUGAAAAGAAUUAUAUUGUAAAAUUUUAACCAGUUGCAAAUGUACCAAAAAUGAAGAAUUAAAACAAAGAUAGAAAUAUGGCCUAUUUCAAAAAUUAAAAAAAAAAAAAAAAAUUGAAACCAUUUAAUAGAAAGUUACAAGUUGUUAAUGGCCAAUUUUGUUAAGAGUAUGAAAUUGUGAAUAGAUAUCUUUUAACUUAUUAAUACAUUAUAUCAUAAAUCUAAAUGAAAUUAAGAGCACAAUAUAACAAACUGUAUAAAAUCUUGGCUUUAUUUGUUUGGAAUUGGCUCAUUUUAAGGGCAUCCCUUCACUUGUGUGCCCUUCCAAGUUAUCUAACGUAGGAAUAUUUAAUUUCAGUUUAAACAUGAGCACAACCACAUUGUAUUUGAAGAAAAAGACAUUUGCUUCAUUUCUUCUCUAAACCUGUUGCCAAUGCUACGCGAAUCAAUUUUGAUGGAUCUUCCUAAUUCAAAAUUGAAAAUCGUGAAUGUACAAAUUUUCAACACAAUUUAAACAACCCAACGUUUAUGACCUUUCAUAUAAGGUUGGCUUCUUUAAAUUUAAUUGCUUUAUUGCAAUUUAUUUCUUCAGGUUUGGUUAAAUUUGAUGACUUUUUCAUGAAGUCAGUCUUCUCUCUCAUUUAAUUCAAAUCGCUUUACAAGUAAACAAAUUAAAGGAAGUAACUAAAACUGUUCGUCAUCACCUUCUGCUAUUCUCCUAUUACGUUAUUUGUAUACGUGAACAACGACUGUCUAGCAUGCAUGCUGAUAGCAUAAAAAAUCACAUGAACACGUUUUUCUUAAUUCAUGGUCCUUACUGGUUUUAUGUGUUUAUUAUGUGAUUUCAUAGAUAUUCAACAUCUAAUUAGAGGCAGAGCAUCACAUUAGCGAUGAAAUGGAACUAAAACAAUCCAAAACAUAACUUAAAUGGAAUAAUAGAAAAAUAGAAGGUCAAAAAGAGCAACAGUUUUAUAAAACAAGUUUUCAUAAACAUUUUAGUAUAUAAAACCGAAGCUUGAAUACAUUUAUUAGUAAAUAAUCGUAACAUGAAUAUUUGCAUAGCUUUUCGAAGACAGUCCUCCAUAGCCACAGACAAUAUUUACUCCUUUGUCUAAAUACGGAACAGUCGAUAUGUAGCUAACCCUCCUCCUUUAAGGCAAACAAUAUACUCUUCCUGAUGGCCUGACCCAUAGUUAAAAAUAUGUCCGUCAGCCAUAGCAUCAAUAUGAAGUUAACCAUAUGUAUAUUAAUAGGUCUCAUGAAAUAUUCAGACAUGGAUAAAUUUGAACACAUGAAAUGUUUUCUUGAAAGUAUUUGAAAUGUUUCCUUGAAAUCAUGAAGUCAUAACAUAACUUGGAAAUAACAUUUCAGUGAACAUUUAUCAAUAGCAUCACUUGUAUAAAAACUUGAGAUCAUGUUUAACAAAACAUGUUUGAUAAAUACUUUGGAAAUCAUGAUAUUACUCCUAAGCUAUUGCUUGUAGAGUCUGAAAACAUGUUUAACAAUAACAUUUAGAAUCGGUGUGACGUUACUCACAAGCUAUAACUUGUAAUGUUGAAAACAUGUUUAGUAAGUAGCAUUUAAAACAUUUUGUUACUUACAAUACUUGAAUAGCCUUGGUCUCGGAAAUUUCUCCUAAUCCUUCUUGUCCUAAAAAAUUCAUAUUUUAACAGUUAAUUAAUUCCUUGAACAUGAAUAUAUCCAAAAGUGUUGGAAUUUAUGUCCUAAAACUAAUAGAUUAUAAUCAUAUUCUAUUCAAUAAAGUUGUUAUUAAUACUAUAAUCUUAAAGCCAAUAAACUAAGGCUCCAAAGCUAUUAUUGAGUAAACUUGAACUUUAUGUAGACAUAAAUGUGGAUCAAGUUCGAGUAUAUAGCCUAAAUAGUCUAUAGAAUAUGAAUACAGAUGGACACCUCAUUCUGGGAAUACUAUGGAUACGACUCGCUUUUGUAGUUAGUACAAACAAUGUGAUCCUGAAUCGUUCAUGUAGAGACAUGGAAGUGGGGGCAUCCUUUGUAAAGAAAUUACAUAAGACUGGAACCAUAGAAAUAGUCGCUCUUAAGUUAUAAUAUCGUUAACUUUUAAAACCGACUAUUUCGUUUAUAGAUAUCCAAUGUAACUUAAUCUUAAUCAUGAGAUAACUAUGAACUUUUGUUUGUUGGGAUUUAUGUCCUAAAACUAGAAUACUGUAAAUAUAAUUCAUUGACCGUUAUUAAUAAAGUGUUAUUAUUGUAAUAAUUGUUAUUGAUUAUAUUAUUAGUUUUGUCUUAAUAACCAAAAUCCAAUAAACUAACAUCCUAAUAUGUUUAAUGAGUCUUGAACAAUAUGUACAGACAUACAUGGAUAAAUGUUCGAGAUCAGCUUAAAGAUCGGUCUAUAGUAUAGGGAUAAGACUGGGUACCUUAUCUUGGUAACACUAUUAAUACAACUCACUUUUUUAUUUGAUACAAACGCAAUGAUUCAACGCGUUCGUGUAGUUGACAAGCGAGUGAGGGUAUCCUAUACAAUGAAUUUGCAUAAGAUAAUACUGCAAAGUAGUAACCACUAGAUGUAACCCCGUUAACUAGUUAGGUUUCUAUUUCACUAGGAUGACCUAGGUAACUUAGUCUUAAUCCUGAGUGUGUUAUGAACUCCUGUUCGCAAGGGAUUAUCCUUUGAUUAUCCUAUACAAUGAGUUUGCAUAAGAUAAUACUGCAAAGUAGUAACCACUAGAUGUAACCCCGUUAACUAGUUAGGUUUCUAUUUCACUAGGAUGACCUAGGUAACUUAGUCUUAAUCCUGAGUGUGUUAUGAACUCCUAUUCGCAAGGGAUUAUCCUUUGAUUUGUAUGGGUGAGAGUAGAAGAUCGUCGACUCAAUAAGCUUAUUAUUUUGGGGACAACACCGAGUGUGGAGCUGGGAACAUAAUUACACAAGAUGGAAUUCACUUUCCCUACUUUAGGGUAAGUAGAUGAGUGUUUCCUUAAAUGGUGUCUCUAGGUCUUGAACAAAGGAUUCUACCCUCUCUACGGCAAGAGAGGAGUUUCUGUUUAUUGGUAAGACCAUAAACAUGUUGUUUAGUGGAGGAGCACUGGUAUUUAAGGAUUGGAGGUAACCUAGGGAUAAAACGAUAAAUUGACAUAGCUGGUGUUACAAAAACUUGUGAAGGACUAACUAACUGUUAUUGGUCUACAUCCGUGGACACAGAAAUAUAUCUACAGUGAGAAUAGUUCAGUUGUGGGUCUUUAGUGGAAUGUACACACAAUUAACGAAUAUUGAUUAAUGUAGUUAAUAAGUUUAGCCAAUUAAUCUUAAAUCGUUGUAGUUUCUAAUUUGUAGGUUCAUUAGGUCAUUCCUAGCUCAUAAAGGGUAAUGAGAUUUAUUUAUAUUGGUUGUAAUUUGAAAUGUUCAAAUUUACUUUGGAAAUUAGUUUAAUGUAUAGUGAUACAUUGUAAUAAUCAAACUUUAUUAUAUAAAUUUAAUUUUGGAUAUGAUUCAAAAUUAAUUUUUGAGAGAUAAAAUGUUUGAAUGAGUUCAAAUAUUUAAUUUAAUGUGAAUUGGAUUCAUAUUGAAAUAAUUCGUUAAGAGAGAAAUCUAUAUUUAAAUAUGAUUCAAAUUUAAUUUAAGUUAAAUAUAAGAUAUUUAAUUUAGCAAUUAAUUAAUUAAUAAUUUUAGUUUUAUUGAAUUAAAUCUAUAAGAUAUUGCUAGAUAUUCAUUCAAAUAAGAUUUGAAUGAAAUAUUAAUUAAAUAUAAUUUAAUUAGUUAUAUUAAUAUAAAUCUAUAAGAUAUUGAAAAGAUAUUCGUUCAAAUAAUAAUGAAACAUUAAUUAAAUAUGAUUUAAUUAAUUAUAUUAAUAUAAAUAUAUAAGAUAUUGGUGAGAGAUUCAUUCAAUUAAGAUUUGAAUGAAACAUUAAUUUAAUAUGAUUUAAUUAAUUAUAUUAAUAUAAAUCUAUAAGAUAUUGAAGAGAUAUUCAUUCAAAUCUUAUUUGAAUGAAAUAUUAAUUAAAAAUUAAUUUAAUUAAUUAUUAACUAACUGAUUAAUUGUUAAUUAAUUAGUAGAUUUGAUAAUAGAAUCUGAUGAUUUUCUCCUACUCAUUUUCCUAUUUCAUGAAGGAAAUAGAGUUAUAGAUAUCUAGAAGAAAACAAUUUUUUUUAACGAAUUGAUUAAGAAAAAAAAAACCAAGACUUUUGCUCAGCAAAAAGAAAAGAGUUUCUCUCAACUACCUCUAAACUUUUUUGCAUCUUAGUUGUUUCUCUAAACCAAUCUCAUCCCAAAGGAUAAGAAGUCUCCGACGGGUGGUGUUCCAAUUCGGUGGUAUGUAGAUUCAGAGACGUCAUCGAAAGUAAGUUCUCUGUAUCUUUAAUUUAAAAGCAUGCUUAGUUUUUAUUUAGAAUUUUGAUUUUAAAAUCUUGCCAAUGUACUAGUAUUUUAAGAUUCUCAAAUUAAUUUGAGGAAUGGUUUUGUAAAAUUUUCACUGCCGUAAGGCUUUUAUGCCUUCGCUGUUCACAUAGAAUUAUCCAUAGAUUUGCAUAGGUGAGGGCAACUCAAUGGCGUUGGCCCAAUAAGCCUCCCAUUUCAGGUAAGACCGGGUGGAUAGCUAGGGACAUAAGGUGCAAGACAGAAUUCACUCCUACCCACAUUAAUGAUAGUAGAUAGGUUGUUUCUUUAAGGAUUGAAUCUAGGUCUUGAACAAGGGGCUCAGCCUCUCAUUGGCCAAGAGGGAUUUGGUUUAUUGGUUGGACUUAAAACCAAUUGUUUAAUAGUGGAUCAGUGGGAUCUAAGGAAUAAGAUGUAGUCUUGGGGUAAAACGGUACUUUGACCCAACUAAAGUUACAAAACAACUUGUGAAGGAUUAACUUACUUAUCAUGGUUAUAUCACAUGGACACAAAUAUAUCUAUAGUGAGGGGAGUGCAACUACGGGACUUUUGUGGAAUGUCUCAUUAGUUAACGAAGGUUGAUUAACUCGUUCUAAAAAAGUUUAACCAGUUAAUCUUGGAUCAUUAGAGCCAUGAUCUUUAGGUCCAUUAGGUUCCCCCGCUAACUCACAAGGAAUCAACUUAGAAUAUUAUGAUGGAAUAAUUCGAAUUGUUAGUACCCGUGAGUCACAUUUUAAAAUGAGUUUUUGAUUUUGUGUAUAUGUAUCAGUUGUUUAAUAUUUUUGUUUUAUACAUUUUUAAUUAAAUUUUCAUCCUAUUUAUUUAAGUUUAUUUUAUUUAAAAAAACUGUUAUUACAUGCGAGUCACAUUUUAAAAUUAUUGGUUUUGAUGAUUUUAUGUCUUUCGAACAUUUAUUUGAUAGUUGAUUUUAUAAAAAUUUUAGUUUUUCCUUUCCAAGAAAGUGUAUUUUGUUAUUGGUCUUUUGAGUAAUGACCUCGAAUUAGUAUAAAGAGUUAGGUCAUUACAUAUACUAAGUAACUUAUUUACUUAGAAGAAGUAAAUUACCUGAAAUCCUUGACUUAGAUAAUGGUUGAAUAAAAAAUACAAUCUUCCAAAUGAAUAUAUUUUUGAAUCUGGUAGGUGGUUUCGCACAUGCUUACUCAGGGUCGUCAUAUUUCCUAAAAUGACAUUUAACGUUUGACAAAUUUAUUAAUUGUAGGAUAUGUAUAAUUAAGCACAAAAUAACGAUACAAAGGAAAGAACAAAUGGAUUAGGUUUCUAUGUAUGUGGUUUAGGAUGUAAAGCAAUUAACUUACCAAUAAGUCGUCCAUUACAAUCUUGAUAUACUUCGGUGGAGCAUUUGCAAACCUAAGCCACUAGACUGAAAAUGCAUCUCUGGUUGCAUCACCAAUAGCAUGUCAAGAAAUUGGCUUCUUCGCUCCUUAUGUGAUGGAGAUUGGAGUUUUCCAUGUUUGUGGACGUAUUUCUCUAACUCAAUGUUUCGGGAGUGGUCAUGUGUCCUACGAGUGGGUUUAGUGUAACCAACUAAGAAAAAAAUUAUAUGUUCGUGCAAUAACUCAUGUAAUCUUAUGAAACACCUAAAGUGUUAUCCAAAUCACGAAACUAACGUGAAGUGUCACUCACCAAUGAUCCAAUGUAAGGGAAUAUGUCCAACUCAUGGAAUAAAUCUUUUGACUCGUGAAAAUUGCUUGAGAGUGCUGACAUAGCACCUCUACACACAAAAACCAAAAUGCACAAAUGAAAAUAUUUUAAACUGAAUCUAAAAAAUAAAAUAUGUGGAUACAUGGUUUGUCAUGAUUCGUCGUCGCUUGAUCUGUUUUAAGAAAAUAAUUGUUCACCAUCAUCGUUUAUAUAGUUGUCAACGACAUGCCGAACAACUGGUCUUUCCACCACUGUAGUAUCAAUGUCUACUCUGCAUAGAGUGUCAUCUUAAAUGUGUUUAUACACAUGAACGGAGCUCAUGCAUACUUAGCACAUACCACGAUAACAACCUCCAUCUAAUCCAACUAUGGUAGCAUACUAAAUACACGACUUGGAAUAGCUCACACGCGAUCCAUAUCCACAAGGAAACACGCGACCAAACUGAGCUCACACAUACUUAGCAUCUACCACAGUAACAAUCUCUAUAUCUGCUCCUAUAUACAUAUAGAACUACCCACCAUGGUUAAGUUAGGCCCAAAGCCAUAUCACAAUCCUCCAUCCAUAUCCUCACCUAGGUUCAAGUUCUCGAAUCUCCGGUCACGACCUCUUUUAGCCCCAAAAUCCCCUAACAACCAUAGGUGAUGCUACGGAAACACAUUCACAUAGCCUUGGAAAAUCACCUUUCUUUUAUACAAAUCACAUAUUUCAUGUUUAAAAGCCAAACAUGGUCAUAAACACAUUUUCAUAAAGUAGUUUCCUGUUCUUAUCCAUCGACGCAUGCUUUUAGUAUUACAUUUAAUUUAAAUCAUCCAAGUUUAAUAAUAUGCCAAAGACUAUUUCAAGUUUUUAAAUCAAUGGUCAUUUAAAUCAUGGCUAAUAAGUUUGGGUUCAACGACAUUUCCGAAAUAUAAGAGUUGAUGGAAAACAUAAAUUCAUACUUGAAAACAUUUGUAACACAUAGUUCAUAAAAUAAUCAUGCUCAAAGUUUUCAUAGUCAUGGCAUACUAAACUAACAUAUAUGGUUUAUAAUGAAAGUACUUGAAAAUGAAUCACUCACAAUCAAUGACUCAAUCCCCGCGAUUAUACGCUUUUCCCAUUUCAAUUUGGUCGGAAACAAAGAUUAAGGUCUCUCAGUUAUCUUGAGUCAGCAAGAAGACACAAAAAUCUCUAAGAACGCUCCAUUAUGAGCAUUCAAGCUAUUUUACAUUUCUAAAGUCCUUAAAUCCUCGAAACUCCUAACACUAGACUAAAAAUCCAAUUUCAAACCAGUCAACCUCAAAUUUCAAUCCUUAGUAAAAUGGAUGUCCAAACUUAAGUCAAAUUCAUUGGAUAUUUCGUUUCAAUACGCUCUUAUACCCAAUAUCCAUAACAUGUUGAUUUAGAUCCAUUAACAAUCUAAAUAUCAAUCUAACGAGUUAAUAACUUAGGAGAACUUACAUAAGCUCGUCUAAAACAACCUUAAACGUGUUGAUCAUCGCUUCCAUGUUAUCUAAAUCUUAAAUUCCUCAUACAAAACCAUAUGGGUAAAAUCAAGUUCACACUAAAAGUAAAUAGGUAUUUAAGCACUAUGAGAGAAUUCAUUAAAUUUAUCUAAAACCUUAUCGACACCUUGUUGAAAUCGCUUUGACAACACAUUAACGACUUUCUAAUUUUGAAUCUAGUUCCUACAACCAUUUUGAAAUCGCUUUAAAGCUUAUAUAAGUAAUACCCAAGCGAACUCCAAAGUCAGUUGAAAGUUCAUUUUCAACCUUUAACAUUCAACUCUAGGACCCGAGUAUCAUGGGUAAUUCAAUUUUAACACUUAAACUUAAUGCCCAUUCAAGAACUCAAGGUAAACUUCAGAAAAUUACUUCAAAACUUACCUAGAACUUGACAAAGUAAUCUUAAUUUCAAUGAACAAUCCUCUAACGAUCUUCAACUAUCGAAUCCUAGCAUCCAAAAACCAUGGAUUUUUUAAUAUAAUAGCACCAAAAUUCAAUGGGUACUCAAGACCAACUUAAUAAAGCCUAGAAUCUUACCUAAUUUGUGCCUAAACGCCCAACUUUGAGCCAUAAAUUGGUUGGACAACGACUAAAAACCUCCCAAGAAUUCAAAUGUAGCAUUAAAAUGUAAUGGGUAUUGUGAAAUCAAAACCGAUACUUAAUAGGUAUUCAAAAACAUCAAGGAACCUAACAAAAUGAACAAAUCCUUACUCAAAACUCCAAGAUCCAACUAUCGACAGGAAGAUCGAGUUAUACCUAUGAUUGAGCAAUACAAGAGAGACAUUUAGCGUUGAGUUUCCAAUUUUUAACAUCCACAACUUGUCGUAGGACUUCGAGACCCAUCUUGCGGGUGAGUUGGAUGGAAAAUUGAGCGACUCGCUUACAAUGAAGCUCCAGUUCCGAUAAAACCCAAAUAAUGGUGAACUUCGACGACGCGGAAGAUGUGGCACUAUAGCAAACCAACCAACCAGAACUGCAGGUGAGAGUAGCGGCAUAACGACAAAUGAUGAACGAAGCUAUUGUGCGGACGCUAGACGAUGUGGAGGAGAUGAACGGUGUGAACGAGCUGUCAUCAACAAGUUGCUUCGUUCUCGACGUGAGUCACGACCAAUGUGAAAGAGAGGUGAAAGUGUGUCGGCAUGCAAGAGAGAUGGUUCGCAUUCAGACAAUUCAAGAGAGAGGGAGGCUAUGUGUCACAAUCGUAGCGUUUCAACUCGAGAUGGACGAUUGUGCGACACUUGUUCUAACUCAACGAACAAGUCAGCCGAUCAAAAUCCAAGAGUUGUGGGUAACGUCGAUGUAUGUCGUAACCUUCCUUUACGUUUUAGAGAAAAUUUUAUUUAUAAAACGCGGGAAAGAAAGAAAUACAUUGAAAUAGACGUUACAAUAAGCAUUAAAGACUGUCAAUUGCAAGGAAAAAUGGUUGCUUGCAAAGAGUACAACUAAUGCUUGGGCGGGGAUUCAACUGGUAUGCCUCCCCUAUAGUACACUUUGAACAUUUUCUUCUCUGGCAGGCUUGCAUAUGAAAAUGCCGAAACGUCACAUCCAAGCUUUAUGACCCAGAAUGGAAAGCAAACACCUAAUCUAGUUAUGCAAAGUAAAGAUGGGAUAAACUGAGGGUAAUCAGAGCAUAUAACCAAAGGUAAACACAGUUUGGAAAAAUAUGUGUGUGACACUAUGCACGUUCCUUAGAGUGGAGAAGAAAAAAUAUCUUCUUUUUCCUCAUUUUUCUAAAGUAAUACUAAAAUUUGAAAAGUUUUUCAACCUUUUCAACAUUUAGAUUUCCAAUCUUGUUCCAAACUAAAAUUUCUUCCAAAUUCUUUAUUACAACGAUUUAGACUUAAAACUGUGAGUAAUCAAAUAUAAAGUUUAAUAUACGUACUUCCAAUACUCUGUUAUUUAUUUAAAUUGUUGAGGAUGUACCAAUAUGUUCGAGUUGUUUUUCUUUCGGUAAUAUAUAGAGUCUGUAAAGUUGACGCCCCUAAUGGUCGUACUCUUUACCCAAACACUUCAAAUUCCCCAAAUAUCUCAUAUCGAGAAUGCGAACAUCAUUUCGUAAUCUCUAUUGAAUUACGUUUUAAUCCCACUUAGAUAUCGUGUCACACCCCAUUCCAAGAUCACUUCAUUCGACCAAUUUGGGUAAGCUAAAUUGGAAAAAUUAAGGUGAUGGCCAUUGAUAAUUUUAUUCGGUAAAAUUUUUAAUUUCUUAUCCUUUAUACUAAUUAAGAUUGAUUCAUUUGAAAAUUUUAGUUUUAAGUAGUAGAGACUCAUGCUGAUAAUAUAUUAUAAAAUAAGAAUAAUAUGAACAAAAACAAAAAAAAAAUGUUAAUAUUAUGUAAAGUUAUCCCGACAUGAAAUUUUGGAUAUAGAAGUGUUUGUAUAUUAGAAAAUUUUAUACUUUUUGACGAUAUUAUAUAUACGACUUGUCUAUUAUAUUGAUGCAUCUAAAAUUAAAUUUAUGUGUACAUAGCUCCCUUAGAUAAAAUUAUGGACCUGCGACGGAUACCAUUCUCACUACAACGAUACGAUAGAGAAGAAAAGAAAGUUGAUAGCAUAAAGAUAGAAAAUAUUCACUUAUUCAAUACUGGGCUUUAAUUUAUUUCAUCUUAAUUUUAUUCAACAUCACUUUAGCUUCCAACCUAAUCAACACACUGGAAGGGUGACGCCGCAAACAGCGGCAACCCGUUGCCCGCCGGCAAUUAAAGGCUUGAAGCUUGGAAUCUUAGCGUAUUGGCAUAGGCACGGCGCCUGCUCUUCCAUCUUCAUGCAGCAAAUACUCGACGGCACCACUGACGAUGAUUUAAUUGCAUCAAUACACGGGUCAGCUCCUGAGGGAUGCAUUCCACUGCAUCCACCGAACGAGCUCCAGUUAAAAGCGCCAUCAUCUCCACCACGGCCACCAAAACACAUAGACUUGUUAUUGACAAUCUCAUCAUAUUAUGUUGAUUUUUUUUAUAUAAUAUGUUAAUGUGAGUGGAGAAAUAUUGCAUGCUUGGCAAAGCUUUUAGUCUGCAUUAUUUAUAGUCUUUGAAGAUGGUGAGGUUAAAGAAUAAUUGCCAGAUGGGUUUAGUUCUUUA